UACGUAAUUAAAGCUCGUGUACUGUACGUGUUGUGCUCUGCAAGUAAACUAGACCUGACAAGUUUGUAAUUAGACUGCCAUCAUCUGUUCUGUACAGGGGAGCGGCUUGUUGGAGUUCUCCGGGCUGAGGAGCUCCUCGUCGCUGCCGCUGCGGCGGAAUGCCACCUCGGAGGACUUCAUGUCCGCGGUCUCCUUCAGGACAUACGCGGUACGUGCCUGCUCGAAAUGUGACACUCAUAGCUUAGUUGCAGUGUAGGUGUAUAUAUGAAGCGGCGCCCUACGUGCGUGCGUGCAGGUCGGCACGAGCGGCAGCGGGUCGCGGCGGGCGCCGACGGAGGCGAAGCUGAAGGUGGCGAUCAACGGGUUCGGGCGCAUCGGGCGCAACUUCCUCCGCUGCUGGCACGGGCGCGGCGACAGCUCGCCGCUGGACGUGAUCGCCAUCAACGACACCGGAGGCGUGAAGCAGGCGUCCCACCUGCUCAAGUACGACUCCACGCUGGGCAUCUUCGACGCGGACGUCAAGCCCGUGGGCGACAACGCCAUCUCCGUGGACGGGAAGGUGAUCAAGGUGGUUUCUGACCGGAACCCGUCCAACCUGCCGUGGGGCGAGAUGGGCAUCGACCUCGUCAUCGAGGGCACUGGGGUGUUCGUGGACCGCGACGGCGCCGGCAAGCAUCUCGAGGCCGGCGCCAAGAAGGUGCUCAUCACGGCGCCCGGCAAGGGCGACAUCCCCACCUACGUCGUGGGCGUCAAUGCCGAGCUCUACUCCCACUCCGACACCAUCAUCAGCAACGCCUCCUGCACCACCAACUGCCUCGCCCCCUUCGUCAAGGUCCUCGACCAGAAGUUCGGUAAGUACUUACUCGUAGUAAUAAUAUCUGAAUUCUGAAGUCUGAACUGAACGAAGUUCUUGACGAUUGAUCAAUCAAUGGCGCGCGCGCAGGCAUCAUCAAGGGGACGAUGACGACCACCCACUCGUACACGGGUGACCAGAGGCUGCUGGACGCGAGCCACCGGGACCUGCGCCGGGCCCGUGCGGCCGCGCUCAACAUCGUGCCGACAUCGACCGGCGCGGCCAAGGCCGUGGCGCUGGUGCUGCCGAACCUCAAGGGGAAGCUCAACGGGAUCGCGCUCCGGGUGCCCACCCCGAACGUGUCCGUGGUGGACCUGGUGGUGCAGGUCUCCAAGAAGACCCUGGCCGAGGAAGUGAACGCCGCGUUCCGCGACGCCGCCGCCAACGAGCUCAAGGGCAUCCUCGACGUCUGCGACGAGCCGCUCGUGUCCGUCGACUUCAGGUGCUCCGACGUCUCCUCCACCAUCGACGCCUCGCUCAGCAUGGUCAUGGGCGACGACAUGGUCAAGGUCAUCGCCUGGUACGACAACGAGUGGGGGUACUCGCAGAGGGUCGUCGACCUCGCAGACAUCGUUGCCAACCAAUGGAAGUGAUAUCGAUGAAACGGCAUUGCCCUGUGACUAGCUCCUCUGGAAAUUUUCCCCGGCCGCAUCCUCCUCCGCCGCCUCGGACGAUCGAUUCUUUGUAAUGAGAAUUCGAAGUAUCGAACUCGAUCCCAACAGUUUUUUCUUUUCUUUUCUUUUUUCCUUCUUUCUUUCUCUGAUUUUUCAGUGUCCAGACACGGAUUAUAAUAGACUCCCCACAAAGGGAGUCUCAACGGUGUGCAUCUGUAAUAUAUACUAUCGUUUGCCAGGGUUCUGAUGUAGAAUUCAACUCGCUGAUUCGAACCCUUUUCGAUCAUUUUUUAUCUUUAUUGCAAGCUCAACCUUCUGCGCAUGAUCAGCUAAGAAAGAGCAGUUUGAACCGUGGCCGAAUAUAUAGAAUGAACCGGAAGCGAGACUGACUUCUUCCAAUGCGAAAUUUAACGGAUCAGGCCGUCAGCAGAUUUAUCCUCACAAAAUGACCCACAAGAUUAGAGUUCUCCAUGCAGCACCGAGCCCACUUGGACGAUGUAAUGAACCACUUCCAUAGGUGCCCCAGCUUUUGGUGGAUCGUAUUUUGGCUGGGCUUCAUAGUUCACAUGUUUGUCAUCCUGUAUACCUGCUACCAGUCGCAGUGGGCGAGUGGUCAAGAAUGAAUAUACAGUACUCACAGCUUUGUGAGCAAAAAUCAGUCGCCUACUUUGAAAAAAAAACCCAGUCGCCUGAAAAACAAAAGAAAUCAGUCGCCUGCUAGUUUCAUGCAAAUCAGACACAUAAAGAAAGAAAAGAUUAGCAUAACACACAGUUCUGGUUGGCACAAAACCAGAUGUUUGCUCCUUGGAUAAAUUCACACUCUGACAACUCCAGUGACCAAUUCAGACAAAAAGAGCCCAACAAAACUUUCAUCCUAUCCACAACAACCAAUAGUCGACAAAUACAAAUUAUAUGACAAAUUACAGGUUUGCAGAACCAUGUGCAAUUUAGUAAAAGGAUCAGCAUGCGCAAAAUUCUGUGUUGAUUAAAACCUGCAGAAAUGCACCAUCCUAUCUGAGUGAUAAAUCCAUGGAGUGAACUAAAAAAUCCCUUUGAUCUACAGAAUUUACAAUUUCAACCCCUGGACAAAAUGGGCGUCGUAUCUUAUGAAUCCCUCAUCGAGGUGCACUCCUGCAUCCCACGCAUCGCAGCCAGCCGAUUGCCAUCCUACGCAUGUGUUCAGUUUUACAAAUUUUUACAAUUAAGCGCCCGCUUCCAUCCCUCUAAUUUGCAAAACCAGCCCUGAAUAUUUUUGGCAGGAAUCGAUCAAUCAAUCGUCUUCUCCUGCAAAAAGGCCGCUGGCUCUCUCCACGGCGACGUCGCCGUCACCCCGUGCGCUCCCCCGACCUGCAGAAACGCCCGAACCGCGCACUUGAAAGGAGAAGGAAUUUCGGCCACCUGACACAUACGUUGAGAGGUCUCAUAAAACUGUGGUAAGAUCGAUCUGCUUUGUGCUGCACUGCUCUGUUUUCUCCCGUUCCAAAGCAGAUCAUAUUGCCUAAGGUUUUCAACAUCAUUAUUGGGUAAAACAACAAAAACUACUCUUCAUGUAUACUGUAAUAUAUGUGCUUCUUGUUUCAAAGGUUUAUAAUUACCUGUUGUGCAGCAAUAGAAUCUAACAUGCAAAUACUCAUGAACGAGGAGGGAUUUACUACACCCAUAAACAAAGCAAGAGUUCCUUUAGUUGUAAGUCAAUUCUUUUUACUGAACAUGUCCGUUUUCAGUUCAGUUAUUUAUACAUGAAGGUGCUUAUUGAUUCAUUCUUUACAAUGCAGUGUUCAUCUUUUAUACCUGGAUGUGAACAGAAAUUGAAGCCUAAAGUAGGAAUGACAUUUGAAGGACUAAAGGCUGUGGAGGAGUUCUACAAGUCUUAUGCACAUCACUCUGGUUUUGGAGUUCGUAUUGGACAACAAAGGAAGUUGGACAAUGAGAUAGUUCGUAGUAAACGUUAUAUGCGUAACAGGGAAGGAUUCAAGUCUGAAAAGGGUAAUGAGAUUAUUGAUCCAUCAGUGAAAAGACAUAAGAACACGGCCACAAGAUGUGGUUGUGAUGCACAUAUUUUUGUGAAGUUGUGUGUAACUGACGCCUACAAGAUAGAAUCCUGGGUUGAACACCACAAUCAUAGUCUCAUGUCACCUGAUAAGCAUCAUUUGAUCAGAUCAAAUCGUCAAGUUAGUGAGAGGGCAAAGAAUACACUGUACACAUGCAACAAAGCAAGCAUAGGCACCUGCCAAGCAUACAGGCUCCUCCAAGUCAGCGAGGGUGGAUUUUCAAAUGUUGGAUGCACGAAAAGGGACUUGCAGAACUACUAUCGUGACCUCAGGUAUAAAAUCAGAAAUGCAGAUGCCCAAAUGUUUGUGUCUCAGCUAGCUAGAAAGCAUGAAGCUAAUCCAUCAUUUUUCUAUGAUUUUGUGGUGAGUGAAGAAGGGAAGUUGAUGUAUGUGUUCUGGGUAGAUGCCACAACUAGGAAGAACUACAAGCACUUCGGUUAUGUGGCAUCCUUUGAUUCUACAUAUACUACUAACCAGUAUGACAUGAUCUUUGCACCAUUUACCGGAGUGAAUCAUCACUUACAGAGUGUGUUUUUUGGUGCUGCGUUCUUACUAAAUGAGAAGGCUGAGUCAUAUGUUUGGUUGUUUAAGACCUUCUUGAGGGCAAUUGGAGGUGUAGCACCGAAACUUAUCAUAACCGAUGAAGCUGGUAGCAUCAAGAAUGCUAGUGCUGAAGUUUUUCCAACCACCGCACACAGGUUGUGCAUGUGGCAUAUGAUGGAAAAACUUCCUGAGAAGAUUGGACCGUCGAUUAGAGAAGAAUCUGAAUUUUGGAAGAGAAUGAACGCAUGUGUAUGGGGUUCAGGAACCCCAACCGAGUUUGAGUCACAGUGGAAUUCAGUAAUUUCAGACUUUGGGUUGGAGGACAAUAAGUGGUUAAGUAAAAGGUUUAGCCUUCGAGAGUCAUGGAUACCAGCCUACUUUAUGGCCAUAUCACUAGCGGGCAUUCUUCGAACAACUUCAAGGUCGGAAAGUGCGAAUUCAUUUUUUAACCGUUUCAUUCAUCGCAGGCUCACUUUAGUUGAAUUCUGGCUUAGGUUUGACACGGCUUUAGAAUGCCAACGUCAGGAGGAGUUGAUUGCAGACAAUUCAAGCAUACAUAGGAUCCCCCAAUUAGUUACACCAUGGGCAAUGGAGAAACAUGGUAGUGAAGUAUUCAAAUAUGAGGUGUUUGAGAAAUUUCAGAAACAAAUUAUUGCUUCAAGAGAUCAUUGUUGUGUUCAAGGCAUUGCACAAGAUGAGGGAAUAAAAAUAGUGACCUUCAAAACUGGUGCCAGUAAAGUAAGGGAGGUCCGUUGUGAUACGACAACCACGAUAGCUAAUUGUUCGUGCAAGUUAUUUGAGUCACAUGGAAUCCCAUGCCGCCAUAUUAUCCAAGUGAUGAGGAUUGAAAAUCAAAAUGAGCUUCCAACCUUCUAUAUUAUGGAAAGAUGGCAGAAAAGGUGUAAAAGGUACAAAAAGAAAAUCAUAACCAUCAUUACUCUUAUUUUAUUGCAAACCAUAUGGCUGAGAUCUAAUUUUUUUUUCUAUAGGGAGUGUUUACGAUGAACAAGGGAACCUGCUAGAAGAGAAGCCCACUGACUCCUUGGAUGCCGCUGCGAGGAAGAAGAUUUCAACAAUACGCAACAAGUUAGAAGAUCUAAUUUUAAGAGCCAAGCAAUCAGAUGAAGGCAUGGAGUUUUUAAAGUCGAGUGUGUUCAGCAUUAAGGAGCCCCUGGGCAAAAUGGUUCUUACAGCAGUCAAGCACACUAGGCAAGAGGAAUAUGAGGCAUUUAUUGGGUGCAACAUACCAACUCAGGUCGACAUACACCCACCAAAUGAUGUUCAUUCGGUAGGGAGAUGUAAACGAACAAAGAGAGGAAAGGAGAUGAAUGGAGAAGAACGGAAAAGGAAGAACAAAGAAGCCAAUGCCAAGGUCGCACACUUGUGCAAGACGUGCAAGCAAAUAGCAUUCACGAUAGUCGCAACUGUCCAAGCAAAAAAGGCCAUGGAGAAGAAACCAUGAAUGCGCAAGACAUUCAUCUUAAUGGAUCAUCAUGAUAGCUGCAAGCCUGCUAUUUGUGUCAAUAACACCAUUAUAUUAGUUUACUGAAUGUCUGCAUUUAUAUAAUGGAUGAGAAUUUGUGUUUUUCCCAAUUGAUUAGCUUAUUUGUAUUACACUGAUAUCAGGUUUUAGCAAGUUUACAUAAAGUGCAAAGAUCAGGUUUUAGUAAGCUCACAUAAUCUUGUCAGACUUAUCUUAUUUGUAUCACACUGAUUCAGUACUUUCCAUGGACAACAAUACUCCAGGUUAUUUUAUACAUUGAUUCUUUGGGCUGCUAACUGCUGCUACCAUGCAUCAUGUGCAAACUUUACAACAAACACAUCAGACCAGGAACACCUCAAUUGCUGAUAAGAACAAGCCAAUAAGAAUAUGUUUCCAUCUGAAAUUUCCAUUCACAACAACUUGCAGUCACUUGUUUCUGAAAAUCAAUAUUAAGCAAGAAGAGAGGAGUACAGGGGAGUUACAAAGUGCAGGGAGAGCCUGCAAAUGCUACAGAAGCAGCAUACCAGCCGGAGCUAAAGAGCUACAAGGACCAAAGCUACAAAAUGCUACAGAUGUAGCAUAUUAUCUUCAGUCAAAAACUGAAAACAACCUCAGUUACACCCAACUGAGCAAGAUUACAAAAAAACUUCAGAGAGCUGAAACACAGCCGGCAGUUACACUCUAGGAGUGAAGAUCUCCAGGAGCUUACAAGCUCACAAACCACAUUUGGGAGGAGGUCAAUCUGCUAGUACUAGAUACAUUAAACAAGAACAAGAAAAUUCAGUGAGGUGGUCAUCGUUGCUCUGCAAGGAACCUCAGGCUGUACUUCCUGCCCACGCGAGUCUGCAGUAGGCCGGCAUCGUCAGGUGGAGGGGUCUGGUUGUGCAAGUGAAGCGGCAGGGAAGUUGUGGCUGGCGGCGGCCUUGGCGUCAAGCCCUAGCAAAGUUGCGGACGGGCGGAGGGCCGGCCAGAGACCUGGACAGGGCGGCAGUGAGCGCAGGAGCAAGGUCGUCGGCAGAUCGCUCUGGGGCGAUGACGGAUCUGCUCCGGGUCGACGGCAAUGGCGAGCACGGGGGCAACGGCGACGGCGAGCGCAGUGGAGAGAGCCAUGGGGCUUUUUGCAGGGGAAGACGGGAUUGGUUCCUCCGAAAGUAUGGAGGGCUGGUUUGCAAAGAGGGACGGAAGCGGGCGUUUAAUUGCAAAAAAUUCUAAUAGUGAACACACGCGCACGAUGAAAAUCGGCCUGCUGUGAUGCGUGGGAUGCAGGAGUGCACCUCGAUGAGGGAUUCACAGGAUACGACGCCGACAAAAUGGGGCAAAGUCAGACAAAGAGAUCCCAGACAAGCUUCCCAUUUUCUGGACAGUAACAGAAAAUGCGGACCAGAUUGAGUAUCAGAUUGCGCAUUCAGAAUAGACAAGGUACAAAAAUCUGGGGAUGCAAUUAUAGGUUUGCAGUUCCAGAUUUUGUAAUUUGAAACCAAUGAAAAAUUCAGACAAAAAACAAACCAGCAAAGCUUGCAUGCUCCUGAUAACAACAAAGAAUUGACGAAAAAAUGGGACGCCAAAUUACAGGGUUGCAAUUCGAGUCAAAGGAAAAUGCAAUUGCAUUUCGUAUGACACCCGAUUGCGCAUAGUGAGCUAAGUGCAAAAAAUCAUAUGAAUUCCAGAAAUCGACACAUACGAUUUGAGAAUUACUCUUGUGCAAUUCUAAUGUCUCACAAAUGCACUUGCAACUCAUAUGAAACCUGAUUGCGCAAAGUAAGCUACAUGCCAUUGAGAUACAUUAAAAAGAGGGACGGAUUUUGGGUUCAUUACGCCAAUGAUCCACUGUCAUUUCAUAAAAAUAUUCGAUUGCACAUAGUAAGGUACACACAAUUAAAGAAAGAAAACAGAAAUGCCCAGAAAUCUAUAUCAUUAAACUCAGGAAGGUGCACUUUGUAUCUAAACACAUAAAUCUUGAUUACCAAAUAAGGGCCAAAAAAUAAAUGGAUACACAAAGGCAGAGAUAGCAUAACACAAAAAGGCAAAAUGAAGUGUACCUGUUCAUUGCUGACUCAAGUGGUCCUGUAGCUUCCCUUGUCAAAAGAAUUAGAAAGCAUAACUGCAGCCAUCUAACCGUCAUACAGAUAUAGGGCCCCUGCAUGCCAGAUAAAAACAACACUACACUAGCCAAGUAAAAAUUCCAUAGAAUGAACUCAAAAUGCCAUCAUCUUCAGAAUUUGCAAUUCGAACCUAGGAAAAAUCCAGACAAAAGAUACCAGAAAAGCUUCCAUUGUCUCGACAACAACAAGAGUCAACAAGAAAAAAAAUUGGGCACCAAAUUACAGGUUUGCAAUUCCGGUCAAAGGCAAAUGCAAUUGCGUUUCGUUUGAGAUCCGAUUGCGCAUGGUGAACUAAGGGCAAUUGAGAAAAACAGACAGAUUGGGGCAAGCAUUCAUAAACCGUAGACAAAAAAUAAAUGCAUAUGCAUCUCAUAAAAACACCGACUUGCACAUCGUGUGCUACAUGCAAUACCCAGAUACACUUUUGAACCUUUGAAUUAAGGACCGGCUGAACUAUGGAAUUGGAACUGUAAUUGAAGCUUGCUAACUACCAAGCUAAAAAGUCGUCUGUACAAGCCAACACAAAGUAAUAUCAGGAGAAAAAAAAAGGAGAUAGGAGCAGGAACGGUUGAUGAUGGGCAUGAAUGCUAACCUCAAUGAAUCCCCUCCUUGCACUUGUCUUUGACGUUUUAUGUUGAAACCUUGGUCCAGCCCAGCCACCCUCCAACAAAAAAAAUCGCAAAUACACUGGAAAACUUAUUACUUAUGUUUUCCUACUGUUAACAAUAAGAUAUGGCGAGAACAUAACGAACAGAAGAGCACGAACCUGCUGACACAUAGACACCAUUUCCUAGUGAUCCCCUGCUAAAAAAAAGGGUCCUAAAAACACCGAAAACAAUGAGCAAAUUCAGCUUAACAUGAUUGAAUUAAAAUACACUACAACUGAUCGCAAAAAAUCAGCAAUCAACAGAACCUGAGCUGAUAUAACACACAAUUAUAAGUGAACUGGACACCCAUAUAGCACACACAUAUAACAAUCAAUUGCACAUAAGAGUCGCAUUUUGCAUAUACAGUUAUCUACCACAUGACUAGUGACAUUUAUACAAAGAAACCAAAUUUAAAUUGAAGUGCAUAUCGCUAUCAUACAAAUUGGAACAUAUAUUAGUCAAAUUUACACCUAUACAGAUAUAAGCUACUGGUAAGCUAGCCCAAUGCCUAAUCAGAUUAAUACAAAAUGUAUGAGCCUGAAUAUACACUAUACAUAGAAGAGGUUAGAGCUACACAACAUUACAUAACAGUACUGCAAACAAAGGGGGAGGGGGGGGGGGGGGCAGGUGAACCAUGAAUCAAACACAUGAUAAGCAACCGAAAAUCCAAUACAAGCUCCCACACAACUCUAAAAUUCAGGCUAAAGAGCAUAAGCUUAUAACAAAGCACAACCAGAUCCAAGCUACAGCCUAAUCCACCGAACAACUACACUCUUUCCCAGCCACUAGGGUGCAUAGCCAAAAAUAAUGGUUUCUUAACCUCCUAGAUACAAAUGACAUAAAGACUACUGCUUGCAUCAUGCUCUUGCUUUGGAGAGCUUGGCACCACAAGAAUGAUUUUAUUUUUGACAAGGGUGACUCGUCGAUGAAUUCCUUGGGCAUGUUUCUCUGGUCCUUCCUCCAAACUUCCCUCUCUACAUAUCACCCCCUGUCACGACCACAAAGGCACACAAUUAUAAGUGAACUGGACACCCCUUUUUGAGCACACACCACCAAAUCAACCCAUAAACGUCCAACCUCAACAAUCACCAAUUCGUCUCCGGAGGAAAGAGUUCCAACAGCAAGCACAUGUUAACAAAUCAAACGCCCCAACACAAUGGGAUGGCUGCACACAGACAGAUUGCUGCAUUUUCGAAAAGCAAUUGAAAAAAUAAAUUUAAGGAAUGGCAUGGUACAACAUGUAGACAUAUCAUUUUACAAAAGUGACCAAAAAGGGGUAGGAUUGCCACAAUGCUAGACGAAAUUUUAUUUCAAAAAGAAGCACUCCCUUUUUACACAGCAUAAAGCUAGGGUUGCAAUUAAUUUAGCAAAGUAUCAAAACUGAAUAGAUUCCAUAACUACAAAACAAAGAGAACAUGUAUACAAAUUAAUAUAUGCAAUUGCGGUUUGAAAUAGAUCCUGUUGCAACAAGAGAAGAAGUGCAAUUUUAUUUGAAAGUGGGUGCAAUUUAAAUAGACAUAGGUUUAAUACAAAAGGGACCUAUAGCAAAGGUGAUUUAUAACCUACAAAUUGACACUCAUAAUUACCAAUUACACAACCAACUGACACUUAUACCAGACAAACCCAUAGAAUCAGAAAAAUGGCCAUGAAAGGAAAAUUUACUAUAUUAGUUCCAAAUUACAAAAGGUAAUUACAUUCAGUGGGCAAAACCACAACACAUAAUCAACCCAUAAUACAUGAAAUGGCAAAAUUACUUUCAGCAGCUAAAACACAUCAGUCUGAAUCUGAAUCCCUACUACAGUUAGCCCACGUUGCGAAAGGAUUCAGCCUGCUCUGAAUCACUACAUCACAAACAGCACCACAGACCACAAAAUCAACCCCUGAAUCAAACACCCGACCAGCAAAAAUCAAACACGAAACUGGAGAAUGAAACCCGAAAAUUUCGGCCGGAGAAACUCACCACGCAAAGCGACCAACCUCGUCGCCGACGAGCACUGAUGCAAAAUGACCCGCGAGUCAGCGACAACGCAGGUGAUGCGGGCACGCACGGGUGGUUGCCUCCGUACUCCCGGGCGGCGUGCUGGAGCAACACCGCGAACGUCGGCUGACCCUGGAGCUCGACGCGUACGGCGAAGCUCCACGUGCCCUCCCUCCGCCGACGAACACCGGCUCGUGCCCCUCCGGCACCCGCGCGCCGCCUCGCAGCCUCUUCGCGCCGGAGAAGGAUGACGACGUCGAGUCCACGUAGGCGGUCUUGACCGGAGCAGCUGGGCAGCAGCGGCGCAGGCGUUGGCCGCGGCCACGCGGGAGGUCUGCCCCUGAGCAGGUGCUCCGUGCUGCUCUCCGCUCCCCCCAUCCCUCACCCAGUCACCCCCCCAUCUCCUCCCCGCUCUCCAGAACACAACCGCGAGGAGCCGUGGACGCCCAGCGAAAGACAUAGGCGUUAAACACAAAAAAGAAAGAAAAAAGCUCACCAAACUUCCACUGAUCUCGUGUACAGAUCGCCUGUUUUUUUCAACAAACGCAGGCGCCUCGUGUACAGCAAAACGGCAAAAAUAAUGGGUUCAACUCUAUUUAUUAUAAUGUAAUCUAUUGGGUUUGAGAAAUUCUAUUGGGUUCAUUUUUUUACUGUACCCUGGUACUCUAUAUAGAGAGGUGGAAGUACCAACUAAAUCUGACCAUUGGUUUAGCAGGGUAUUUUAGACCUUUUUCUUUUCUAAUGCAAUUCAAUUUAUUUUUUCUGCCGUGCGGUGCAAAAAGAAACGAAACUGCUUCGUCCUCAAGCCGCCUCUGCCUUUUCCUAAACAGGCGCAUCCCAUGGCGUCAUGGUGGGGCUGGCGGCUUCCUGCUCCGAUCCUCUCCCAUCGUCCUACUCUCUGAUCCUGUCCGAUCCGAUCAGUUGCUUCCUGUCGAUGCAUCUCCCACAGCGCUGCUACCAGUCUGACCGAAGACGGCGCCUCGUUUCUCCUUCUCGCUAGCAUGCCCCGUGAUGUAGAUGGAGUCCACCGCCACCGCCGAUGGCCUCCAUGGCCGAAGCGCAGAAUCUCGACAGCGGGGAAUCCGCCCGCUCAUCCCGUCUCCUCCGCAAUCCUUGGUAGUGGUUGAUGCCGCUGUUGUUUGUCUUCCGUGGACGAAGAUGCAGAGCCACGCCGGCGGCCAUGCGUCGGGUAAUUUGUGCGCUGUGAAGAGGAGUGGGGUUAGUUCACGAAUGAAAAUACAAGGAAGAAAUUCACUCGCGGGAAAAGAAUAACAUAACGUGCCGAUUACAAUUUUGCCAUCUAGAUCCUGGUACUCCAUGACUUUUCGAGUCAAUGCUCCAUUGAAUUGGUGUUGGAGUGCCAGAUCGUAUUAACCGUUAGAUCGAGAUAAUUGGACGGUCUAUAGUAGCUCAGGGGUAUCGUAAAAGAGCUCUCACCUGAACCCAUCACUUCUAUACCAACUGCGCCACGGAGUACUCCCUGCGUUCCUAAAUAGAAGAUGUUGUUCGUAUUAAGUCAAAAUUCUUAAAUUUUGACCAAGUCUAAAACAAAUCUACAAUAUUGAUAACUCUAAUUUUUUUAAUCCGUCAUGAUACAUUUAUUUGAUAUUGUAGAUGUUACUAUAUUUUUCUGUAGAUUUGGUGAAACUCUAUUUUUUGACUUAUGAUAAAACUACAACAUUUCUAUUACAAUAUAUUAAAUUGGAAUCGGUGGUGAUGGGUGGACGCCGUUGGUCGGUGUUGGUCGGUCAAUUUCGUUAAAAUUACAAUCAAUAUGCCACUGCCCCUUAUUUUUUUUCCCUCCCGCCUUAUUCACGAUUUCAAUAGCAGAAAUUCUACGGUUUAGAUUUACCGAAAGUUAUCGUACGGUCCAAAUUUGUCACAAUAUAAUACGAACAGUUCUAAAAUAAAUCAAUCUCCUUAACAUGAAUUCCAAAAAUUUUCGUAUCCAUCUCAGUAUGGAAAUCAAUCCGAACCCAAGCAAAAAAUCUCGAUAUCAAUCUCAGUAUGGAAAUCAAUCCAAUCAAAAAAUCAAUAUCCAGACUUCACCUCCACCGGCUCGUGUUUGAUACACUUUCCGUUGUUCCGUAGCAUCGCAUGGGUUCUUUUGCUAGUUUUACAUUAAUUUAGUAACAAUGUUAGCUUGUACUCAUUGUGGGAUAAAAUAUUGCUGGACUAUAAAAUGCACAGAAGAUGGCGACCUUCCCACUCUUAAAACACCAAACGAAUUCCAAAACAACGUCUACAGCCUCGAAAUUUUACCUCUUCCUCGUAGUCAGUGAUCGCGGACGUUGAGAGUAGAGCAGAGUACGUAGGUCUGGUACGUGGUGAUCACAGCGGCAGAGGGGAGUCCGGGGGGACCUAGGAUAUUAAUUAAGAGGGAGCAAAAAAUUUAAGCAUUUGAAAAUAUUACACAUAAAUUAGAGGAAUGUGGUAAAUGUUUAGUGUUAGAAUUAAAAUAGAGACGAGAACAAAAAUAACUAACCAUCUUAAUUCGUUUCCAUAUUUCAACCUCUAAACUCUUGUUAUCAAUUAAUUAUAAGCAUAUUCACCGCUAUAGGAAGCAGAUUUCUAUAAAGAUUGGUUUUUAUGUUUUAUUUUUUUUAGAGACAUCUGGCUUUAUUAUUUAGUAAAAGUGGCACUCCAUUCGAUGCAUAAUAAGUGUCUGAAAUUUAGUACAAAUCUAUACCAAUUGUAUAUUAAGUUCAAUUCAUUUUAGGGGUGAAGAUUUGUUGGUUUUGACCCCAGAAUUUUUUUUGAGAGGGGUUUUAGCCCCUGAUUAAUCACAUGAAGACACACACCACGAUCACCGGAUCAGGCCAAAAGUCAAAACUCAAUCGAACAAAAUGGAGUCUCAACUUUGCCUCGGGCCCUCAAGAGACCCCAAAAAGGCCAUAAAACCCAUAGCUCAGCCCAGCCCAGCCCAGCGCCAAAGAAGCCCAUAAAUCCUGGAAGAAAGUUCAUCCAUCUGCAAAAAUCACAUCUGCAGAUCUGCUCGUUUUCUUGCCGCUGCUCAAUCUCAUACUCCUCAACGCCUAUCCUCUCCGGCGCCCGACGCUCGACGGUCCCCGCUGAAUGUCCUUCUCCUGUGAAGUCUGAUCCCCUCCCCGGGGGCUUACCACCGGCCACCGGCGCCUGCUUGCUGUUCCCCGACCCGCUAGCUACCGCUAUAGGUAAUUCCAUUGCCUUAAAUCAAUGUAAGGGAAACCAUGGAUUGUUCACUGAUACUGCUCCAAGCAUGUCUCGAUUGAUGUUGAUGCUCUUGCUACUUGGCUUUUGCACAUGUAGUGAAAUUUUUAGGAGAUUUUAUCAACUACUUCCUCAGUUAUAUAUUAAUUGGCACGGAUACUUGUACGAGAUCCGUGUCAAUUAAUAUGGAACGGAGGGGUAGUCACGAAUAAUCCCUCGAUAGGUAUUUCCACAUGUGUGAUAUGUUCAUGGCAUCAUGCGUUGAGAAAGUUGACACUUUACAGUACUCUCUCUGAUCCAUAAAAAAGGUCGCCCAUUUUGUAAUAAGAUACUCCCUCCGACCGGUAUUACUUGUCUCAAAUUUGCCUAAACGUGGAUCUAUCUAUGUGUAGAAAGUGUCUAGAUACAUGUAAACUUUGACAAGUAAUUCCGGCCGGAGGGAGUUGUACAAAUUGUACUAAGUGGAGGACACUUUUAUGGGUCGGAGGGAGUAGCGUUUGUGUGUAUGCGUGUGCUGUUCAGAUGGCCGAGAGUGACAACAUACCACGUCUUAACCAAAUAACCAGCCCCCAUUGUGUACUUGUGUGUGUGUCAUGGAUGCAGCAUGCUUGCUAUUAGGCUAUAUACUGAAUCUAUUUACCGGAAAAUCAAAACCGAUCAUGCUCUUGCUGUUAUGUGCUAUGGCAUUAAAAAAGUGUCGCCCAUUUCUCCGUGAAUGAAUCUUUUAAAUAGGAUUUGCUUCUUGUGUCAUGUGGCAAGAUAUUUAUUUAUUUUAAUGAAGUCGGGAGGGGAGACCCCUACCUGAAUUUAGAUAAAAUGGAGCCAGAGGCUCAAAGUUACAAAGAGCCUGAAACCCGCAAAAGAGAAAAUGAUUACAAGGCAGGACAGAGCAAACACAAGGAAGAAAAGGAGAAAGAAAAAAAGUUGGUGUUUAUCAGGCCAAUCUUCAAUCCAAUGGCUGAGCGCCUGUUUUUCCUUGUUCUUGAAACGGCAAGACCAGAGCUUCAGCGUUUCACAGCAUUGUCUUGCGACCACGACUGGAGGAAUAUUGUGAUGGUCAAACAUAAGAUAUUUACUCAUCAAAUAUAAAAACGAAAUUCAAAUGCUAUCGUCUCAUUUUUGAGUUCUCAACUUUGGUUAGUUUGGUAUCUACUGAAACCAUACCGAAAUGGUUUGGUAUAAUACCAAAACCGAACCAUAUUUACUUUCAUACCGUAUUUACUGAAGUUUUGAUUCCGUAUUUACCGAACUGAAUUAACCGAAUGCACAGUCAUAACACUACCAUGGCCAUGGCCGCUGCUGUCUCUAUCUCCCUCUUCCCUACUCUGGCUGGGCAUCCUCUCGCCAGAAGAACACGUAAAUCUCCAUACUCCCAAUGUGUCGUUUGAGUCAAGCCUCUCUUGGAUGAUGGAUCAUACCUUGGUUUCUGAUCUCUAGCUUCUUUCGCUGGGUUGUACAAGAAGAAGAGAAUGAUUUCGGUGAAGCGGGUCUGCUGCUCUACUGAUGAUGAAGGUUAGUUCAGUGAUGACAGGCUGAGAAAUCCAAAUGCACUUCUUUUUUAUUUAUUUUUCAUAGAAUUAAUAUUUCGUUCAUGCUUUGUUUCCUAAGUAUGUGAGUGCUUAACAUAAAUCCACAAGGUAUUUUAGCUUUAUAUGUUUCGAGUUUUUUCCCAGUUAAUUUUGUGCAAGAGAACUCUUUCAGUGACUCUUAGGAAUAAAUGUGUGCCAGAAGCUCAUGAACUCACAGUGUAAAAACUCGCUAGACAUACGCCAGCUAUGGAACACUAUCUGCACCUGUGAAACAUGAAUUCAGGACAUUGUGCAUUGAACUUUAUUUUGUCUGAAGACGAAGUUGUGCUCUCCCUGCAGUGAACUACAGAAGUAAAAGGACUGACCCCCCCUUCGUGACAAUUUGUGCAUGUUAUGAUUCUGAGAUGAGAAAGUCGAUGAUCUGGGAGUAAACGUAGCACUGUCCAUGCUAAAAUUCUACAAAAGUAAGUCCGAAUUUGCAGUUUGUUGCCUCUUGAUUCCUGAUUGUCUUUUGGACAUCCAUCUUACUACUACUAUGCAGUCAAAAACUAUGCUUUUCAGAGGGAUUAGAUCUGUAUGGUCUGCUCACUGGGUCAAGCUUUAUGUCGACAGGAGAGGUAUCACCCUUACUACCUUCAAGCUGCCGUUAUGUGCCAACAUGCAUCGACUACUCUAUGCAGGCGUAUGAAAGGUAUGGUCUUGCGAAGGGUGCAAUCUUGACAGCGCGGUGUAUGUGCCGUUGUAAUCCUCUUAGUAUGUUUUCUUUCUGUUUGCUUAAUAUUUUCAGCUAUGGAAAACUGACCAUAUCAUAUUUAUGGAACUGAGCACUUUUUUAUCUGAUACACAUGUAGGUGGACAGGGAUAUGAUCCUCCAAGGUGGUUUGGUGGGGAAGAGUUACCUGAGGAAUAAUGACUGGUAAUUACUAGCUAAGCACAUACGCCCAAUGGUGAUGUUACAUACAGUUCAAUAUGGAAUAUAGACAGACUUCAGUUGCAUUGUGUUUUAAGUAAAUGACUAUACAACAACUAAAACAAGAGAAAAACAACGCUGUUAGAUUUCUGCCGUACCAGCAUGCUCAAUGUGCCUGGGUUGAUGGUUACUUCCCUUCCAAUGCGCACUACUUCAUAUUAAAAAAAAUAUUCAAGCACAUGGAAUAGAAACAGGUGGAGAGAACAUCAAAAUAACCUGUGCACCUUGACUCUGCAGGAACACUAGACAUCUGGUGCUGCAAGCCUGCAACAACAUGGACCUUAAGUCGACCGAUUGUAUCAUCAAGAAUUAUUGCUAACUUACGAUGCUAUAGAUUGUGUUGUUCCUCAUAUAUUUACUCAUGCCUAAUUGAGAAAAUUGAAGAAAGAUAUCUAGACACCUUGUCAGAUUGAGUGACGCAGGGAUUACACAUAAUCUUAUCAUCUCUGAUAAAAAGAGAGUAGCAAUUCUAGACAGUUUUACGGAUAUAUGUCAGCAACUAUAGUAAACAGGUGCAACUUGAAAAACUGAACGUGGUUUCUGGUACUCGGUUACAGAUACAAAAAAGAAAGAAAAGGAGAAGAACAAACACACAUCUGAUGCUGGAAACACACACCAAACUGAGGAAAAGCACAUACCAAAACUGAGGAAAUAUCUAGAUGACAUAGAAACACCAGAUCAAAUCAAUAUAUCCAUUGGUACUUCAAUCUAUCAAUCCAUCUAUGUCAAUUCAGAACCACUAGUACAAUCUCACAAAAGCAGAGCAAAUGUGCCCAAGCAUCCAGUUGAAUCUAUGCCACGUUAGAACUGCUAGCAUCAUCAGCUACCCAUGCUGAGAGGGCGUAGAGGACCCGGCCUUUCCACCCUUGCAGAAGCCACCGAUGGUCCUCAUUGAUCAUGAAAUGCUUGUGGUACUGGUUCUUCACUUUGUCCUUGAGCAUCAGAACAAUAUCAGGGUCCAAUGGCAACUGCCUCAACCCUGCCCGGUGGUUCCGAGUCUGCCACUCCCUGUAGUUCUGAGGGCGCUCCACCCUGUCUGCCCCUUCGCAGGCGACCAUGUUCAUGACAGAACGUGCGAAAAAGUCCCGCUCCAUCUUCAGUCUCUUGUCGUUGUUCCGUGGAAUCGUGGUCUCCAACACAUCAAAAAAUGAUGCGAAGUUGUACAACGCAUGGCGGAACCGUGUCAUGAAGAACGCCGCACUGUAUGACCCAUUGGUGAUGGCAUGGACAAACACAGACGGCUUCAUCUUCCUGAUAGUGUUGAGCACCAUGUCCCUUGGGCUUACCCUGUCCAUGGUGAGGCUCUCGUCCAUCAAGGUCUUGAACUGGAACAGGCUGUUCACGACAAGCACCUCAUCAGGGUCAAUGUGGAUGUCCUCUGCCCGAACAGCCUCUGGCUGGGCUGUGAUGGCGUUGAACUUGAAUGACAUGCCGAACUUGCUUGCAUAGUUGCUGAGACGGUGCCCUGCCUCCUCGAUUUGCUCAGAUGGGCGGAACCCAGGCUGAGGCUUGCUGAUGCUGGUCAUCCUCACCUCUGGUGGCCCUCCCUCCCUGUCCGCCAGCCACUGGAUCAACUCCGGCCACUGCACUCCGAUGUUGAUGCCGUAGUGCACAAUGUGCAGUUUCUUCCUGCCUGCAACAGCUUUGUAGAUGGUCUUGUUGGAAAAGAGAAAUGCGACCUUAAAGAAGCAGAAGGUGGCGCUGUACAGAUGGUAAGCCUGAACAAGCUUCAUAGUGGAGGUGCGUGUCCCAAUGAGCGAACGGUAGAACUGACUCCCCGUGCCGGCCAGCCGUGCCUCCAGCCCCUGGGCGAAGUAAUGUGCCAGCCGCUGCCUAGAAUCCCCCGUUGGUGAGGAGUACCGCUUGAUCUUCUCCAGUACCUCGCUCGCGCUGCGAUGGUCGUUACUGGCCACUGCUUCCGCACAGCGGAUCAGCAGUGUUUCUAGGUCAGUGACCACCGUCUGUGUUGCACCGCGCCUCCCACGUAUGCGUCUGCUCUUCUGUGCCACCUUGUUCUCCUUGUCUGGAGUGAUUAGUAGCUCCUGCAUCUCACCGGGGUGCCUGUCAUAGCCAUUGAGGAUGAGACAGUCCAAGCUCUUCUUGAGCUCGUCCUCCUCCUCCGAGUCAGCAUGCACUAGCACCGCUAUUUGCUUGCUGCUCCUGCCCAUGCCUGCCUCCGUCACACCAUCCACGUCAAACUUGUUCUUACACCCCCUACUAUCCACCAUCACGAAGUCUCUGGGCAGGAACAUUUCGGUGUUCUCCAUGCCUUUGAAGAAUUCCGUGCUUGGCAUCUUGUUCAUGCUGGUGAUGCUAGCGCUCUCCAUGGGAAACUCGUCAUUCCUGGGCUCCACUGUGCCUGUACCAUUCGAGAAGAAGGCUGGAUCCUGUACCUUACUGGGCAGCAAGGCAGAGGCAAGCACAUCUGGUAGUGCCGAGGACUCGUCACCAUCGAAUGAGGUGGUGUCAGCAGCAGAGAGGAUCUGGGCGAAGGGUUGCUCAACCUGCAGGAGCUUCGGGUGAUCAGUGUACUGGUAGGUGAACUUGUCAACAAUAUCAUCCUCCAUGAGCAUGCGCGAGAUGUAUUCCAAGGACAGAUCAUCCUGUGGCUGCUUUGAGUCACCAUGGUCGAGGAAGACGGACGGAUGCACUGGCGCAGACUCGAUAACACCUAACAACUCCUCUUGGGUGGCAGCCAUGGUGGGUAGAUGCUACUUGGUGAUGGUGCAGUGGAAAUAUGUUGGAAUUGGAGUGGAGAUAUCAUUAUCAUCGAACCUCGUUGGUUUCUAGCCAUUGGAACCAGCUUUAAUACAAAUAUACAAUCCAGAUGGUUCGUUACUUGAUUUAACCGUCCCUGUGCUUAUGGACAAAAAAAAAGCAGCCAUCUUUUCUGUCCCUGUCUAAUCAAAAGCAGGAAUUCUCUGGUAGAAAAUAAUUUUAUGUGUUGAAGUUUUGUGCUGUUAUGGUACAGAGAACAAGUCAAAUUCUGAACGAUUUGUAUACUCAACUUUUUUGUCCUGAAAAUUUACAAUCGGUACCUGUAGUAGUUAGCAUCUAGAUGUAUGUAACUUGGAACGAUGUUCAGUCUUAUGUCUCUUUCCUGCCCCACGCUUGGACCAAACUAGUAGCAAAUUACACCUGCAAGUGAACAAUACAUUUGUUAGGUUAAACAAAUUGCAAAUUCAAACUCCAGCCCUCUUAGCAGAUUGAUUAUAUAUUAGUGUUUUUUCAGUCGUAUCAUUCUAAACGAGGAAACUUAAGAAAAAGGUGUUUUUUCAGUCGUGUACUCAUGUAUCAAUUUUAACUUACUCAUAUCAUUCUAAAUGAGGAAACUUAAGAAAAAAGUACGGCCAUCUUAUCACAUCAACUCUGGAAAAUAGGUGCAGCUCCACAAGCAGAUCAUGGAUUCUGUUACUCGACUACAAAAGUAAAUGGAGCGAUGAAACAUCUGAUGUUGCUGCAACUGACCUUUAUGGCUUGUUUAACUCAUCAAACACAAACCUAAUGUCUGUAAAAGUAAUUUACAAGCGACCGCAGAAGAUAUAUUAGCAAGAAGCAUAUAAUUCAUGUGUAUAUAUCUUGUAUUGAUUUACUUUUUGAAGGGAAACUUGAUUUGUGCACGGAACAAAUUAGUAAUAACUUAUCCUUAUGCAGGACAAAGAAGCUAAUAAUCUGUGGCAGUGUCGUCUAGCACCCACACCAAGAAAACUUAGAGGAUGCGCACCUUCCGCAACAACCCCUGAUCCACAUCCACAACAUAGUCCUUAUGGUACAGGCUCUUGUCCUUGUCCCUUGCCACCUCAACAUAAUCAGCUUGAGUGGCUGUUGUCUUAGGACUGCCCGUUGGUUUCUCAGUAGUACUAUGUUUUAACUCAAUAACUCUAUACAACAACUAAAAGACGAGAACAACAAUGGUGUUAGUUAGAUCUCUGCAAUUCCAAUCAGGCGAUCCAAAACCAUUAUAAUCAAUGUGCUUGUGAAUGUGAUGGCCUUUGUGUAUGUCUGUUGCGGUGCAUAUAUAUGAGUGUGCUUUUACAAUUUACAUCUUUCAGAUUUUCUCUCCCCUCAAUUGUUUUGCUCCAUUCUUCUGCCGACUAGUGUCAAGACCCAAUUGGAUUUUGCUGUUUUCUAAAUAUUUAUUUGCAUUUGGAUUUGGUCAGAAAAUUUUAUUAGAUGAAAAAAGAUUGGCAUAUUCCUGAAGACAGUCCAAAAUUCUUUCUAUGGACCCAGAUGAAAGAUGAACAUUGCCAUAUUCCUGAACAUGAAGGCAGUCGUUUUUUUUUCAGAACUACCAGUUGGUGGAAAAAUUCAAUGUACAAUAUACAAAAAUUAUAGUUAUGGAGUACAAGCAUGAUUCUGCUCUUGCACUGUAAGUCUAUAUUAAGUUAGACUCUUUCUUAGCCUCAGGGGUUUGUGCAGUGCAGUUCAUACUGUCUUCAAAUAUUUGCUUGGUCGGGUCAGCUCAUCUGAUCACCUGGCUACCAUAUCCUCGUAUAUGGUGUUCGUCUGCUGUUGUUUUCUGUUGCAACUUGGCAUGAUCUGGAUGUUUUCACACCUAUUCCAAAACCCCUAGUAUCGAUCCCUGUCAUUGCUGGAACCUUUUUUUGUUUCUCGUUAGUAGUUUUCAGCAUUGUUGGCACUAACAGGUAACAGCUGGUUUGCCAUGUCGAUCUACUAUUCUCUUCCUCUUUGUUUUUUUAUUCUCAGAUGGCGGAAUGUCUCACAGAAUAUCAUUUCAUCAUGCAACUAGGGGAAGUGACUGUUGUUUGUUUCCAGAGUUUGCAAUGUUGAUCUUUUUUAUUACAUUGCUCUCUUUUUUCAGAUAUCGGAAUGCCUCACAAAGUUUAACCUCAUCAUGCAAUUCACAAGGGAGGUACUUAGCAGCACUAGUGCUGGUGAAUGGUGAUAGUUUCAAGGGAAAGUGUCUACUGACUAUACUGUGAACUCAUACAAUGAAAAGAUGAUUGAUUGUCUGGGAUUUCUAAGGGAAAGAUGGUUGUGAUAGACGGUAAGUAAACUACGCUACAAAUUAUGAACCACUAAACCGCUUCUGUAGAAGAACAAUUCUGCUGACUUAAAGUUGGGAACAUCUGUUGGUUUAGCUCAGGGAUUGUACAGUUUAGUUUUUAGUUUUAUGAUAUCUGUGAACAACGAUCUAAAUGACGACCGCAAAAAGUAUUUGAUAUGCGAGAUUUUAUUCUUCAUAUGUACACGGACACCUUGGUGCAGGUUGCACAAUAGAUUUUCAUCAGGUAUAUAAGAGUUUUGACCAAUCAGGUUGCGCAGUAGAUUUUUUCAUUAGGUAAUAAAAGAGUUUUGACCAUACUUAAAAAAAGACCAAAUGUGCCCAAGCAUCCAUUGGUAGUUGAAUCUAUGUCACUUCAGAAGUCAGAACUGCUAGCAACAUCAGCUACCCAUGUGGCCAUGUCAAGAGGGUGUAGAGCAUUCAGGCCUUCCCAUCCCUCCACAAGCCGUUGGUGAUCCUCAUCGAUCAGGAAAUGCUUGUGGUGUUGCCUCUUCACUUUGUCCUUCAAUAUAACAAUGUCAGUCAAGUGGUCAUAGACCUGACAGACCAAGGCCAUGGUGCGGAUCCAAGUGAUAAUGCUGCUUGGGCAGGUAAGAGGAAUGAGUGGACUCCGGCAAUGUGGGUAAACAGAGGAAGCGCAUAAUGUCUGAUUGAGAAAUUUGAAGAAAGAUAUCCAGACACCUAAUCAAACUGUUUUCAUGGGCUGUACUGGACCGAAAAUCAAAGAACUUAAUCAUGUUCAAUUCAAGGCGCACGAAACUUCUUUUGUCAAAAGAAGAUCCUGAAAGCAUUCGCCACCUGUUGUUUCAAUGUUGUGCUGCUAGAAGAUUUGGCUGCUUAAAUCUGAUAUCCUGAUCCGCUCAGUUGGCACUAACUUUGAAUCAGUUGCAUUUGGAUUCAGGAUUCAGAGUCGAGACAAGGUGGCAUUUCGAUGCAGUAACUAGCAAGGACCAUUUGAGUAACUUCUCAAACCUAACAUGAUAUUAAUUUUUAUUUCAACUAGGGUUCUUUGGAUGACACUACAUAAGCUAAAUUAUAGCACUUUUAAUAAAAAAGAAUUUGUUGAUCUAAAAGAAAAUUCAGACACUAAUUUUUGCUUAAGGAAAAUACAUUCCCCAGACACUCCCUUGCAGAACUUUUCAUUGGACUCAGUCUAGCUAUGAGAUUUAUCAUCUCUGCUUCAAACUUUCAAGCACUGCCAUUGAAAAGGUUCCAAUCAUGGACAUCAAAGUUCAUAACCGCAAGUCUGAAAACCUCUGACAUUGGUAAGCAUCCUGCUUCUUCUGCAGGUACUGCUGAUCCAGCUGCAACCGCCUGGGUGCUCUCACUCAAGGGGCUGGAAUAAAAAUGACAAAAGAAUAAAUCACUCGAGGAGCAGAACCUGUAGAACUGGACAAUUAUGCAGCAGAAACAUAUUAUCAGAUCCCCUACAACAUAAAAAUCAAGGCAUCAAUAAUUGUAGGUUUGUGUCGUGAACUUGGAUAUGGAAGUCCAUACUACUUUUGCUUACUUUCACUCAGAUCUAAUACUACUAUCUUCAUAUUAUAUGUGAUGCAUCAUCAUACUGUUUUACCUGCAUUUGAACUGAAAAAUCUAGUUUUGAUAUUCUGUCUUGCUGUACUACUACAAUUGCAUUUGAAGAGGCUCGGCCUAGGCAGUAAAACUGAAGGAACUACCGGAGCACAACAUGCUGCUUUUCAUCUGGAUUUCAACUGAAUAUUCGAUUUUGUGUUCUAGAAAAAAGCCUGAAAAGUCUUUUUUUUUCACAUUUUGGUUACACCAGUAACCACACCAGUAUGAUAGGCCAACUGCAUUCAACGUCCUAGCCUAGACAAAGAACUGAAAGAAAGAUCUGAGCCUGACAGGGUAGCCAUACUGUUUAGAUACAAAGUCAAGGGAUAAUUGUUAUUAUGUAAAAUCAUUAUUGACCCUCACUCAAAACAUGUCACUAAAAAUUAAAUUUAUGCAAGGAAAUAUUGUGUUAAAUAAGUUGUACUUCUCCUAACACAUCAUUAGAUAGUAAUCAAAUCAUACAAAGAGCAGCAAAUGGCACUAAGCAGUACUGGCUGAGAUGCACAAUCUGAAUAACAUUUUGUACCAUAUAAAGUAAAAAACAUAAUAGAAACGUUUUGUCAAAAAAUUCCCAUUAACCAGAAGAAGUAUGUGAUAGUGAUAUGCUGAGCUUACUUUAUCAAAAGUGGCUCAUAUGCGGUGAUAACUACAUCUGUAGCUGCAUUCUUCAGACGUAAGUUUGCCAAGUAAACCUGCAAAGGUAAUGCAAGACUCCUCAGUUUAAAAGGCCAAAUUAACUGAUUAACCAUACUAACCAAGGAAUUGUGUAUCUGGUAAAAAAACCAAGGAAUUGUGUACUAACUCGAACAAUGUUCUGUGCUUCUCUGCCUUGUCUCCCUUUUGAAACUGCCUACAGAAAUGACGAAUACCAGGCAUGAGAUUUAAAAGUGCAUUUUAUUCACUUUUUUUUGACCGAAAAACUGUAGGAGAGAUUCCGACAGUAUAUAUAUAAUUAUAGAAAAAAGUUCAUAAUUACAACACGCGGCGAUUUUAUUCACUCAUCGCCCAUUCAGAGCUAAGCGCCCACCAUAUAAAUGGAUACCAACGAACUGAAGUAGGAGUAUCAAAUUAAUGAGGCUGAGCUGUGGAAGCCGACUGGUGCCAUGGAGCUUGGAAGCUGCCAUCUCAUGCCAGGUCAUCAGAGAAGAAGCAACAUUUUAUCCUUUUUGUUUUCCUUUUGUUUUUUCGAUCAGACCUAGUUUGUUUCUUUGUGGUUGCAGCCAUGUUGCUAGUUUGAUUGCACUAACCAAUAACCAUUGGUGGCUUUGGUUCUGCAAUGAUGUAAUCUUUGUGCAAUUUCUGUGUGUUCCCUAGAACACAACAAGAAGUGCAAUUAGGUGUGUACUCUAGAAACAAAGAAGUGUCGAAGUUAAUUUAAUCAUGAUGCACAUUCCGACAAUGUUUCAUAAAUCCUAAUAUUUACUUGAUCAUCAGUUCUCUCACAAUGAGAGUACUAUGUCUCCCACUAAGUCAUCCCAUUACCUUUUUAUUGAAGAAAUAAGCAUAUGCAAGUUAACUUGUACCAAAGGGCAAAGGGACAGGAACCAUGUAAGAAUGUUAAACCUUCCCGCAAUACGAACAACACAACCAACGACAAAUGAUGUUCAGACAACGAAAAUCCCUUGUUGUUUGUUUUCAAGGAUGGAUGGCAAUGUCCACUGAAAAGUACUCCAUCUCUGUAAUGUGCAGUACUAGUCUAAAGUAUGGUUUGGGCCGACUUAAUGAUGCUAUCAUAUCCAGGGAAGCCCAGGUGAAAAACUGAAAACUAAUUGACUGGACAUCGACUGAAGACAAGGAGGAGGGUAAUCUGGAUAUGCACAUGACAAUUAGCUCACCAGCUUGCCAAUUGCAGUUCCAGCCACUGCAGAUGCUUCUCCGUCCCGCAGACCAGCUAGCUGAACCGUCCCAGAGUGCUCGAUCACCUAGCAGACAAGCAAGAAAUCAACAUACCCCUCCCCUUAAUGCAUCUUGCUCGUUGGCGUAUCUAGUUCCAUGAGGAAGUUAACAACAAUGAAAUGCACGUGAAAUAGAAAGGGAGUACAUUUGUUGUUGCCGGGGCCAAAUGCCAAAGCACAUACUAGUAAGAAUUGGUGCUAAAACGAGAUUUAUAUGGCCAAGUGGCCAACGGCACACUGAAGCCAAGAUGCUGAUAAUAUUACCAUGUCAUCCCCCGCAUCUUGCUCGUUGGCAACGUCACGCAGGAACCAGAGCGCGCUGCCGCCGUCCUCCACCUCGCCCUUGAGGUCGAGCAGCUCGAAGAUGAGGCUCUCGUCACGGGCAGGAUCAACGAAAACUUCCUGGGUAGUAAGCAGCAGAGUCACUCACAUCGAUCACUAUCAGAACGAUUCUAACAAGACCGGAAGUGAGGAAUUGGACGAACCUGAUGGUCGGGGACCUCGCGAAUGUUGCUCACAUCCUGACCAUAAACCAAACCAAAACGGCGUAAGCACGAGCGAGUGGAGGACAGGAGGAGGAGCACGGCUGCAAGGGAUGCGUGUAGUAGGAGGAGACAGGGCGGGCGUGUACCUGGAACCGGAAGGGGAAGGAGCUGGAGAUGGCGCCGCCGAACAGGGGCCGCCUGGUGCUGCUCUCGACGGCCAUCGUCACUCGGAUUCUUGCGACUAAAGCGUAGAAGGGGCUGGGGGUUUCGGGUGGGCGAGACGAGAGGGCCGGGCGAGUUCCCGAUCCGAGCGACAGUUUUUAUAGGCGGCCGAGAGGAGGGGAAGCGAGCUCGCCGCGCGUCGAUUUCACGCACGCCACCGCGGCAACCUUUCGUGCGUCAAUGCUACGCCGAGUUUGGCCGUUCUCCUUCCUUCCUGCACGCAGUAACAUCGUGGGCCAGGACCAUGUCGUUGGGUCCAUCCAAAGUGGCUGGCACCAUACGGCAUGUGCGCAAGUGCAACGGCAUGUGCGCAAGUGCAACGUCCCCUUGUUAUUUUUAGGCCUCCGGAGUCCGGAGUCCGGAGCCUAUCUAAUAUACGUUGUCUUAGAGCAUUUCCAACCGUCCCCCCUAAAGGCCUCCCUAAACGGGUUUGGGAGGCGUCUAAAAUCUGACCCAGCCGGUCUCAUCAAUUUGUUUUUUUAUCCGGCACGGUUCAGAAAGUUAGCCGGCACCCUCAGGCCGAACCCAACCCACGGGGGGCGAGCGGGGGUGCCGGCUAUGGCGCAAAAUCACGCGGGUAAGCACUGUCAGCGGCACAACCCCAAGAACAAACCCUAUUUGCGCCAAAUCGCCGACUUCCACCCCGAAUCGACAACUUCCGCCCCAAAUCACCGACGGAACCACCCCUCUCACCGACGAUUUCCACCCCAGAACUGCCGCCGCAUAGAUCUUCCUUUGCUGGCACAGUUCCAGUUCCGCUGUUCGCCGCCGGCCAGUUCCAGCACCGCGUCGGUGCCCACCCAGCGGCCACCUCUUCGCUUCUUGCUGUCAAGGUGUUCGGUGAUUUGCCAAGGCCAUGGAUUCGGACGACGAAGAAAUGCUCGCCACGCUUUUUGACGAGGAAGUCGCCACUGCCGAUGAUGCUACCUCCGGCGGCGAACAGGAGCAUCAACUCAUCGUCUUGUCGCUUCUUGCCCUCAUCGCCGAAGAUGCAGAGCGGCCGGGAAGGAGAGGAUCGAGGAAGGGCCGCCGCAAGAGCAAGGCCAGGCAAAGGAUGGAAGGCUACUGCAUAUUGUACGCCGACUACUUCGCCGAUGAUCCAUUGCACAACGAUGUGAUCUUUCGGCGCCGAUUCGGAAUGUCUCGGAAGCUUUUUUUGAAGAUCGUCGAGUACCUCUGAGAGUACAACGAUUACUUCAAAUUGAAGAGGGACGCCGUCGGCACACUCGGUUUCACAUCAAUUCAGAAAUGCACGGUAUCCCUUCGUUUGCUUGCUUAUGGAAUUCCUACCGAUACACAUGAUGAUUACCUCCGCAUGGCCAAGUCCAUGGCCAUCAAUUGCAUGUACAGGUUCUAUAGGGCAAUUGUGGUGGUGUUUGGAGAGCAGUACUUGAGGACACCCACUGCAGAAGACACAGCUCGGAUCAUGGCACAUAAUGCAGAAAGAGGAUUCCCAGGUAUGCUUGGCAGCAUCGACUGUAUGCAUUGGUCAUGAAAGAACUGUCCAUUUGCACACCAGGCAUGUAUAAAAGCCACAAAGGAUUAUGCAGUGUGGUGCUUGAGGCGGUGGCCGAUCAGGAUCUGUGGAUUUGGCAUGCCUUCUUCGGUAUGGCAGGAUCGCAUAAUGACAUCAAUGUGCUGCAAUGCUUGAAUGUGUUUGCCAAGCUUGUUGAAGGCACUGCUCCUCCGGUGAAUUAUGAGAUGGCCAUGUGUACAACAUGGGAUACUACCUGGCAGAUGGCAUCUGUCCAAGAUGGUCGACCUUUGUGAAGACAAUCUCAAACGCACCCACAGGAGGAGCAAGAUCUUGGUUUGCGAUGCAACAGGAAGCAUGCAGGAAGGAUGUCGAGCGAGCAUCUGGCGUGUUGCAGGCUCAAUUUGCCAACGUCCGGUACCCUGCUCUCACUUGGUCGAAAGAUCAGAUGUGGGAGGUCAUGACUGCCUGUGUGAUCAUGCACAACAUGAUCAUCGAGAGCGAGCGGGAAUGUCCGGUGUUUGACACUGAACUGUAUGAAUGGAUGGAUCCUCUAGCCAAUGUCAAUCACCAGGUGCCGGCCGCCUUUGCUACUUUCCUCGCCCGGCGGCAAGAAAUUCGAUACGUCGGUACUCAUCAGCAGCUUCAAGAUGAUCUGGUCGAGCAUUUGUGGAGGCUCUGAGGAAACGUCUAGUUUUUCUUAUUUAUUUGCUUGAAUUUGAUUAAAUUUGUUUGAAAUGUGAUUCAAAACUUAUCAAAUAACGUGCUUGUUUCAAUUUGCAAUAUUUGUAAAAUUGGUUUGGGAAGGCGUUUGGGGGCGCCGGCUGGGAACCGGUUAGACCUUAAAAACAAAUUCUAGCCGGUGCCCCCCAUACGACCUAAAAAAGUGGUAGGCCGGAUGCGAAAUGGGGGGGAUGGCUGGAGUUGCUCUUAGGCCAUCCCCAACGGGGCGGCCCAUUUUGUCCGUUUGGGCAAAACGGACACCAAAAUUCGCUUUUUGGGCCGGACAUGACCCAUUUCUAACCCAGGCGGAUGGUCAUUUUUGCACUGGGCUCGUCCGCACCUGCCACCUUUUUCCUCCCCUGGCCCGCAUGUCCAUGAGUAAUAAAGCGGACCAAAUGGGUGGCCUCGCUGGGGCAGUGGCAGACCCAAAAGUGAAUUGGACAAUCCGUUUGGCCCAAACAGACACAAAAUGGGUCCGUCUUGCGCGGUCCGGUCGGGCCUAAACGUACAAAACGUGCCUCCCAGCGGGACGACCCAUUUGAUCGGAGGUCCGGAUUUUGAUUCGGUUGGACACAUAUCCGUCCCAAAUUUUGGCCGGGUUUGCGUUAACCCAGACCAUGCGCGGAGAGCCGUCGCGUCCGCCCUAGUGUCAUAGGGACCCGCCCGUUAGCCACCCAACACAAAGUCGUCUCAUCCCCAUUUCCAUCUCCACAUCCCGACUCCUGCCCCCAUCCACGCCUCCGCCUCCGCAUGUCUCGCCAGUCUCCCUCGCCGGCACAACCGAGUUCUCCCGACGGCCUUCUACUCGCCGCCGCCGCCGUGCCCGAGUUGAGCAUCGUAGCGCCCGCCAUGGCCGACAACGAUGGCGAGUUCUUCUUCAACUACUUCCUCGACACCUCGUCCGAUGAGGACUCUGACGGCGAGGCCGAAUUGCUGGUGAGUGCAGCUCUCUUCUUCCAUCGGCAGAACCAGAUCGAGCGUCCAAUUCGUAGGGGUUCGAUUAGGGGGCACAGGGCUGCGCUAGACCGUAACAAAGAGGCCGACCAUGUUCUUCUUUUCAAUGAUUACUUUCAUCGCACCGACUCUGUGUUUCUUGCCCAUCUAUUCCGUCGUCGUUUUCGCAUGAGGAGGCCGUUGUUUAGGCGUCUCAUGCAAGGGGUGGCCGGAUCUGAUGAUUACUUCAUAUGCAAGCCGGACGCUACCGGCAAGGUUGGCUUCUCCGCGUAUCAGAAAUGCACGGCCGCGAUCCGGAUGCUGUCCUAUGGAGUUCCCAGCGACAAUAUUGAUGAGUAUUUGCGCAUGAGCGAGACCACAUGCUUUGAGUCAAUGUAUAGAUUCUGCACCACUGUGGUUCAAGUGUUUGGUUCUCAAUACCUGAGGGCACUGACGACUGCGGACACAGCACACUUUUUGUCGAUCAAUGAGUCCAGGGGGUUUCCUGGGAUACUAGGAAGCAUCGAUUGUAUGCAUUGAGAGUGGCAGGGUGCAUACAAAGGCCAUACCGGAGGAUGCACCGUGAUUCUUGAGAUCGUUGCAUCUCAUGAUCUUUGGAUUUGGCAAUCUUUCUUCGGCAUGGCGGGCUCUCACAAUGGCAUCAACGUGCUUCAACGUUCCCCGGUCUUCUCUAGGCUUGCGGAAGGCCAAGCUCCGGUGGUGAACUAUGAGAUCAAUGGCCACCAGUACAACAAGGGGUAUUACCUAGCCGACGGCAUUUACCCUGAUUGGUCGACAAUUGUGAAGACUAUCCACAGGCCGCAAGGAGAGAAAAUAUGCAGAUUUGCUAAAGAACAGAGAGUGCUAGGAAGGAUGUUGAGCGGGCAUUGGAGUGCUACAAGCUCUUUGAGCGAUUGUUCUGUCAUCCUGCAAGUCAGCCUGGGCAUUCGGUUUAACCGAGCCGAUUGGUUCGGUUCUUCGGGUUUUCAGAAAUUUCGGUUCUUCAAAAAUCUUGACCGAUCGGUUCCUGAGAAAAUUAGGACCGAAAUAUUUUAGGAGCGAAACUUCGGUUCGGUUCUCGGUUAUAACCGAACAAAACCGAAUGAACCACGGGCAACACGUGAGAAACCAAAUUGUGAAGAAAAAGUUGCCAUACUGACAGCUGGUCCUCUCGUAAACGAAAGGAUAGACGGAGAGGAGAGUCAGGUCGAUGGCGAUCCAUGGAGGCGGUGGCCGGUCAGGCCGGAGCGACGCAUUAUGGCGAGCUGGCGUGAUGAUUGGAAGGCUGGCGCCCUGGCGGCCAGGGUUGUAGCUGGGAAUUCGGGAGAGACAGCGCUACAGCCUACAGGCAGAUCGAUCAGGAUAAAACCAGUCGUUUUUUCUUAUGCGCUUGGUCUAGUGGGCUGCGAGCCUGGGACGAGCUGUCCUUGUGUAGACAUGCGGUUGGGCCAGGACUUGGCCGGCUGAAGCCCAGGGCGAUGCGUGCAACGGAGUACGUGAACAGGCAGGAGGCUAUUCUGAUUCUCAAAAAAAAAAAAAGGCAGGAGGCUAUUCUCUUGACUGUUGUUACGAAUAAUUGUUCUUCGGGUUUUCUCGGCUAACCGAGGGCAGGAACCAAACUACCCGUAAAAACAUGUUUCAGACCGAAAAUUUAAACGAUUUCGGUUUUCGAUUUUUCGGUCAACGGUUUCGAUUUCUCGGUUUUUAUGCCCACCCUGACCUGCAAGAACAUGGGAUGUGGAGGUCAUGACGAGGUGAUGACUGCUUUUGUGAUCAUGCACAACAUGAUUGUCGAGAACGAGCGAGAUGAUUCCUGAUCAAGAGUGGGAUUUCCUCGGUGAUUUGGUUGAACCCCAACUUGGACCGGCAUCUUUCCAACAGUUCUUCUAUACUCAUCAUGAAAUUCGGGAUCGGACAACUCACAACCAACUCCAAAAUGGUUAAGCAUUUGCGGCAGCAUGUUGGAAAUCAGUAGUGGAUUUCCUAUUUAUUUUAAUGUUUGAACUAUAUUUGUUUAUUUGCAUUAUUUGUAUUGGAUGAUUUCUAAUAAUUCCGAACAUUUGGUUUGUAUUGUUUGGAUGAUUUGCAAUAAUUCCGAACGGUUGUUGUUUUAAUUUUUGGUGUAUUAAAUUUUUAUCAAAUGGUCACAAAUGGGUGGCGCGGUCCAAUCCAAACAGAUGAAGGCCGGACUGGGGCCUUUUUCUGUCCGUCCCGCCACCCAAACCGGACAUAAAAAGCGGUUCGUUUGGGUCGCCCCGCUGGAGUUGCCCUAAGAGCAUCUCCAGCCGGCGGCCCUAAAGGCCCCGCAAACCAAAUUUGGGGGCGCUGACGCCCAAAAGUACCCAGACGAACCCCUCAUUCUCAAAAUUUAGCCGGCUCGGCCCAAUGAAUUAGCCGGCGCCCCAGGCCAAACCCAACCCACGGGGAGGCGAGCGGGGGCGCCGGUGAAGCGUUUUAUGGCUGCGGCCUGCACUGUCAGACGCCAUUUAUCGCCCUCACCGGCUUCGCCUCAGCUUCCCAGGCGAGUUAUGGCAGUCGCCAAGUCAAACCGUCGUCUUGUCUCGUCGGCUUCCACGCGGCACGCCCCCACACAUUCCCAACCAGAAGGAGGCGGAGCAGCGCCACCGCCUCUGCUACACCGCCUCCAAGGCCAAAUUCCAACCGUGGCUCGACGAGGAGAACUGGCAACGCCAUGGGGGACGGGACGGCUGGAGAUGCUCUAAAAUUCAUGUUCACUCAAACCUCUGUAUAUUCUCAAAAAAAAAAACUCAAACCUCUGUGUUAGAGGAAAAAGUUUUUGCAUACCACCAUACAAUAUCCCUUGUCACAAAAAAAAAACCAUACAAUGUCCCAUUUAUCCCUUUUAUGUUCACUCAAAACCUCUGUUUUCUUCUCAAUGCAAUCGACAGCAUUAAGAAUACAGCCAGGAGUUCCAAACAAGUGAAUCUAGCUAAGUAGAUCCCAAAAAUACUGCAGAAGGGGACGAGCCUUUGUUUCAGCCCUUCGGAGGCUCGGUCUCCGCUCUAUGUAGACAGCCAAACAGGAGUUGUCGAAGCAGAUUGAAAACACGACAUGGAAGAGGAAUUACUCAAUCCUCCUCUUCAUCCUGUUCCUCUUCAUCAUCAUCAUCAUCGGACCCCUGGAAAAGUUGAAAGAGAAUGAUGAAUACAGAUACACAGGGACGGAGCCAGAAAAUCGGCAUGAGGGAGGCGAGAAAAAUCAAAGCUGCAAAACCGAACUGCAUAAUAGAUACUCCUAUCAAUAAUAAAUGUUUCGGAUUUUGUACUAAAUCUUAGACACUUAUUAUGGAUCGAAGGAAAUAUGUAGUCUUGAUAUCCAAUAUAUAUAGAUAGCAUAGCAAAUAGAGUCAAUUCUAAAUAAUAAAAAUAUAACUGCAAUUGAAGAACCCAAUCAAUUUUCUAAUCUGAACACAGUUUGGCAGUUUGUUUGUUCUAAUCGAUUUUCUAAUCUGAGCACAAUCGAUCGAAUGGAUCAAUAGCCAAUCGGGCUUUUGCUGGGCCGUUAGGCACAAAUAUGCAGUCCCAGAUGGGUAGGGCCUACAGAGGGGCUUAGGGGGCGGAGUUACAGGCCCAACUACUUUUUUCAUUUCAUCCAAUGGCCGAUCGUUUUUGCGCCCCCCCCCCCCCCCACCCCCCGCUUCCUCGAGAAAAAAAAGAUAUCACCAGCUCAACCUCAGUUCCCUCAAAGAAUCUAGAGAGCAUAAAAGCCUUAAAGUGUUGCUAAAAAAAAAUCCUCAAAGCAAGAGCAGUAUAGACGCAGCACUCUUUAGCAGUUUUAGCUUGGGAUUGCAGCAGCUGUAAUGAUGCUCCAUGUUGUGGUUAACCAAUGCUCAUAGAAACAGAAAAUAUGUAUCGAGAAGCCACAAAUGUCAUUAACUUUUUAAGUCAGGUAUAACAAAAAAUGAUGAUAAAAACAGAAAAUAUGUAUCGAGAAGCCACAAAUAUCAUCAGGAUAACUAAGGGAGCUAUGCAUAAUUGCAUCAGUAUGGAUAUUAAACACCAUUGCAGGACUAUAAACAUGUUGUGCAAUAUGUAUAUGGAAUUGCAGGUAAAGAUAAUAUGAUACCUCUUCGUCUUCCUCCUCAUCUAGUACAAAUUCUUCUUCAGCCUCCUGCAAUAAGAGGUUUGAGAGGAAAUGAUACAAAGAUCCAAAAUAGGAAAUAAUAAGUCCAAAUAAAUAAGCCACUUAGGCACUUAUAUAACAAUAGAAGCACUAACAUCGUUGAAAUAUUUCAAAGGAUUAGGCCACAACUCUUCUUUGAUGAUAUCUGUCACCUGCGUAAUUGAAAUUCUCAGCUAAUAUACUCAACGGGGAAGAAUUAAAAUUACUAAAUUUUGCUGUUCUGUCAACCACGCGGAUUCACAGAGACAAAACCUCGGAUCGAAUGAAAUAAGUUUAGCAGGAGCAACAGCAUAGGACAGACGAGCAAUCCACAAUACCUCAUCCACUCCGUCAACAGAACUUUUGUUCUUUGCAUCAUUGAACCAAGUGAAGAAACUGCAAAAGAAGAGACAAGAAAAAAAACAAGUCAUCUUCACAAAUUUCUAAAUUGCAACUCAAGUGGAAUAAGCACAUAUUACCAUGCUGGGAAAAACAAUAACUGCCGACAGAGCAGAAAAAAAAAAGAAAAGAACAUGAAAGAAAAGGGAAAAAGAGACCACAAUACUUUAUUGCACUCGCACUCCUGCAGUGAAGCACAUGUAUUUUGGCUACUCGGCAGUCUCAAUGCUUAUCAGCAACAAAUCACAGCAAUGUUGCCCAUCAUAUCUCAUGGCAGAGCUGGGCUGGCUACUUUUGGUUUAUAAAUUGUUAAUGUUUACCUAGUAUUGGCACUGAAACUGAGCCACAAACUCUAACAAUCUACUCCGUACAAAACAAAUGCUAAAUAUCAAGAAAAGAGUCCAUGUUUAUGCUUAUCAUGGGCAAAUUGGUACAGACCUAGCUUAUGAUAUAACACAAAAUGAUGCUAAAGCAGUCCGUAGGUAUGAAUGAAAACCAAAACAGAAUUAUUAAUGAAAUGAUAAAAUCACAAUGAAGUUACAAAAACCAAUACAGUUUCUUUGUACAUAUAUGUUGAUUGAGUUAUUCAUUAGUUUUUAAAAAACUUUGUAAUCAUGAUGCCUGUACUGCGGUGUACUGGUCUUGAAUGUCAGAGUUGAUGCAACCUAGAUCUACAAAUGAUCUAGCAAACCAAACAAGAUUACAUACGCACCAACAAGGGUCUAUGCUUUUAAUGAUAACUGUAGCAGUACAUAUAUAUGCCUCAUAAGAAACACAAACAUAUAUAUUCAUUAAGAACAUGCUGAUAUGAAAAAAAAGGAGAGCACAAUAACGUGUAUCUUUAAACAAGUUGAUGAAAACUAAACCACCUUUUAAAGUUCUUUAAAAUUUUACUGUGAAACUUAAAACCAAUUGUCGUCCAAAUAAGGAAUUUUGUGUGUAUGUGUGUGCAUUGCGAAAAACUGUUUGUGCCCAUGCCAAGGUAUUACUCACAAAAAUGAUGUAUUGAGUAGAAAGAUGCAACUGAAUGAAGAUGCACAAUAUGGUUAUGAUUUAUAUCAAGUAUGAGAACUAAGCUUUACCUGUAAAUGAAAACAAGCACAACAAACUAGUAUGAUUCAUUACUUGAUUAUAUAACUAAUAGCCAAACUAAGUUACUACUUCAAGUAGGAAAAAAAAAGAAUUGUGAAAAAACAUAGAAACUAGCAAACCUCUCAUCAAUCAAUAGUCGUUUGCUCCCAUCUUUCGUGUAAGCCUUUCCAUUGACAAUAUCCUUGAUGUAUCAUUAGAAAAUUUAUUAGAUCUGAUUUUUUCCUACCAGAAAAAUUGUAACUGAAGUGCUAAUAGUGAUCGAUGAGGCACAGUACCAUUCCUGUCUUCCAAUUGAUGGAGCUAGACUUUACAGUUAUUUUUCCAUGCUCACUGAACGUACAUGAUUUUGUAAGCUUUGUAUCUUCAAAAUAUGGAUUAGGAGAGAAUGUCUGCCGGUUCAAGUUAAUAACAUGUGAGCAAAGGGAAAGAAAUAAGGAAAUCAAAGCCUGCAGACGCAAAAGAAGCUUACAAGAGUAAUGGAGUAGCCCGAUUUCCCAUCUUUAAACUCAUCCACAUCGAUGGACUCCAAGUGCUUGAAUAUCUACAAGGGAAAAAAAUAAAGCUUGAUGAAAUCGUACAAGUAAUAUAUUCCAACUCGGCAGUUGUUCCACAGAAAUGCUUAGCAUAGCAAUGUUGUAUUUUUAUAACCAAAUCCUACUUUUGAUACACUAGCAUAAUACCUGUGGAUUGCUAAGGAUAAGAAAAAUCUAUAAGCAUGCUUAAGAGUUAAGGCGAUCUUUAUGCCGUUCAUGCCGCCACCAAUUGAUAUUUAUAGGACUGAAGAAAUACUAAAAGUUAAAAAGAAUGCGCCAAUGGUAUACUUUUCCUACAAAACAAGGUACCUUUUGAUCAUCUUCAGUUAGAAGUUCACCAAGCUUAGGAUGGCUAAGAAACUGCAUGGUGAAUCCAUAAAAUCAGAAAGGAUGAGAUUAUAUCAAUCAGCAAUUUCAGCAAACAAACAGAUGAAUAUAAAGCAUCAUAGAACAAAUUACAAACCGCGGUCAGCCAAAAGUCUGGAAUUUUCCUGAUGAGUUCAUUCCGUCGGGCAUAGACUGGUCUGAGAAUUUCAUUGUAUUUCUGAUCCACCUCCAGAACUUUAUCACUUGCUUCCUCGUUAACCUACAAUAAAUGGUUGCUAUGAGCCUGGCUAUUAGCUGACUGCCUAGUAGUAUAAUUGUGUUCCAGCACUUCGGUUGAAUUUAGCUUGCACUUACAAAUAUGUUCUUGUCAAUGUAGACAUUCAUAUACUGGUUUUGUUUCAAAAUGACAAACUAUUAAACCGAAAGACCACUUAGCUAGGAGGUAAAGUGCCUUACCCUAUGCAUCCUAGGUGUUAAGUGUUUCAUCAUUAUCUGACACACGGAAUACAUAAUUGUGAUCUUUUCGCGAAGUUCAAUAACAGAACUAUGACACAAAAUUUAACAUGAUGGAGCAAUUAUUAAGCUAAAAAAGCCUGACAUAAGAUGAUCUGUAACAUUGUGGAUUGGAAGAACCAUCAAAUAUGUGUAUAGAAGGCAAGGCGCAUAACAAGGCGUUAGCAUUUUCUCACUCUGAAGGAAAUUAGCUUGUAUUGGUCUGAGAGGGCAUUGGGGGAGGGGCAUUUAGCAGGCAUUUCUGCGAUUACUUUUCCAACAACACUUCAAUUGAUUGUUCAAUUCAUCAUGUGCUGCAAUAAUGGGUUUCCUAUAGCGCUGUCACCAUAUUUUCAGGCUACCAGACCACCAAGUUGGUUCUAAAAUAAACAAUUGCAAUUGCCAAUUGCCACACUCCCUGUUCCCUAGGAAUCUCAGAUUGCCCACAAGCAUUUAACUGCAAUCAAGAUUUUUUGUAAAUGUUUACAAUCUAGUGGGCAUAAGCUCAGGAGUGACUAGUGAGUGAUUUGAAAUUAAGAACAGACACAGGGCACAAUUCUGCAGUAGCACAAGCGAACACUCAAAUCCAACGUUCAGCCACAAGUACCCAAAUUAGACUCCUCCCGAUGGCACAUCCAAAUCGGUAAGUCACAGAGAAACCAGCUCACACAUCACGAAAUCGGGACUCGGGGAUUAUUCUGCUACUCCUAAAUUCCAAGCAGCCUCUGUGCAAAAUAUCCCGAAAACGGAAAAACGACACCGAAUCUAAUGCCGGAGCAACCAAAGCGUACCACAACAGCUGUCCGCUGGCGAGAAUCUCUUGAGAAGCGAAGCGACUCACCCUCUCGAUCUCGUCCUGGAUAUCAUGGAGCUUCUCGACGGAGAGAAAGAGGUCCUUGUCGAUGUCAUCGCCCUCCUCCUCCUCGUCGAUCCUCGGUCUCUUCCCCUUCUGCUCCGGCGUCGCCAUCUCGAUAAGCCCUUGGCGAGCUCUAGGGUUUUAGCAAGCUUUUCCGGGGAGGCUGGCUGGGCUGCCUCUGUGGUCUGUGGGUGAGGGAGAUUCGCGCCGUGGUCUUUGACUUCUACAUUGUGUCAUUGUAGUUCGGCCUUAUCUUAUGGGCCGAGUGUUUGCGGUUGGGCCUCAUUGUCGACCCAGGAGGCCACACAUGACGACUGGCCUUUUUUUUUUAGGGAAAACACAUGACGACUGGCCUUCUACUCCUCCCGAACACUAAUGUGUUCCUUUAUCUCUCUAAAAAACACUAAUGUAUUCCUUUAAAUCCUCUCAAAAAAAACUAUGUAUUCCUUUAAUUGCCCUAAAACACCUUAUGUAUUCCUUUUAUUUCGUCGGUUAAUAAACUUUUUCAGAGACUUGGUCAAAACAAAGUUUUUCAGAGCUAAUCAUUUAGUACUCCCUCCGGUCAUAAUUACUUGUCGAAAUAUUACAUGUAUCUAGACAUUUUUUACACAUAGAUACAUCCAUAUUUGGGCAAAUUUGAGACAAGUAAUAUCGAUCGGAGGGAGUAGUAAAAUUUGGAGAGUAUUCUCAAAAUCCUCCCAAACAGUUAUGUACUUCGUAUUUCCUUUAAUUUCAUUGGUUAAUAAAGUUUGGACGAGUAUUCUCAACAAAAAGAAAAGGACAAUGGAUGGAGUCAUGGAGCAACCCUAACAGCGGAGCAGCUAAUGUAUCUAUAACAAUAUAUUAAAUUGGAGUUAGUGGUGAUGGUACGGACUUUGCAGUACGUCCUCACCCCUCCCCUUCUCGCGAGUCGCAAUCCGAUCCGAUCUCCAUUGAGCUAGCCCGCACGAGGGCUUCUUCCCCUUCGCAACCCGCAACAACCAACAAGGCUCCCCCUCCUGCAUAUCCCCUCAUGGCUCAUCUCCUCACCCAAAUCAUGCUCCUCUGCAUCCGCCCAUCUUCCUCCCCAUGCCACUGCCGCACAUGCACCUCCUCCACCCGAGCCGCGCCAGCGACCCUGCGGCCGUCGCCCAGGAGUUCCUCCACCCGCGCCGCGCCGCGCCGGCACCGUGCCAGCGACCCUGCAACCGUCGUCGGAAACUCCUGGGCGGACGUCUGUACGUCCUCACCGUGUGUGCCACUGUGCCCGCGCCGAAAGGAAACACGGCUUGAUUACGUGAUCGAUGGGAUAUCGGAAUUGAACGAUUGAACAAUGGAAUUAGUCUCCAAUUUCACCGCGACUUUCCUUAGCCUCCCCCCUCUCUUCUCUCUCCACCGUCACACUCUCAAUAUGAUGCGUCUCCCCAUCUCCAACUCAAACCGGCGCCCACCAUGGAGGGCAGAUGCAACGUGAAGGAGCUGUCCGUUGCCCAUCUCCUCCGGCCGCCCCCAUGUCCCCUACAGCCGCUGCCCAUCCCCAUCCCGUCCAUCCAUCUCCAUCCCCUUCCCAAUCGCCGCUCCACUCGUCCCUUGCCAAAGUCACCGCCCUUCUCCUUCCUUUUCUCCGGCCGCCGCCUAUCUCCUUACCAUCCGCACAUCCUCCUUCUCCUCCACCUGGAGUCGCCUACCGUCUCAUCCCUCUCUCCUCUCCCCCCAGGAGCCGCCUCCCGUCUCGUCCCUCUGUACGACGAGCCGCCUCCCAUCGUAAUCGAAGGCUAUUUUUUUGCUUCUCUUUCUGUACACAGCAUGACACCAGCAAUGGCUUGGCUUUUUUUUUUUACUUUUUGUAAAAAUUGGCCAUGAGGAUGGAAUGGCUUUUGAUAUUGAACAUAAUCAUCAAGAUACAUGCACACGUUGUGAAAAUUUCAUUUGAUACAUGUACAACAAAGUAAAAGCUUCAUAAUCAUAUAAAUAUACCGUUUCAAUUUUUUUCCAUCCAAACUGGAAUUGGAACUGGUGUCACGCUUGGAUUCUACAAGCCAAUUCAAUGUGCAUCCAUAUAAGAAAAACAUAAUUUAGGCCCAAUUAUGUUUUCCAGGAAUAUUGGUAUUAAUCUCAAUUCAACAUCUACAUCCAAACGAAGCUUAAGAGAUUGGUCAAUACUUGACCCAUAUAAGACGCGAGUACAAUGCACCCGAGGUCCCUAUUUUUUCGCGAAUGUGUCAAAUAGGUCCCUAAUCUUUGAAAAUGCACGUUUAGAUUCUCAUUGUUUGUUAAGUGGUUCAUCCCAGGUCCCUCGCCUAUAUGCACAGUUCUAGCUGCAUGACGUGGCUGCCACCUAGGCUUUGGGCCCACACGUCAGGCGACGACGUGGCGUUAAGGGCAUCUGCAACGGUAUAGUCAGUACUGAGUCUUCACGUCAUCUGGACUCAACGGUAAAAUAACACAUGUAAUGACUUGUGUUUUUAAACUGACUCUAUAUGAUUUGUUAGCAUUAAAUGCGAUGCUGUGCAAUGGUUAAAAGGUCGACUCUUAACUAACUCUUAGCAAACUCUAGCUAUUUUUGUCUUUAAGAGUUUAGCUUUUCACGAAGAGUCAGUUAUCAGUUAAGAGUCGGCUAUGCCCUAAGCGCUACGCGGGGUAGCCAGCAUACGCCUGCCUAGUUUAGCUGCUUUGUCUGCUGUCUAUCCAUACUUAAUCUAGCUUUCCGAUCAAGAAAACUGUUCAGCUACUCACAUUCUGUAGCCUGAAUGAAUCAGAAUGCUCAAAAGCACCCUAAUACGCGAACACGGCUCAUUUACAAAACAGAUACAUCUGAAUCCACUGUGUUUAGAACAGUGCAAGUGUCACGUAUAUCAGAAACCAACUGCAACGGUUCCAACGAUUUCAGAUAACCAUGGUGAACAUAAGUUACAGUCUGUCUACUAGCAUCUGAAAUUCGAGCAUAGCACCUGAACGCUUCAAUCUACAGUCACGUCAGGCGAGAACAUUGGCAAGGUGAUAUAUAACAUAUCUCUGCUAUAUUGUCUAAACAUUGCAUAAUCAGGUUUGAGGAUCACACGAAAUAGUCCAAGACGCCUACAGAAUAGUCAAUGAAAACCUUGUAGGAUGUCACUGUAAAACUAAUUUGAUUUUCAUUCAUCAACAACCCUUAAUCAGCAUGCAAUCUAGCAUUGCACAACAGCAUUAGUCAGCAGAAGACUCACGUCGUGCCACUAAAAUGACGUCAGUUGAUGCAAAUGUCAUGGCACACCUUUUGGCUGGCUCAAGUGUCGCUUUGUGCUAAACUCAAAGAACUUAGCCAGCCUAUGCAGACAACUGGAAGAAUCGCUGCGGUAUGCCAUAUGUGAGCCUCAGGUUUGGGUUUGAAGAGCUGUUGCGAGAUGGCUCAACAGUUUCCAUGUAGCAUUUAAUUGGAGUAAAUCAACCCCACAUAACUACCUCAUGCCACAAAGUCCAAGGAAGAAUUCUUCUGGCUGGAUCGAUCCUGUCUUUUCCUUCAAAAGUAAACAAUACAUCAUAAGUACACCUUGACAGUGAUUUUUUUUUUUGAAAAGUACCUUGACAGUGAAAUUCAUUUAUUAAACUUAUGAGACAUACCAAAACCUACUACUGUAUCAGAAAGUAGAUUUUGGGAAUUAUUCAGAACUUUUUAAGGAAAAUGAUCAGGAUGUGUAAGUGACCUAAUCUUCAGAAGCACUCAUCAAACAUCAAAAUCCAUGAUGCAGUAACAUGUCGCAAUACAUAAAAAUGAGCACCAAGAUACAUAAUAUCGCAUAAAUCACGUGACAAAAUAUUCUGAAAUUUAGUUUAACUAACGGAAAAAAGAACAUGGGCAUGACACUUGUACAGAUACGACUGAGUUCUAGAUGGAAAACAAUGGAGUAUGUAUCAUCAGUUGACUCAAAAGCUAUUGCCAAUGCUUAGCUAUGGGAGACGAGUGGUGAGUAAAAUCAAUUUGUUCAUAGAACUUGCAUGGCAUUGCCAGAAGUAAUAAAUGUCAACCAAAAUAGAAGAUUAAUACUUCAAUGGCGCCUUCCUAUGGAUUUUAAUCAAAGUUCUAAGUGUAUUUAGUGCGAGCAACUUGAAGUUCAUCUACGGGUGCAAAGUAAUAGUAUGAGAUUUUCGGUUCGAACUCAAAUGCUGCAGAUGUUUCAGGUCUGGCGUGCCAACUGACUUCACAUAUUACGCAGUUGUCAAUACCAAUGAAGUCCAGAAAACCCAUUAGAUUAAAGCUUAGUGAAAAUCGACAACUUGUUUGUUCUGUUGAUUCUGUAAUGACAGUGAUCAACUGUAGCACCACGCAGUCCAAAGAAGCUAAACAGCCCAGCCAAAAGAGUGGAAUCAUAGCAACCCAUUUACACUAUUGUCCUUGCUUCGAAAAGGUUAACCCGAAAGUAUCACGUAUUGGGCCAACAAGUUUAAAUGCAUAUUUAAGUGCGUACCUCUAGUUAACCUAGCAAUGUAGUAAUACAGGACAGGGUGUUACAUUUACAUAUUUCUUUUCGUGGCUUAUGGUGGAUGAUUUUACAAGUCCAAUAAAACAAAUCUCUAUCAAGAGUCAAGAGGACACAUGUUACCAAAAUAAACUCAGAUUACUGCUAACACAUGUAAUUCUGCCAAACUGAUGUACUGGAAGACAGAAUUAAUUUUAUUACUCCCUCUGAUCCAUAAAAAGUGUCGCAAAUUUUGUGCUAAGUGGACGACACUUUUUAUGGAUCGGAGGGAGUAUUUCCUUCCCAAGAUGCACCAAUCAACUUCAAAAGCAAGGAUCCUAAGAGGUUCAAGAAAUAUAUCCUCCAAGCAAAUCACAACACAAAAUAUAAUAAUAUCCAGCAAAAUAGGGUACCAGGAUGUAGCGAUACGCCAAGGAACAAGAAAAUUGGCUAACAAGGAACCCCGCAUGUGCAAAACUUCAGAUAAUAGUUGGUAAUUUACUUUCAUAUAGCAGAAAUUGAGAACUACAACUAAUUCUUUAAGCGAUAUAAAUUGAAGUUUUAAAGCUAAUUUCUCAAAAUCAUUUUGAUAAGAUUGUUUUUGCCAAUCAGAAGUUGGAGUUCUUGAUUACUUGAAUAUGACGAUUGGGAGUUGGCAUUGCAGUUACUUGAACAAUAAAGAAAGGAAUGACUACAGUUGAGAAACCCACUUGCCAGCUGUCAUACGGUAUUAAAGCACAGCGAUAUCUAUAGGUUUCUUCUGAGAGAAAAUGAAGCCAUAUAAAGUCCAUAGUAUAAUUUGACCGAAAUAAGCGGCGUGGGGUUCUUAAUUAUUUGGCCUCUACUUUAUGGGAAGAGUCGGUUUGAUACAAGAAAAACAAAUAUGAAAUGUUCAUCUACUAUAUGAGAAAGAAGAAAAGAUUAUCUCCAUUCAAUUAGCAUAUGAGUGAAAACAUGUCGGUUGGAUUUAUUACCUUGCAAAUGUUUUAGAAAGUGACCUCGGCCUUUCAUAACCAUCUUUGGAAACAUUAUUUGCAUCGUCAUCUGACGCAUGUCCAACAUUGCUAUCAUUCUCCUCCUUCUCUUCUGGUCUCUGCUUCCUUUGCUGUCUUGAUUCAGGCUUCCAGCACACCUUGGCAAGUGACUUGCCAAGUAGAUCAGCAAUAUUUACUGCCAUUUCCUCAGCUUUCUGCACAUGAGGGAAGUGAUCUUCCUCGAAAUGGUGUGAAAGCCACAAAUACAUCGACAGGACCUGGUGCUUCGUCUCGAGGUCCAGCAGUUCAGUGUCAUUCUUUGCAGAACCUUUUGGCAUUCCCAUCGCAAUGGUAGCACGACGGCUCUGGCUAUAAUGAGUAGCAAAUCUGAGAAGAUGGUACAUGGCUUUUGGGUCCCUUGUAUUGACUGGCGCAAAACAAAAGUUGUAGCGAUCCUUGAGGGAGAGCCCUUGGACCCUCUCAAGCAUAUUAGCAACCUUCUUGAUACUAUCCUGCUGGCACAUGAAGUAUGUGUUGUCGAUGCGGCAAUUUUCACGGAACUUAUUCAACAAAUCGGUGAAAGUAAGAUCAGGAAACUGGCUGGCAAACAUUUCCACUUGCUCAAAACAAGGGAAGAGGCCAACUUUUUGUGCCUCCUCAAAUGGUUUUUGCAGGCACUGAAUUAGAUAAUCCAAAUCAUCCGACAAGAAAGUGGUCGUGAGCCCAUCUGGAUAAACACUGCCCCUCCGGCCAGCACGACCAGCUAUCUGUUUUACCUGUGAAGCAGCAACUGGCACCAUCUUGUCCCCAUUGUACUUGGUCAAGCUAUAGAACACAACCCUUCUAAUGUUAAGGUUGAGACCCAUACCAACCGCAUCACUCGCUACGAGCACAUCAUAUUCAUUAUCCUGUUCGUUGAACAGCUUUGCUUGCUGUCGCCGUGUCUCUGGUGGCAAAGCUCCAUAUAUAACACAACACUUGUGCUUCGUGAACUUCUCUAUUGCCAGCUUCACCUCGAAUAUCUCCCUGCGUGAGAAGGCAACAAUGCAAUCACCAGAACGAACAUUCUUGAGGUCUCCAAGUAGUGUCUUUGCCUCGACGACAAGUGGCUUGAAUCGCUCAUACUGAUGCACCUCCAAAUCAUCUCCAGUGUCUGCACAAACCUUACGAACAAUCUUGAGCACGCUAGGGUCACCACACAGAUGUAUCUCAUCAGCCUUGAGCCCAAGAACAGCACGUGUCCAUGCAUAGCCCCUGACAGAGUCAGCCAUCAUCUGUAUCUCAUCGACCACGGCGACUUCAUAGAGCUCCUCGGUGGACAGCAUUUCGAUAGUACAAGCGACGUGGUUGGAGAAAGGCACCUCCUUUAUCUCCUGGCCAGUGCGGAGGGUGCAGUAGACACCAAGUGCAUUGACCUUGUCGAAGACCUCCAUGGCGAGGAGCCGGAGCGGGCUGCAGUAGACACCGGACUUGGCAGUGCUGAAGCGAGCGAGGGCGUUGUGUGUCUUGCCGCUGUUGGUGGGCCCGCAGUGGUACACCACCCGCCGGCGCAUGGCCCGGGCAAAAGGGUACCAGGUUUGCGGCGCCGUGAGGUCAGCCGCGGACAUGACGGACUUGUGCUUCCUCAGCUCGUCAGCGAGGUGGGUGACGCAGUAUUCAGCGAAGGACGGGAGGAGGAGCGCGUGCGCGUCCUCGGCCGGGAGAGAGAGAAGUCGCUCGGCGGAUUCUCGGGAGAGGCGCGGGGGUAUGAAGUGGAUGAAGCGUUUGGCGUACGCGGGGAACGCGGAGGCGGGGAUGUAGAGCGCGAGGGCCUGGUCAGCGAUGGCAGGGUCCUUGGAGAAGCGGCGGAUGAGGGACACCACGUCGUCCCAGGUGGCCUUGGGGAGGCGCGACGAGCUCGUCGCAGGCUCGGAGGUGGAGAGCUCGUGCCAUAGCUGCUUCGAAUCGAGGGGGGGCGGCUUCCGGUCCGGGUCGUCGGUUGCGUCGGAGGAGAGGAAACGGUUGUAGGGUGGGCGCCAUGGGGAUGGGGUUUGGGGACCGGUGCGGUGGAGGUGAGAUAAGAGGGGGAGGAGAAUGCGACGGUGCGGGGAGGAGGUGGAGCGGCGGAUAAGCGCGACGGCGAUGGUGGCGGCCAUGGAUCGAUUGAGGUUACGAGACGGAGGCUGCCGGCGGCAUGGGGUGUGGGAGGAAGAAAGGAAGAGAGGAGGCGGCGCGCAAGAGGCGGGCCCGGCGGGGAUGGUGGGCCGAAAUGGGCUGGGAGCUGACGGCUGGGAAGCUAAUGCACGUGGGCUUGUAACCUACCGUCGGGGCGUGGACCGAGGGCCUGUUUGGUUGCUACAUGGACUCCAUAUGCCUGAUUUGGAGCCUCCUUGAGAGCUUGUUAAUUGCAUGCCUCAAAAGCUCCCUGGAUCAGGCCACCGAAAUCGAGCGUCUGAGUCUGGCUUCCUUUCAAGCGAGCGUGCCUGAGCCCCUAGCAUCAGACGACGUCGUGAUCCGCACAGCUGGAGACCAAAAGAACCAAGCGAUUUCUCCGCGGUGACAACAACGAUUUCAUGCUCUUACUUCCGCUUCCAAGUUCUGUCCUCGUUGCCGUCGCUGCAAACGAGAAAGAAAUGAUGCCGUGCAGCCGCUGCCUCUGACAAUGACAGUAACUGCAGCCUACAACCCCUUUCGCUUCUUGUAUAGAUGCAUCGAUCGCUUUCUUCUUGGAUGCCAUGACCACUGCAGCUGAAUUGCUAGUGGAGCGGUGCCCCAUGAUCAAUUGGAGUUUUACACUUGUAGGAUCCGUCCGCAUGAUUGAUUUGUGUGCUUAGUUCCGCAUGUUGGGGCUGCAAUUGAAGAGUUGUGCUUGUUAAUUUUACAAAGAGAACGGGAUCAGAUGGGUGAUUCCAAGAAUUUUUAUUAGGUGAAUCGUGGACUUGAAAUCGAUCUGGGAAAGGAAAAGGGGUUGAGCAAAUCGUAUUUCUUCUCUUUAUGUUUUCUCAAUGUUGAAUGUUUAAUACUCACUUUACGCUUUUUCCUCAGGCAUAGGGUCCCAACCAAACAACUAAUUUUGCUCCUGCCUGACCAGGCUUAGAUUAUCUAACUCUCAGGCUACUUCUAGGCACCAUAUUUUGUCAGGCAUGUUGGCCAGGGCAGCAACAAAACAGGCUCUGAGUUGUCAACAAAAAUUUACUCUAAAAAAAAAAGGUGUCAAUCCCCUAAAAAAAGGUGUCAACAAAAAAACUAGCGCAUGUCAUGUGCCGGCAAAGUUUGAUAGACUCUCAUGUGAGCCACUGCAAUGCCAGCAAAGUUGGGUUCGUAAGGUGAGCAUGGUAAUCACAUGUGUGACAUAACAGUCUUCAAGACAAUGUCUCAUAUCUGAUGGUCACUAGCCAACAAUUUAGUCGCGUCUACAAGUUUUUUUAAAGGCAUGUACAGUAGUUCUACGUAAGCUGUCUGGAAGAGAUGCCACUUAGGAUAUUUAGUGAGUUGGAUGAUCGGGAAGGAGGAGAGAUAAAGAGGUCGUUCUUAGGGCAUGUACAGUAGUCCUACGUAAGCUAUUUGGAAGAGAUGCCACUUAGGAUAUUUAGUGAGUUGGAUGAUCGGGAAGGAGGAGAGAUAAAGAGGUCGUCCUUAAUUCAGCAGACAGACGAUCCCUUGAAAUUCGCUGCUUAACGAUGGCUUUUCACCCAUUGUACAAAUGGUGUCCGGUAACGCAAGAGAUCACUCUUUCAGCACAUCGUGAUGUAUGCAGACAACUGAAAACAACAGGCCAUUAUAGCACACGUCGGUAAUGCUACCUAUAAAUGAUGUGGCUGUGUAGUUCAGGCAAGUGAUGUCUAGACUAGUGUACAUGCUCUUAAUUCAGCAGACAGACGACUCCCUUAAAAUUCGCUGCUUAACGAUGGCUUUUCACCUAUUGUACAGAUGUUGUCUGAUAACGCAAGAGAACACUCUUUCAGCACAUCGUGAUGUAUGCAGACAAGUGAAAACAACGGGGCAUUGUAGCACACAAUGAUGUGGCAGUGUACAUGCUCUAGGCCGUAAGGAGAGUUCGUCUACAAGAUAUAAAAUGUACACAUUGUUUUGUCGAACAAAAUGCGUCCACGGUUUCUCCGAGACGAGAAGAAGUACUGAUUUUAAGUUUUCCUGGUUUUAAUAGCAGUAGAGAUAGAGUAUUUUUUUUUUCAAGAAGCAUGUUUUGGACAGAACUUUUCCAGUCUAGUGGACUUGGAUGCGAAACAUCGACCUCUCAGCAACCGCAAAUUCCCCUCGUAUCAUCUCGGUCGGACCUCGUACGCCACACACACUCGGGGGCUCGAACCGCUGAAUGCCUGCUUCUCGGAUGCACUGCCUCGCCUGCAGCAUGCCCGCCACGGCGGCCGCUGCACGUGCUCCGGCCAGGCGCUUCGGCCGCCGGAGGGUAGUUAUCGACUGCGCUGCCUCCGUAGACCGCGACGGCGAAGGACCGCCUCCGAGGUUUGCCUCCCCUCUCGCCGCAUUUCUGCAGAUUUAAGAACCACGCAGUUCGCAAGAGCAUAACCGAGCAGUUGCUGAUUGGAUAAUCCCUUUUAUAUCUCGUUUCAUUACUCGUAGUUAUCUUUUCCACACUAUCGUACAUACGAGCACCUCACUAGCUCGCGUUCCCCAUACGUAAGCAGUAAGCUGGUUUUUUAUUAAACAACACAGGUGCUGAACUGCUGAUGUAUAAUGCAUUUGUAACUUACUCUAUGCUUAUGCGUGUGAAUUUUCUUCCAGAUUAAGGGAAACGUGUGAACUUGGUGAAAUCUCAGGCAAAACUGUAUUAUUGACCGUGUCAAAGAGGAAGAUUAUUGCAUUUUCAGCCUUAUGCUUUUGCUUACAUUCUUCAAGGUACUUCUCAGGUUCGGACUAAGAAUUUAGGUGUUAAUAGAAAUCAAGCCGAUAUCUUCCACGGGCCAGAUUAUCUUAUACCCCUGUAAUAAGGCUACUUUAUUAUGGUCAUGAUAUGUGAGCUUUUGUAAGUUUAUUUAUGCUCUUAUUGCAGCACUUGCGUUGGGUGAUCCAUCUGUCAAAAUUGAGGAUGUAACUCCUAAGAUCUUUCCAUCUGGCCCAUUAUUUCCAACUGAGGUCGGUAGUCAGUACUCAAUACUCUGUAGAACACCUUGUGCUAUCUACUUCUUGAAACAUAUUUACAUUUCUCUGAGUUUUGCUGCAUGUAUGACAGAAACGAAUUGCAGAGCUUUUUGAAACAAAUACUUACUCAGUUGUCAACAUUUUUGAUGCGACGCUGCGCCCCCAGCUCAAUGUAACUGGCGUUGUUGAGGUAAAACUAUACACAUGCUUACAUGUUAUAAGUUUAGAUCAAGAGAUUUUGUUAACUUUGUUAGAACUAACAAAGGGUGUUUGAGAAUGCUCCCUAGGAGCACUAGAAUGAUAUGCUAAGCAGGGUACACUUUUCCCUAUCUAAUAGUUUGAUCGAGCUAAAGGCAGACAAAUAAUUGCUCAUUUUUGCUCUUUGGUUCCUCUUACUAUUAUAGAAACGACACUGAUAAUUUGAAUAAAGUUUGAGAAGCUCUUUUUUGAAUAAACAUAUUAACAUGCAUUGUAGAUCCCUGAAGGAAAUGGUUCUGGAGUAGUUUGGGAUGAGUCUGGACAUAUUGUUACAAAUUAUCAUGGUAUGUCAAUCACAUGAUAUGUCUACCUUGUAUGAACAGCAUAACCUACUUCUCGCAUGUUUACUUUACCCUUUUUUAGAACCUCGACAUGGCUAUUUUACUGUGGUUGAUUCUUUCCCCUUGUUGCACAGAAUCAAUUGAAUUUCUGUUUCGGUAUAUUUUAUGUAUUUGUAAUGUUGUUAUGAUGACAGUGGUUGGCAAUGCUCUUUCUAAAAAUCCAAAUCUUGGUGAAGUUGUUGCACGUGUCAACAUCCUUGCUGCCGAAGGGUAAAUUCUUAUGUAACUCAACAUUGUUAGAAUAUUUUAUGAAUUAACUAGCUUUGAUGGCUUGUUAUUAUUCCUUGUAUAUGCAUGUCAUUAACAGUUAAUACUCUCCCGUAUCUACUUGAAAGGAUACAGAAAAAUUUCGAAGGAAAAUUGGUUGGUGCAGACCGGUCUAAAGAUCUUGCUGUUCUUCAGGUAAAAUUGUCUGGCAACUUGUUGUUCUGAAUCAACGGUCAGGAUUUAAUUGAAAAAUGCUUCUGGUUUUACGUAGUAUUACGUUGAUGAUGUGAGCACUGCUCAAAUUAACUAUCUAGGUCCCUUUAGAUAUUAUUACUCACAUGACAUAAAGCUAUAAGAAAAAGGAAGUGGGGAAAACUUUAAAAUGGGUGGGAUCAAGGGAUUGGGUGUGUGUUGGGGGUUGUGUGUGUGUGUGGGGGGGGGGGGGAUUUAGUAGUUUCUAUUUACCAUCGCCCUUUUCCAACUGAUUUAGUUUUUGUUGUCCCUUCAAUUCUUUGUUGUUGCUCUCAUGCUACAUAGAUGGCGUGCAACCAGUUUUAUCUUGUUACUUUUGUUACUUCAGGACAGGAGGUGAUUUUGGGUAUAGGAUUGAGAAUUGAUUUAUGAGACCAAAGAUGAUGGACUCAUAUGAGAGCUAAAAAAUACAUACCCUUCUGUAUGCCAUUUAUUCUGAGAAUCCUGCCAAAGUUCUUAGAGCAGGAAAAGAAUUAUUUUAACCUGCUAACAUUAUGACCACCCUGUUCGGCCCAGUCUGGUUCAUGGACAUGCAUUGCAAGGGCUAGAUUAUUUAGUUAACUAGCAAGGUGCCCGUGCGCUGCUACGGAACACCUUACAUUGCGACAGAACAAUAACAUUCAGUGUUGUUUGAUUUUUGUCACUACUAUUUAUCCUGCUUUAAUAGUUCGGUUGAUGGGGAAUUGAGGAUUGGAGAAUGGAGGCGGCAGCUGCGGGUUGAUCGGGAGAGGAGGCCGGCAGAAGGAAGAAGAUACUGGAGGAGAUUGGAGUUUUAGGCGAUAGAAGAACAUGAGGUCACUGUGAUUCGGACGGACCCCAUUUGUUAGUUGCCAAUGCCCAGGAAGGAGAUGCAUGGGAGGUGAAUUGACGACCACCAAGUGGAAACUUUAUAAGUAGGAAAGAUUAUACCAAACAGGCACUCAAAAUACAAGUUUCCGGGAAUGUUUGCUGCCAGAGCUUAAAGUCCUUUUGUGAUAUUCAUUCGAUUUUAGUAAAUCGUAGUUAUGUUGGUUAAUUUGUUGUUAUAUUUCGCAUAGGAAAAAUAUCUUGCUGAACAGUUUCUCUUUUAGUAUCUCAUACAUUGAUAUGUAAUAGGUGGACGCCCCUUCAGAUCUCUUGAAGCCAAUUAUUGUUGGACAGUCCUCGGCUCUAAAAGUUGGUCAGCAAUGCUUAGCGAUUGGAAACCCUUUUGGUUUUGACCAUACGCUGACUGUUGGUGUUAUCAGUGGUUUAAAUCGAGAUAUUUUUAGUCAAGCCGGAGUGACUAUUGGAGGUGGAAUUCAAACAGAUGCAGCCAUUAACCCCGGGAACAGGUUUGUAGAUAUGGUAUAAAAAAUGAAUUGUUAUUUUUUCACUCGAUACCAAAGUCAUAUAGAUUUACGAACAGUUCAUAUCAAGUUUUCCAUUUCAGAUAUUUUUAAUUUGUUGUAGAAAGUGCUGCUGGCAGUGCUGCUUUCAGUAUUGAUCAUGAUCUUUAAAUUUUAACUAGUGUACAUUUUUGUUUUUCUUUUUAUUUCUUGCCUUUAUUGUCUGUUUCUUGUUGUUGGCCUUUGGCUUUUGUACUUUCGCCUUCUUGGUGCUUCUUCAAAUUAAAAUGACACACUUUGGUGCGGGUUCGAGAUAAAAGUUAUCUGUUACCUACUGACUGUCCUAGACAUUUCUGUCAUAAAUUGACAAUCAUAAUGUGUAUGGUUUUUACUGAAUGUCAUAUCGCAAAUUGCAAAAUAGAGAAAACAGUGGAUCAGGUUUUGUGUUAAUACACAGAUGAAACUAGUAUAAGUGUACAAGUUGUUGCUCUUUUCAGUUAUUAGCAUUUGAACUCAUAAGAAAUGACAGGCUUGGAACUGAAUUGCAGAUAUGACAGUUGGCAUAGUGAUCAUAUCAGUAGUUACCAUGAUAAUCUGGAGCCAUAACGCAUAACCUUCAAGUCGUUGGAUUAACUAACAAACAUUUACUAAGUCUGUGAUAUCCAUACAGUCUCUACCCAUUCAAGAUAUAAUAAGCUUGAUCGACCGUUGUUGUCCUCUUCAUGAAAUUAUUUACUAUCAAUUCCCUUUGCCAUGACCUCUGGCACAGUGGACUCAGUGUCUUUACUCUUGAAAUGGAUGAUUUAUUAAACGUGGUGGAUAAUAUGUUAUGUGUCCCUAUCUGUAGCGCUUUUAGGUUAAUAUAUUAAAUGUGAGUCAGUCUGAUUUCCUCAUGCAGCAUUUUACUAACCAUGUAGUCUGAUGAACAUUGAUGCAGUGGUGGUCCUUUGCUAGAUUCGAAAGGGCAUAUGAUUGGUAUUAAUACAGCAAUUUUUACACAGACAGGUUAGGUCACUUCCAUUCUGACAUGUAUUGUUCAAAAGUGCAGUGAGAAAACAUGAUUCAGUAUCUCAAUCAAUAAACUUUUUUUUCAUGCAAAGAUGUUAACACAUCUAUCUGCUUUCUCAGCCACUAUGGUUGUUACCAUUGAAACAAGCAUGUGCAACUGUGCACCAUUAAUAAAAGCACAAUCCCUGUUAACUAUCUUGAUCUUAACUAGCCGAUAGGGAACCUUAGUUGCUGUAUUUUUGUGUCCUUUUGUAAAUUACUCUGUUUGUUGUACUGACUGUUAUUGAAGAUGGCAUGGUUUGAAUAACUUUCUUUUUGUGGUGGUGAGGUGGUCACUGGUUAUUAUCAUAAUAAAAAAAAUGAUUCAGAUAUCAUUCAACCUGUCACUGCUUGCAUCCUAGACGCCAAGUGUUUUUGCUAGCAACUAUUCUCUUAGUCAUGAAUUGAUCUAUCAAUUAUUGAUUUCUUCUCAAAGCUGUAUAUCAGCCAAUAAGUUGACUUCAUUGUUUUGACUUGGCAUCACACACAUCAGAUUUCACUGCAUCAAAUUGUACGAUUUUCUAUCAGCUGAUGUAGUUUCUAGGUUAGUCUGAGAGGGCACUAUUUCUUUAUGUGGCAGGAACGUCCGCCGGUGUUGGUUUUGCUAUCCAAUCAUCAACUAUACUUAAAAUAAUUCCUCAGUUAAUUCAGUCUGGAAAGGUAUGUUGCUUGGACAUCUUUUAGCCACAUCGUCAACGUAAUAUCAUUUUUUUCCUAACCAUGCCCUUAGAAUCAUCUGUGGUACUUAUGGUGAUGACAUAUGUGUAGAGAAGUAUAAUUUCAUGCAUAAAACAUCUUCUUGCUGAUGAGAAUUAUUUAUCAUUAACCUUUUGCCCUUUUGUGAUGCUUGUCUGUACUUGUUUAUGUUCCAGUUGUCCAGGCCUGGCUGUAAAUAACUGCACUGAGACAGUCUCAAAGUAAAUUUUAUAGAAAGGCAUUUGCACUAGGAGGAAAAGGUUUAGCCUGUUGGGUUCUGCAAAUAGUAGAAUAACAUAUGUCAGAGAUAACUGUACUUAUAUUGGCAUGUGUUUUGCUUACCAGCUAAGCGUCCCACUCUUGAGGGAAAAAAUUGCACUAUAUAAUCUCUUGAAGAUUUUCCUCAUAAAAAUCUACAGCAUGAACAAGCAAGUUAGGUCACUGUCAUGUUUGUUUGUUCAAUGCUGACAUAUGUGCUUGGUUUCUAGUUUUUUUUUCUAGUCCAAGUUAUGCUUUACCUUUCUCUUUUUCAGGUUCGUCGUGCUGGAUUGAAUGUGGAAUUCGCACCAGAUCCGAUUGCAUACCAACUUAAUGUUCGCGACGGUGCUCUUGUACUGAAGGUAAAUUGAAUUGGGUGUACUCAUCUGUUCUGUUGGCCAGACAGGAUACUAUCAAUGUUUUGCCAGCGCAAGUUACAGUAUUCCCUGAUGGCCUUAUCACAUAACUUCUAUUGUUCUAUAGGUUCCAGCGGGCAGUGCGGUGGCCAAAGCUGGUCUAGUUCCUACCAGCAGGGGUUUUGCUGGUAAAAUUGUUCUUGGUGAUGUCAUCGUCGCGGUGGAUAGCAAACCUGUGAGUGCUUUGUUGAUUAAGUUUUAUUUGUUUGAUUCUGUAUAUAUGAUUCAGACAGGCUGACCUUGCCUCUCAUUUCUCACACCAUCGCUUCUGGGGCAGAUCAAAGGCAAGUCUGACCUCCUGAGGGUUCUAGAUGAUUACCGUGUUGGAGACACGGUGACCUUGACAAUCAGAAGAGCUUCCAAAACUAUUCCGCUAACCUUGUCGUUGGAAGAGGCAAGCAUUUGAUUUGAUGUGUCAUUUGAUUUGAUUUGUCCCUAAAGAUCCCAUUCCAAAUCUACAAUCUGCUCGAACCUCCUCCUGGAUUUUUUUUAUCAAUUGGAAUUUCUCCAAACCAUUUGCGUUGGUAAGAAGAUCGUGCCAUGUGGUAUGUUGCGAGCAUGCAUACAUGCACGCCACCAUCUCGUUGCUUAUUCAGGUGCUCCACAAUGCAGCCAGGUUACUGCCAUCAUGUGGUAAUUAUGGGAGAAUGAACAGGGUUACUACUUCAUACUGAAAUGGUGCUUUGGGGCGUUCUUUAAGUUAAACCAAGGAAUAUUCGAAAGAGAAAGCGAAAGAAGAAGGGAAUUGAAUGGAAUGUCGCUACGAGCGGCAAGGCGUCUUUGGAUCUUUGAACGAGGAGAUGCUUGGCUUUGGGUGUUGGUCCUGUUGGACUGACCCCACUCCGGUGCAGGGCAGCAAAACGGUGGCAGCGCGACGAGAACAAGCCAGCGGACGAUAAAAGAAGGGAACAUAAAGCAACGGCCAACGGGAGUUCUACUAGCACAGCAACCUAAAGCACGGCAUGUGGACGCGUGCUCCUUGCUUGAGAUGGAAGCUUCCAAAGCGAAAGCAGCAGCAUCGCUUGGAUUGGAUGAUCUGUGAUCCAAAGAAAAAUCUAAGGCGAAAAACGAGAAAGAAACUAACAAUCUUGUUCUCCAACCUCGAGGCUCGUCCCAAACAUCUUUGAUUUCCACAUGACAGUAACUUGGAACACAAGUCCAUGCAAUGCUUAAGCUACUAAAAGGUGCAACCAGAAGUCACAAAAAUCCUGGGAAAAAUAUUAUGAUGUGAAAUAUUAUACAUCUGUCAUGGCACAAAUAUUCAAAUCUAAUUGCAGUCUGCAACUUUGAUAACACAAAAAAGAAGACAUGCCAAGCCUAAGAACUGUACUGAAAUCAAAUAUUGGCUGGUACUAUUCAUGGUAAGAUUGUCUCAUUUUUAUUCCUAUAUGUUGAUCAAAUUUGUUCUGAAAUUGUGACAUGGUAGUAAUGCGUAUUAUUAUACGGAGUAUUAAUGUUGGUAUUUUUUUUUUCAACUAUUUGAGCGAUGAAUUAAGUAUAUAGUGCACCCAAACCCAAUAUGACCCUCUUUUUUCUCUGCGUGGUCACGCUGAACGCUGAUUUUAAGUACUUCAUCUGUCCAAUAAAAGAUGUCUCAAUUUUGAUUAAAUUUGAAUGCAUCUAUACAUGAAGUCAUGGCUAGAUACAUCCAAAUUUUGACAAACUUAAGACAUUUUUUGUUGGACGGAGGCAGUACGUACAGUUCCUUUUACCGGUCUAUAUACGGGUUUGCACGCAAACUGCAAACAAAUGCACACUCGAAUCAAGAAGCCCGCUCAAGUGUAAAGCGGUCUGUUGGUCCUGUAGGGCGUAUGCGAAUGCUAGCUCAUCGAUCGUAUCUGCUUGAGCUUUAUGCCUUUGGACCAAAGAUCUCAUCCGUCGCUGUUAACAGAUGUGAUCCUACGCGCUGGCUCCUAUAUCUGAAGAACAAGACUCGCUGGGCCAGGCAGUAAAACAAAAACUGGUCCAAGCUUCCGCUUCUCCCCAUAAAACUUGCGUGCCGGGAAGCCAGCUAACUAGAGCUCGGUUUCACACAACUCCGUCACAGCCUCACAGGGGAGAAGCCGAGAGGAGAGGAUGAGAAUCCCUAGCCUUGCACUGGUGAUUCUUGUUCUCACGGCCAUUUUGGCCUCCGGCUCGGGCUCGGGGGUUCUAGCAGCCAGAAAUCCAGCCAUUUUCGCCCCAGCAGGCAGCCGGGGUGCCUUAUUACAAGCUGUCGAGCGGCCGCGGAAACUUGCAGAGGCCGGGAGCAAUGGAGCCUCCUCUACCUUGGGCGCAUCCGGAAAGCCCGCGGCGGCUGCCUCUUCUCCUCCUCCGACGGUGUUCGACGCCGACAGGAUGAGCAAGCGCCGAGUCCGGCGAGGGUUUGACCCGAUACACAACAAGUGCUGAUCGGGCCCACUGGUCAGACUUGAAGGACACUCUUUGCGUCCUUUUUUCUUAGCACUUUUAUCGCGGUUUGGGUUGUGUUCUUCUGCUUCUAGCUACCUUCUGUAGUUCGAGCGAUUUUGUUACAGAAAUAGGAGUACUUGUACAGGGAUGCCAAUGAAAUAACGGCAAGGUUUGCCUUCGGGCACAAGUUCAGGCAUAUGUAUGUAGUCUGACUCGAGUGAUGUCCUCCGAGACAUGUAAGCCAGUUUCAGAGUUGUUCUUUUCUACUGUGGUUUUCUGAAUUAUGAUAUGCCAAAAAUUAUUUUAUAAUUUGUUAUGUAAAAUUAAACAAGAAAGGAUGCGGAAUUCGGUUAGCCAAACAAUAAACAUAGACAAAAAUGGGUAGGGAAAAGAGGUUUACCAGAAUACAUUGUAGUGUCAAACACAACCUUAGUUCUAUUCCAUUUUAGAGUUGCACGAUGAAAUUAAUGACCAUCUAUGAGUCCAUCAUGUUGGUGCUGGGUGCACAACGAAAUUAAUGUCAAUAUGUGAAUUCAUCACAUUGGUGUUGGAUGUUGCAGUAGGAGAAGUGAGUUUUGACCGCAAAUACUUGGUCCUCUUCAGCUAUCUAAGCUGCACCGUUUGUCAGCGAACCAAUGCCUCAAGCUGGAUCACGCUCUGACCUAAAAAACAACGGGCGUCGUCACAAUCCACCUUCCUCACCGCCGCCGGCACGCGCCGCCGGGCUCGGCGGCGGCGAGGCCCUUGUCCUUCAACUCCGUGCGGGGUGGCUUCACCGGUAGCUUUGGCGCAGGGCGGGAUGCCCCGACGGCAGUGGGUAUGGCACGGCGAUCAUGGCUUCGCGCUGGUGGGCGUCGGCGGUGGCUGUGGCGGUGCGGGUUGGCGUCGGCGGUGGUUGUGGCGGUGUGGCGAUCCGGCAGUUGCUGGGGUCUUGAGUUUGGUGGUUGACGAUGUUGGUGCCCGCGGGCGUCGUUUCCUUGUUGAGGGGGUCGUCAUUGCAACUCUCCUGCCAUCCUUCUCCCGCCCAGAUGUUCCGGGGAAAACCCUAGAUCUGGGUCUCCCGGAUCGGACAAUGGCGACAUUUUUAGUGUCGUUCUCUCUCUUGGGGACAUCGUUCUUAUUGGAACACGUCCUUGCUGGUGAGAUCUGUCGUCAUUUCCAGGCCUGACAUUUUGUAUUACUGCGUUCCAUGUCCUAAAGAUGAGUUGGUGGUAGACGAUGGCAGCACAUUCUAGAGCGUGAGCAGACAACACACGUCGAGAAUUUGUUUAACGGUUGUGCCUAGUGCGGUCUCCGGAUUUCGAUGUUGGGUGGUGUUAUGCAGUCAGGGCAUGCGGCCCCGAUAAUGGCCACCCCUUUCAUUAGGUUUUGAUGCAAAGGUCGGGGGUUUAACCUCUUUUUCGAAAAAGAAAAAAUUCCUCAAGCCGGAUGACAUGAUGAGACAAACAAAGAGGCAAGAUUGCAGGAAGUUACGUGCUUUCGCGGGCGCAACGAUGGUGUCUACCUUCCUGUGGCGGCGAUCAAUAAUGGGUGGUGGUCGUUUGGUUUGGUUUAGUUUCAACAUUUUUUCACGAGAAGCUAAAACAAACAAAGCCAAUAUGUAGUUUCGGGUAUUCAUCCUCAUGCAACAUGGACAUAUUGCUUAAGAGCAUCUUCAGUAGGCUCCUUAAACAAGGCCCCCUAUCCCAUUUUAGGGGUUAAAGCAAAAAAAACCUCUCUUCAACAGGGUCCCUACUUGGGCCCCUAGAAUAGGAAGGCCCCUAGAAACAUCCCUCCGGCCCUCAUUGCUGGGGGCUCUCAAGGAAGCCCCUACUUCAUGCCACGUCAGCUCUCUCUCUCCCCACGCCUCUUCUUCCUCCCGGUUGGCCUAUUCCCGUCGCCCCACCUCGUCGGCGGCCAAGCACAGAAGCGCCGUCUCCCCCACCACCCCUGUGCGAAGCAGAGAAACGCAGUCGCCCCGCGUCUUCGGCCUUCCUCUCGCCGGUCUUGGUUGAUGCCCCGGUCCGUCGCCGUGACUUCCCUGGUGAGGAGGCCGAGCAGCAGAACGAGGAUAUGGAGGGGAAGGCCGACCGGCGCUACGCCUCGCCGCCGGCCGCCCCCGCCUCCGUCGCCCUUGGGCGUGUCUUGGGCCGUGCGGCGCCUCCGCCGCUCUUGGCCUCCCUGCACCUCCGUUGUCCUUGGUGGCGUUGCGGCUCCGCCACCCUUGGCCACGUCCCACGCUGCGCGUGCCGACCUCUGCGCGCAUGGGAGAAGGGCACGCCCCACCCCCUCCUCCCCGUUGCAAUCCCCCUCUCGUUGGUCUCUCGUGCGAGCUCAGGGAAGAAGACAAGAAAAAGGAAAUGUUUCACUGACAGAUGGGCUUCAUGUGUCAGUGUAACAGAAAAAUUAAGUAGGGGCUGAACUAUAAGGGUUCAUGCUGAAGAUGAAAUUAAAAUAGGAGCUGACAAAUUUAGAGGAAAAUCCCUAAACAACAUCUAGGGGCUCUGUUUUACGGCCUAGUGCUGAAAAUGCUCUAACAAUCUAACGGUACGUGUAAUUUUUUAGUAAGUGUCUCUCCUUUGCCUUAGUUUCAUUUGCCCAGUAGAUACCGGAAUCUUGGAUCCCCAGAUCUAUCGUGUGGAAGUCCAGAAAAAACACUCUCGUUUCAAAUCAGCCGUUCAAUGAAAUACAGUACUCCAACUUUUUUUUGUUGAGACGAGUACACCAGUUUCACUUCACCCGUCUAACCGUCUUGGAGGUCCGCCAAACCCAAACGAACCCUGUGUUCCUGUGGCACCAAAUGGCCGCUCUCCUAAACCCUACGGCCCGGCACCUCGCCCUCGCUGCCUGCCGCCGCCUCUCGACGCCGCCAGCGGCGGAGCCCCUCGUAGCUCACUGGAGCACCCAAGGUUUGCCCUCUUGUUCACCCCCACCUCCUCCUCUCAUCUAAUCACCCCCAGUCCCCCACCCCCCUCCUCUCAUCUAACAAGCUAAUGCAUGCCACUUUCGGUGCUCUGAGGAGUAAUCUGUUUGUUGCGGUAAUGUUGCGAAUAUUAUCUUUUUUAUGCCAAUAAAUUCCUUCUCGCGGGAUAAUAUUCCGUUGCGUCAUAAGGAGUUUCUCAACAGCACCUGGAAUGUGGAAUCUGGAUCGUUGCUGUUUUUUGAGGCAUGAUCAGUUGUGACUGCUUUACUGAAUUCCAGAACUGAUAGCUUUAAACUAGCACUGCUGCUCUACCCUGAAGUAGAAAGGAAACGCUAACCAUGCUAUUUCUGAAUUUUUUGACAGCAAGAUACAGUUCAAGUCUGGUUGAGAUCAAUGGCGGAUUCAAGGAGAUGGUCACCGGCACACAGAGCUACUACGUGGUUGGAGGCAAAGGUGGUGUUGGCAAAACAAGUAUAGCAGCAUCACUUGCAAUGAAGUUGGCCAAACAUGGUCAACCGACGCUUAUAGUGUCCAUGCUCCCAGCACAUUCACUGGGUGAUACAUUUGAACAAGUAUAUGAACUAUUAUGUUGUUUUACAAAGUUCUAGUGGAUCGUUUAUUUAGCAUCUUUGUUGAAUUACUUUCUUGUGUUGUCUAUAGGACCUGAGUGGCAAUAAAAUCGUGCCUGUGAAUGGAGUUGACUCUCUUUUUGCUGCCGAGGUAUGUAGGAGCAGCUACACUAGUAUGGUUGUGAUUUCCCUUUCUAUCGUUUAGUCCUCUUUCCCUUUUUUCAUUUAGUCCUCUUAUCUACUAUAUUUCAUACAUGGUGUGCAUAGCCACUCUGAGCUAUCCAACCAAGAAAAGAAACAUUUUGUAUCACCCUCAGAGGUGUGGAAUGCAAGAAGAAAUUGAUGUUUUCCAUUUCAUAGGUGAAGUUGUGUUUCUUUCAUGACAAUCGAUCCAUUUUAUUGGAUGGCUCCCAAGGGGUGGUCAUGCAUAUACAUUUUGUGAAGUCAUGGAGAGAAUCCAGUUGGUCAUACUGGUUUGGUUUUGAUGAUGGAUAUAACUUGUUCUUUUACAGAUUGGCCAUGUGAAUAUAAAGGAGGAAUCUUCUAAUGCAGGAUCUUUUAUCAGUGAUAUGCUGGGUAAGAUAGGCCUUGGAGUUCUUGCUGAUCCAGUAAGCAUCACCCUAGAAACCUUGUUGAUUCCUUCUCCAUUUUGCAUUUUAAUGAUUUUCUAAUCUUACGAUUCGAUAGAACAUUCAAGCAUCUAACUAAAAAGUUUUACACCAACUUUAUUGUCUGUUUUCAGUCCGUUGGUUUGCCAUUUCCAAUUUCCAACUAACAAAGGCACUGACGGGACACAAAUAGAUAACAUAAAAUGACUGGAUAGCACAGUGCACCUAGCCAAUGGUAAUUUCAGGCAUUCACAUGCUUAAAGCUUAUACUCUGUAGGCUACCUGUAUGGUCGUUUUUGCAUCACCAUUCUCUUCAUUGGCAACACAGAAGAAGUAACCAUUGUUCUUCAAUUUGGACAUAGGUUGUUGGUUUCAUAUGCUUAUGUUACUUUGGCUGUAGCAUAUGACAAAAUUUUCAGCAUCUACUAGCCACUAACUCAAAUCUUUAUAAGAGUUAAGAUAAGAGGUCUUGCACUCUUGCUAGAUUACAUUACUUAUGCCUGCUAUGUCUGGCCUUUUAAGCUUGGAAGCAAUAAGCUGAAUGAGAUGCUGAUGAAAACUCCUGGAUUUGGAGAAGCUCUUGCAAUGUCAAAGGUAUCAAUCAGACUUUACCGAUUGGUAGGCGAAGUAUUAUUCAUUACAUACUUUCUUGAGUUUACUCAUCACCUUAUGUGUAUCCGUUCCAGCUGGCAGAAAUCGUAAAUCUGCAACAGAACAAUAAAUUUAGGCAGAUAGUCUUGGAUACUGCGGCCACUGUAUGCACCCUUCUCACUGCCCUGAAUCCCUCUAUUUCUGCUUCUUUCAUUCCUAAUUGGAUUAUUAUACUUACAUUUCAUAGGGGCAUACCCUUAACCUCCUGUCUGCUACUGAUCUAAUGGAAAAGUUCCUCGGUAUGGCCAAUAAGGUGAGCUCUGAUGUAACUACUAAUCUUAACUCCUUUAGCUUAUCCUGGUUACAUGAACUUCGUUUGAUCAAGCAUGGGUUUGCAAUAGCUUUUUUUUUCUUGCGAUAAUUAGGUAAAACUGACUCUGCAGAUAUUAGAAAUUAUUAAGAAACAAUACAAGAAUCCUAGAAAAAUAUUAUCAAAGCUAACUUGAUGGAAGAUUUUUCUGCAUUGUGAAGGCACUUAACUUGGUUAUAGACAAGGUCAUGAGUUUGAUUGGCAAGGCAUGGUAUCUCCAACCAUUACCAGAAAAAGAAACCAACAAACUCUGUAUUUAGGUUCACUUUGGGAGUCCGGACUUUUUGCACUUGGUGGCAAUCAUGCCUGGAAUCUGAGCCGUCCAAUGGGUUCUUGGGAUGUGUGCCUCUUCAUUUUAUAUUUUAGAAUAUAUUGCCAAUGCUCCCUCCGUUCCAAAUGAUAAGAUGUUCUCGCUUUGUCCUAAGUCAAAUUUUUUUAAUGUGACCAAGGUUAUAGAAAAACGUACCAAUAACUACUCCCUCCGUCCCAUAUUAAGUGACUCAAAUUUGUCCAAAUAUGAAUGUAUCUAUACUCAAAAAGUGUCUAGAUACAUGUAAUAUUUCGUCACUUAAUAUGGGACGGAGGGAGUACAAUAGUAAAUAAGUAUAGUUUGAAGAUAUAUAUCAUGACGAAAUUAAUAAAACUAAUUUAGACUUGUGGAUGUUGGUAGAUGUUUCUAAAUACUCCCUCCAUUCCAAAAUACAUCUCAUAUAGAUUUGUGCACUUGGAUCAAGGCAGUUCUCGUUUCUAGUGCCUGACCACUCAUAUUGGGUUAAUAAUAAAUGGAUGUAAAUAGUUAUUGGCCGGGUGCGGGUACCAAGAGAAAAAUGAGGUAUAUUGUGGAACAAAUGAGAAAAAUCUAUACACGUUGUAUUGUGGAAUAGAGGGAGUACUUGGUCAAUGUUUAACAAAUUUGACUUACGGCAAAGCUAGAACAUCUUAUAAUUUGGAAGAGUAGAUGCUAUGCAGCAUAGCAUGUGCUCAAGGUCUCAAUUCCUCUUGACUAUGUUUUGGUGCAAUGUAACCAAAUUGUAGUAUUGUUUUUGUUGUAAACAUUUGUUACUGGUGUUGAAUUGGAUUGUAAGAAAACAAAAGGUACAACCACGUGUGCAUCCAUAGGUUUGUACUAAGCACAAAACUAUGAGCUAUAGGAAUUAUUUUGGAAACUUUCUCGAAUUUAAAUUUUCUUGAAUCCUGGAUUAUCUUGUGUUUAUGUGAGUGUGCAAGUAUGGAACGCUUGUGUUUAUGCGAAGAGUAACACAUGUAACUGGGCAUGGACAUUUCAGGCUGUGAACUUAGCGUCAUCCAUCCCAGCUCUUAAAUCAGCUUUUGAGAAAGGGAAAAUAGAUGUAAGUGCGCAUUAAUUUCCAGUUCCAUUAGGGCAGUAUUUUAAAGUGCAGCCUGACAUAUUCUUAUUGUACUGUUAAGUUUGCCAGAAUUGAGGAACUAAGAAAGCAGAUUGCAAGAGUACACAAGCUUCUGCAAGACCCACAAUCAACGGAAUUUAUCAUUGUGACAAUUCCUACGGUAAAUAUUUGUUCCAUGUCUUGCAUUAGUGCCAACAGUUAUUUACUGCAAAAACAUGGUGACAAUGAUAAAGAAGUAUUAAACGCAUACAAGGGUUGGCUGCAUUGGCUUGAUCUUACUCAUGGGUUCUUGUUUUCUCAGGCGAUGGCAAUUACUGAGUCAUCAAGAUUUCAUACAUCUUUAAAGAAGGAUGGUGCACCAGCAAAAAGGCUUAUUGUAAAUCAAGUAUUGCCACCAUCUGCAUGUGACUGCAGAUUUUGUGCUGUAAAACGGAAGGUAUGAAGCUCCUACCGUUCACGCAAGUAACUACAUGUCCCGUGCUUACUAUGAUUUAAUUUGGGCAAGGAGUUUCCAAUCUAGGUGCAACAUAUAUUUCUCAAAAAAAAAAAAUUUGCUCAGUUGCAUAAUCAUUACUUAGUAAGCUACACCCUUAGAACUAGCUUUCCACAUUCAGCUCAUUAUCUGAAUAGAGACAUUCACAAUUUCAGGAAGAAACUCGUGCCCUCAACAUGAUAAGUGAGGAUCGUGAACUUAGUGGCUUAGAGCUGAUCCAAGCACCACUUCUCGACGUGGAGGUCAGAGGUGUUCCUGCUCUUAAUUUCUUCAGUGAUGUGGUCUGGAAAUAGCCGCCAGGAUGUCAGGCUUUGACUAGGAAUCUAGGAUUUUCAUUUUUCAUUUGAAGCUGCGAGCAACCGUAAUGCAGAAAUGUGGUGAAAUCUGGAUAUAAGAUGAAACCGUGCAGGAUAUUAGUAUAUUCAGGCUCUAGAGCUAUUAAAGCUUAUACCUGAAGAAGGUUCAGAGGAAGCCCGGAACCCAUUUGCAUACCACAUCUCGGACGCCAAAACUCAAGGGAGAAACUCUUCGUUCCCCGUUUUUGAUAUCCUACGAUUGUCCUGUUCAUGGCCCAGUAGUAACUUGGACGGAGACUGAUCUGGUACUUUUAGCAGGUUAUUAGCCACUGCCCUUGUUUUUCCCAAAGAGUAGUAACAACUACUCUGACGUGUUCAUAUAUUGAUCAUAUGACUUUGUUGUCGGUGUCCGUUGAGUGAAUCCUGGAGACUUGAUGGGAUUGGAGACUUGAUGGGAUCAAAAGUACUUGUUUAUGGUUAUGAUUUGUAUCACAUAAGUCACGGGUUGAUGUAGUAAUCCUUGAUCAAAGGCUCAGUCAAAAAAAACAAUAUAUACGUCAUAAUUUAAGAAACGGAGGGAGUAUUUAUUGUCAAGAUGGUCAAUAUUGGAUUAACCUACGAAGACAUUUAAAAACACGGAAGAAAGAAACUACAUGAAGAUGAGAGAUAGAUGUUUUCAAAAUUACACUCGUCGAACAUCAUCUGAACGAGAGACUAAUGUUCCAAGCCUUAGACUAUUGUCAAGAACGGCUGAACGGCAAUCUCUGCAAAAAGACUUCGGCCGGUAGAGCCUUCUUUUGAGUUGAAAACAAGUAAUAUGUGUCGGAAGAGUAGCAUUCCGCUCUGUGUAUUUAUCCAGUCGAUAAAGUCAGUCCAUGAUAAAAAAGAAAGCACGUCAGCACACGAGCGCACUGCUCAACCGAGGAACUGAAGCAAAAGUUUUAAGAUUCCAUCCAUCUUGACAAUUGGCACGAGACUGGUUAACACAAACGACGAACACCUUUUGACCCGUGCACGGUACGAUAGCACGCACCUCGUUUCAGCUUUUCAAGGUCGCCGUCGAUCGGUCGGGGCGCCUUGAGCGGCUGAAUGAUUAAACAAUGAUCUGGCAUUCUGGCCUCUGGAGAGGCCGGGACACGCGAUGACGAGGACAAAAGAACCUCGGUGCUCUGUGGGGCGAUCACGACGAAACCCCGGCGAUCGGCACAUGAACGGCCGUUCAGCCGCGCACAUGCAUGGCUGCAACCGAACGGCAAGGACGAGUUGGCCACGAUGUGCUAGCAACUGCGCGAGGCUCCUAGUGCUUUGCUCUUUCUGAGAGGGAUGUUCAUGGAGGCGUGAGGUGCCUGUGUACCCCUCGAGGGCCAUUUCCCGUCAUUUAAAAUUGCGCCAGAGAACCGAAUAACUCGUUUUUGGUAGCCACUUGUUUAGCGACAGAUCAUUUAUAUCCGAUUCUUGAGGAGUUUAGUGUAGUGGUUUCUCGAAGAAAAAGAAAAGGAAAAGGAAAAGGAAGAAGUUGGUACUGCGUCACUGUAGAUUACCGAACGCAUGUCAAAGUGCGUCAUUUUGGUUUCAAAGUACAUCAAAUUUAUAUUCGUGGCAUUUUAAAUGUGUUGAAUAUACUCGUAUUUGACCGGGUCUAAACCCAAACAUGGCCAAUCAUAUUUCUUUUAAGAUCAUGGUGGCAGUGACCGAGCACGCAGAGCACCUGGCGUCACGAAGUGCAAGCUUGAAAGAAAACGUUUGAUCUAGGCAAUUAGUAUAUGCAGCCUCGUGAAAUAAUAUAUGUAGCUCGUUAUAGGUUCAUGCAUGUUAGACGGUCUAAUCGUUAUUUAAUACUCGUAGAACCGGCAUGAGUUUUUCUAAGUGUCUACGACACCUAUAGGAGUAUAGGACAAGUUGGAUUCAGAAACUGACACAUUCAUCAUGUGGAUGCCUGGACGAUGUCGAGAGGAAAUAAUUAUGAAAAUCCCAAUAAUUAUCAUCAACAGAUGCAAUAUAUGCCACAAUAAUGCGCUGCCACGACACACGGUUCACGUUUGUAUAUAAAGCCUGGUAGUCUGGUACCAUCGUACUGACUGUCAUGUGUUCUCCACAUCGAGAUGUUGGGUCGAAACGACGGACCAACAAGGGACCGGAUCCCGCACGGAAGAUACGCUCCUUAUCGGCCGUGAGCGCCCUUCGUUUGUUCGUCCAUCAUUUACGUGCAGUGGGCCGAAAAUGACUUGCAUUCGUGACUCAUCACGUGUACACAUUCUGCCUCCUCGACACGGCGACACCUGAUCGAGCCUGCGUGAAAGUCUCGACCACGGAAGAAACAUCUGCGAGAAACCGUGAGUCCGUGACCAUGUGAUGGACGAGAUUUGUGGUGGCUUGGUUGGCUGGCUGCAGGUGCGACGGCAUGACAUUAUCGUUUUCUUUUCUUGAGAGAUGGCAAAAGAUUUGCCACUUUUUCGUACGUGGUUUUAUUGAUGAAGCAGGAUGCGUCUGGAGCACUAAUAACAUGCAUGGAGCGCGUAGAUGAAGAUACCGAGUCUGAACUCUGAAGUGGAAGUGCUAAUGCGGCAAUUCGGCUUAAUUACCACCCCCCUUAUCCAACUUUUGAUUCGAUGACAGAUUCAAGGGGGGUUCUACAUGGCCUUCGCUCGACACCAACGUUGGAUUGGCUCGGCGUGCCGCGUGCGUGCUUGCCACUGCCCUUACCUUCCUCACAAGGGCCAAGGGGGCCACCCUGCAUGCACGCUAGAGGCCUUCGCUCUUUUCGAACUUGUACAUAUUACUGUUUUUGAGCAUAAUAGCUACCGCAUGAGCUUGUACAUAUUGCUGUCUUUGCUGUACUGUACUGAAAAAACGAAGUAUAUAUAUUUGACUUAGCUCUCAGUCCUUUAACUGUUAAGAUCGAUCUUUCAAAAAAGUCAGUUUGUUGGACGAAUAAGUGAUAUUCAAUUUGUUGGGCGCCACCGGGUUUGGAAUGUAAUAGAGUGACGACAACGUUUUUUUUUUCUUUUUUCUUGAUGAAACCCCCGGCCUAAAUACGAAUGCAAACAGUUUGGCAUGCAGACAACGGGUAGGGGAUCCUACUCGUAAGAAGAGACGUGACAUCUCACAACCGUGUACCCAACAACGUUCUCCUUUCGGAGACUCUCUUAAGAACAAAAGGUGAAAGGGAACUCUACUCCGUUCCUAGUACUACGUACGUACGAAAAGCUUUGAACGCACACGGCAGAUCUUAACACCGCGGUUUCCAAUUUCCGUGCAAACUGUUGCUCUCCGAUCAUAAUUCCUCGUCUUCAUCCGCAUGCACGGGCCGCGCGGCACACGGGAGUCGUGGGCCUCCCGUUGGCCGCCGGAAGGAAACAACGUAGCGUUCCCUUUUAUACAGCAGCCAGGCAUAUCGAUCAGCCCGUAGCGGCACACAGCUCGUAUGUUUCUGUUCCUGUCUUCCUGAGCCACCUAGCUGCAACGCGCGCGCGGGCGACGCCAAGGGGAUAAGAUGGCCAUUGGCGGAGGAGCGGCUCCGCACCAUAAUCCUCCCGGCGACGUGGACUCGCCCGCGGGCGCGCUCCCGGACUUCGAGCAGCCCCUCCUCCGCGCGCACGGCGGCCUUCAGGCGGGCAAGCAGGACCCCGCCGCGGCGCACGACCACGAGGCGCAGUGCCCGCCGGACACCGCCGGCGCGACGUCCCUACGGACCUGCUUCAAUGGCCUCAACGCCCUCUCAGGCCAGUACUCCAGAAAACUCGAACCUUUUUUCCUUGCUCCAGUACCGUGCAGUCAGGGCUUUUCUCCUUGACAGAGUCAGACGACCUUGCAACUGACUCGACCGAUCUUAAUCUUGGGGUUCAGGUGUCGGGCUGCUGUCCAUCCCGUACGCGCUGGCGGAGGGCGGGUGGCUAAGCCUGAUCCUCCUUCUCGCCGUGGCCAUGGUCUGCUGCUACACGGGCCAGCUCCUGCAGCGCUGCAUGGGCGCGUCCCCUGCCGUGCGCGGUUACCCGGACAUCGGCGCCCUGGCGUUCGGGCGCAAAGGCCGCUUCGCCGUCUCGGCAUUCAUGUACGCCGAGCUCUACCUCGUGGCCAUCGGCUUCCUCAUCCUCGAGGGCGACAACCUCGACAAGCUGUUCCCCGGCACCAGCCUCAGACUCGGCAACGGGCUCCUCGUCGUCUCCGGGAAGCCCCUCUUCAUCGUGCUCGUGUCCGUCGCCAUCCUGCCUACCACGUGGCUCAGGAACCUCGGCGUGCUCGCCUACGUGUCCGCCAGCGGCGUGCUCGCGUCGGCCGUCCUGGUCCUGUGCGUGCUCUGGGCUGCGGUCGUCGACGGCGUCGGGUUUCAGGGGAAGGGGACCUCCUUGCUCAAUGUCCGUGGCCUGCCCACUGCUCUCGGGCUCUACACCUUCUGCUACUGUGGCCAUGCCAUAUUCCCAACGUUGUGCAACUCCAUGAAGGAAAAGGACAAGUUCUCCAAGGUGAGUACAGUACAUGAUUUUGACUUCAGUUAAAAAAACACGGAGUAUAAAAUUCUACUAGUAGUACGGAGUAUGUCUGUCUUUGCAUUUAGCACUGUGCAAGAAAUCCGGUACUGAAAAUCAGGGGAAGAAAACAUCUGACAGUGACUGGACAGUGUUCUAUACAUACCGACCAAUGUCUUAAUCACUGCCCUGAUUGAUGAUUUUGUCCGUGUUCUACUUGCACAGGUACUGGUCAUAUGCUUCGUGGCAUGCACCCUCAACUACGGAUCCAUGGCCAUACUCGGCUACCUCAUGUACGGGGACGAGGUCGAAUCACAGGUGACCCUGAACCUCCCGGAAGGAAAGCUCAGCUCGAGGCUGGCAAUAUACACGGCCCUCAUCAACCCGUUCUCCAAGUACGCUCUGAUGGUGACCCCUGUGGCGACAGCGAUCGAAGAGAGGCUGCUCGCCGGCAACAACAAGAGGUCCAUGAACAUGCUGAUCAGGACCUUCAUCGUCCUCAGCACGGUCAUCAUAGCCCUGACGGUCCCUUUCUUCGGCCACCUGAUGGCGCUCGUCGGCUCGCUCCUCAGCGUCAUGGCCUCGAUGCUGCUCCCGUGCAUCUGCUACCUCAAGAUCUUUGGCCUGGCGAGGUGCAGCAGGGCAGAGGUUGCGCUCAUCGGCGCCAUCAUCGUUCUUGGCUCCUUGGUUGCCGCAAGCGGGACUUACUCUUCCGUGAAGAAGAUUAUUGACGAGUUCUGAUCGAAGCCAAUUGUUCACGUCUGACAUGGUAACGCCGGUGUCCGGGCUGGUAUUCUGUUGAAAUGUAAUUUCAUUGCUCAACAGCAGCAGAGUAUUGUGGUUCUACCAUAAGAGUUGUAUAUGAGGCAGGCUAGUACAAGACCAGAGAAAUUUUAUGUCAAUACGUUAUGUUUCAGAUACUGGCCAUGUGCUUCUGUUGCUAAAAAAGCAGGUAAAUUACGGAGAAGUACCAACUCUCCCCACGAAAAGUGCAACAAUCCAAACAAACGUACCGUAGCCCGUGGCUGAGCAGACCACUCCGGCCAUCGGAUUCCACUGUGUAAGAAUUCGAGUGCAUAGGAGUGCUGUACUGUAGUUCUGCCUGCAAAUUCCGUUCCCCAACGCGUUCGGAUUUUGCGGAUAAACACUAGUGGAGCAUAUCUUGAAAAAACACCACGUGGGCACAUUAAGUCAACCAUUUUACUCUUGGAUUAGGUGAAAUUAUUCUCUCUUGGAGGUUUCCUUGUUUCUCUAUUUUUGGACCAAGUUGUCUGGUUCAAUCGAAGAAAAACUCUCGCGCAGCAGAAGAUUACUCACUGAAGAGAUGAAUUAACAGCCGGCACACCAACAAAAAUCCAUAUAAUUGCAAACAGGAGCAAAGCAACAUAGCAUAGGAGCAGAGAAGAACAAGCUAGCUGAAGCUAUCAUUCAAGACUGAGAUAGAACUACAUACACAAGACUCCUUACAAGAUAAAUCAACUUUGAUUGGCAACAAAGCACAUGCUGCACACAGAUUACACGUUCCGACCAACCGGAGCUACAGAAACUGGACAAGUAGUGGAAAUGAAGCUGCAGACUGAUAACGAAACAGGAAGAAGCCUUCCAUCAGGACUGACAUGAGGCUCGCGAGGAGCUGGUGGAGGCGGAAAGAGAGGAUAGAAGCCUUCUAUCAGAAGGAGAAGAUGCCUUCCUUGAUGCAGAGGGCGCAGAUGAGGACGACCAGGCCGGCGCCGAUGCACUGCGUGCUGGACACCAACGUCUGCUCGUACGCCAGCAGCGUCAUGGCGGCGCCCACGCACCCGAUCAGGAGCCCGCUCAGGUUCCGGUCCAUGCCGCCGCUCCGCUUGACUUUCCCACCUUGCUAUUCCCCUGCCGCUGCUGCCGCUUCUCUCGAUCUCUUCGAGCUUCUUGCUUUUCUUGGGUGCUGCUGCGGGUCUGCGAUGUGAUGUGGUGGAAGUUGGGGAAUUAAAACCGCGAAGUCAACGGCUUCGUUGCUGGUGAGAGGGUCAGAGGGCGGGGAGUUUAGCUCGUGGAGGGUUUGGAAGGCCGGGGAUGUGGUUUUCGGAGCCCGGAAGCGCCAUUCGCGGCUCACUGCCGCCCAGGCGCCACACACGUUCCGACGUUCGCGUGUGAUUUGUAAAUUGCACACAGUUUUUUUUAUAAGAAACGCAGCAUUCAUGUUACUCGGAAUGCAUUUAAGGGAAGAGGGAGAAGUUAUUUGAUUUGUUGGCAUCAGCAAAAUUAAACAAGAGAAAAUCACAUGUUUUUUGUUGGCUAAACUGAAAAUCCAAAAUUCCUAAUUACCGCACGCAGAAUAGGAGAUUUUUGUGUUGGUUUUAGCGUUAAAUUAUUCAACUGAGCCUAACUAUGCUCGUUAGCCUGUCAGGCUUGUCUACCAUUUCACCUGGCCCAAAUAUUCUAAAGGAAAAACAAUUCUUCUGGCCCAAUUACAUGUGCCGUUCAGCGGUCCAACCGUCCAGGGCCCUGACUCGCGCAGGCACUGAAGCCCCGACGGUGGCAAGAAGGUGCGCCGAUAGCAGGGGCGAAGAGCUUUUGCCGGCAUCCACAGGUUGCAGCCACGUGCGGGCACCGUGCGUGCAGCCAGGGGCUCUCUCUUUGCGGCGAGGGGAUUUCCGGGUCGCAUACCGACAUCGCGUCGAUGAACUUGUGACCUCGCAACGGACGUGAGGGCGGGAGGACGUGUGCCGCGGCGGCUGGCGAAGGCAACACCGCAGUCCCACGAGAGACCUGCUGUGCAUGAGACAGUGAGGAGUUUGGAUCCUGGAAGCAGUGGCAACCUCCACUUCCAUUGUAAGUUCAAUGAAUUUGGAUCCCCUUAUAACUUUUUUUUCUCAGUUUCCAAACUAUCAACCCGUAUGUUAUAUGCCCCGGUGUAGAUUAGUUGUUGACUGAUGUAAUAGGCAGUUGUAACUUAUAAGACGAAGAUCGAUGCUGAUUUGAAAACUUGGAAAGAACUUCAAAGACAUUGAAGAUUGUUUUUUAUUUUGUGUAAUACCCAGAAAAUUGUAAAGAUUGAUUUUGAUAUAAGUUGGAAGAGUUGACUGAAAGUUGACAUUUUGAAUCAUAAGUCAUUUCGGGAAUCUGAGACCAUGAUUCAGUUCGUCUUGUAGAGCUGACCGUCUAGUCGAAAGCAUACAUGUGACCAUGGACGAACACAAAAAAUUGUUUAGGUACGACGUUCGUAGAACAGACUUAUAACAUUUAAUAUUUAUAUUUUAUAAUUGCAAACUGUAUUUUAAUAUGUUUGUUUGUAUUUUUUUAUUAAUUCUUAUAACAUUUUGUUUUUAACAUUUAAUAUUUCAAUAGAUUUAAUGCAAAAACAAUAUCGCAUCGUAUACAGGUAUAAACUAUCAAGUGUGUAAUAAUAUUAAUGCAAUGUAUUUUUAUAAUAAUCCAAUGUUUUAAGUAAGCAUAAAUACAUGGAGGUGAAUUAUGAAGUUUAGGUCUUUACAAGAGUAAAUAUAUAGUAAUAUUUGUCUCCAGAAACAUCUACAUACUUAUAUACUUAACAAAAUAGAUAUUCGGGUUUGUUUUAUACCCAAGUUGCAUGAUUUUUAGUUAGAGAUAAGUUGAUUGUUCAGUCGUUGGAUCUAGAUUGUGUUUUAAAAUUCGCAACGAAAAGGAAAUGAGUGAGUUUGAUACUAUCUACCAAGAAUUAAAUGUUUUACUUAAAAAUUCAGGUGCCUGAGAUAUGGACACACCCAUAGAUAUUUGGCAAAAUAACCGGGUAAAUUUCAAGAAACCACGGGUUUUGGGGCCCGUCUCACUAGCUCCAGUUUUUGCUAAUUUGCCAACAGAACCACAUAUUUUUGGUCAGACUGUAUCAACUGGCCACACAUUUUUUACAUCACAUGAAUUAUUAAACUACCUUUUCUCAGUUAGGCGUACGGUGGGAGCUCUCAGCUCAUUUAUCUCCCACGUUUUCUUUUUUUGUUUUUGUUUUUUAGAACAACGAUCUGACUUUGUUUAUUCAACGAACAAAAUAAAACUGAUCGAAAAAUUAAGACGACAACAAAGAUUUCGGAUAAACCAAAAAUUAUAACAAAAAUCUUUGAAGCCAAGUUCUCUAGCCGCGCCGAUCGUAUUUUGAUAUUUCUCCAAAUCUCUGGUGACGAAAAAUGUAGAAAAUCAAACCUUCAUAAGUGUUACUAACGUUCUAGGUUUUACUGAGACGCACACUCCAGCGGGUGAGAACUUAAGAUCGUUGAACGCGCGGUGGCCUGGUCACACCCCUCGCAAGACAGGUUGUUGAACCAUUGAAUCAUAGCCGAACCGACAAGGAAGAUGAUCAAAAUCAUGAAAUUACGAGCCGUGGAUGCCACACCAGAACGGGAAUGGAGCCGAGAGAUAGUUAAUCCAAGCGUCGUUGCAUCCACCAACAGUAGGAAUAAAAUGUGUUGGCCUUGGCACUCGAACCUGAGACCUCCCAGUGAUUCCUUCCCUGGUGCUAACCACUAGUCUAGUCUUGCUUGUUAUGCGAAGUUACAGAAAAGGCCUAUUUUUACCCAUUUUUAGUUGCUGGCGCACACACAAAAGGUUGUCGAGUGCUUUCAAGGGGCCUCUUUAAGGCCCGUCGGGCUUAUCGGGCCGUGUCGGGUUUACCGGGCCGGGCCGGGCCGAACCGGGCCUAGAGCCGCGCUUGGGUCGAGAUAUUGCCUUAAGGUGCCGACCAGCCCGGCACAUUUCAUACCGGGCUUCGUCGGGCUUUGCCCGGGCCAGACCCGAUUACGUGCCGGGCCAAGCCGGGCCGGCCCGAUAGCCACCUAUAGUUUCACGCUGAGGAAAAGAGUGCACUAUCAUUUUUCCUUUGCUUGGUAAUUUUUCCCAUCUCGCUGCCGAGCGCGCCGACGGCCCAACCACGUAGCUCCUUGUCUUCCUCCUCGAGCGAGCGCCGCCACCGCUGCCGAGCGCCCCAGCCCCCUCGCUCCGUCGCUCGUCUUCCUCCUCGUGCGAGCGCCUCCACCGCAGAUAUCUAUCUCCCCUGCAAUUCUUGUUCCCGACCGUUUCUCCUCCAAUCACCCCACGAACAGAUCCCGCCCUUUAGCUUCCCGUCGCAUCUCCUUAAUCUUCCCCAAAUCUUCCUUGCCCUACCGGGUCCUCCGCCCUUGCAUGUGACCAAAUCAGAGUCUCGAUGAAUUAUGCAGAGACCAUAUAAUUCAGCCUUUCAAUGAAUUAUAGAAUCUCUGUGCAAGUCAAUUUCGGAUUAAAGAGAGAAGAAAGAUAAAUCCCCAUGGGCUGUCCCUUCACUGCCCUCACAAUCGAAUGGCCAAACCCAAUAUCAGACGCCCGUACGCCUAGGGUUCUUCAGAGGUCUAGUAGCCGCCUACGAGGUCAACUGACCUGAAGCUUGCUACCACCAGCUGCCGCUUCGUCGCGAAGCCCCGCCACCGUGCCGUUUGCUGUUCCACACCCACGCUACGCCACCAUCAACUGGCGCAUCGAUUUCUGGUUUGCUCUCAUCCCAGUCUCCGUCUUGGUAAUCUGCUGAUCGGAAGCAGUAGGUUUGCGUGGUCUUAGUGCUUGCAGAUGCAAUGUCCAAUUAAUUGUGCGGUAACAUGCUAGCAGGUGGCAGCCUAGUUCAAUCUAGAGUUUGUGUAACCGGUAGUUCUUAACAUCUCAAGGAACCAUAAAUUUUGUGUAAAUGUUCUGGAUUUGCUUGCCAUCAUAAUUGUGCAGCUCCCUUGCUAAUAUUAUAAUUCUAGUACUUGUACUGAUGCAGACGCAGAAGUUUUUUUUUGGGUUGAGAUAAAGCAAAACAAAUACGUCCCUUUAUUAGUCAAUCAGCUAGAUUAGAUAAGGGUAGGCUGAUUAUGAAUUGGUUAUUGUUUUAGUCUGUACCCUGUAGCACUGCAUGAUGUGCAACAGGGUUUACUCUGUUCUUAUUUGUUGGAAUGGAUGGUUCAAUACUAUGAGGAAGCACUUCAAAUUUAGGGGAAAAAACGACGAGUGUAUUGACACCUGCAUGUUUCGGCACAAGUAAUUUGUAUUGGUGCAGUAUACAGGAGCUAUUGAGCUUACAAUCUAGAGAGAAAACAGUAUGGGUUCAGCUCUAGAGCACCUGUUUACAAGAUCUCUGCCUAUUCUAAGAUAGGGUUGGGCAUAGUUAUGAAUUUGAAGCGUUUUUAUUUUUAGAAUAAUUUUAAGCACAGUUUAAGAAAUCGUCCUGAUGACUAUACAGCUAGUUAUGGUCUUUAGUUGGUCCGCGAGAAGUCUUCUGAGUUUUGUCCCUAUUUCUGAGUCGUAUUGGUGUUAUAAGCUGCAUUGUUGUUAUGCCUUGUGCUAUAUAUAUUAUUAAGUGCAUGUCGUGGGUGGCGAUGUGUACAAAAGAAUCACUAUCAAAAUUUCUAAUAAUUUUCAGACUUAGUUUUGUGUGUAGUAUGGUAGCAAUUGGGAUGAUGUACUAUGAUGGACAAUUGGUGAACCUUUAUGUUAAAUGGACUAUUAGUGGGACUCUAUGUUUUAAAUUAAACAAUUCAUGUACUUUUGUAUUUUGCAUUGAAAAAGUUGUUCCAUGUUUUGCAUUGGAUUUUUAUUUUGACUUUUAAUACCCGUUGUCAAAACCCUGUGCAUGCUGCUCAAAUAAGCAGGCUCCCGUGAUGCAUUCCCGUUAUUGGUAAGGUAGAGCAUAUCUAUGUGCUACAAUUUCUCCAUGUUUUUUAAUUUUUGCUUAUUCCUUGCAGAAUUGUUAAGUGUACGGCAACUGCUUAGCUUGCUUACUAUGUCCAUCUUCCGUUUCAUCCUCCCGACAAUAAUGAGGAGUAGAAGCUGGAAAUGCUUUGCUACUGGGAUUCCUUCUGAUGCUAUAGCGGAGCUUAAUAAGGUUACACAUCCAAAACUUCUCUUUUGAUAAUUUGUUGUUUGUAGUCUAUUAUUCUCCAAUACUGUUAUCUAGUACUACCUUCGUUCCAUAAUUCUUGUCAAAAUCUUACAUGUAUCUACACACUUUUUAGGAAUAGAUACAUCCAUUUUUGGGCAAAUUUGAGACAAGAAUUAUGGAACGGAGGGAGUAUUAAUCUUACUGAAACUAGACAUGUCUAGACUGUCUGGCAUAUUUGUUGUCUGAUUCUUUGGAUAAUGGAUACCAUGGAAUUGUUGUGUACUUGGCAUGUGGCAUUUUCAAUAUCUUCAGGUUGGUGUCCAACAUGACCAUGAUAGCCCGUUUUUCCUCUAUUCCUGAGCCGUAAGCUGGUCUUGUACUUCUAAAAUCACGCCCUGUUGUAGCGCUGUUGAGUUUGGUCUAUUCUUGUCCGCUGUGUGCCAUUUUCUUUUUCCAAGUUUUCCUGAAUUAGAAUUUACUAUCUGAAUCUGUUUCCUUUGGUUCUGAAUUAUAGUAUGCAUAAUUUCUUUACUCCUAUACGGAUGUCAAUUGGUGGCGGCGGUACGACCGCCUUUCACUGCACCACAUGUUAUAGGUUUCUGACUUGGCCUUGUGCAAUGUCCUCACAAAAAUGUUUGUAACAUGAUUAUUUUGUCAUUCGGUACUUAAAUGAAUGAUAAUUGCAGUAAUAGCUAAUAAGAAUCUUGAACUUUGUUAUUACAGGAAAUGGAAUCAAUAUUUGGUGAAUCUCCUUCACCCAGUCCUUUGGGUGGUUCAAGUCCUCCCCAGCAGCCAGCCCAGCCAACUUCUGAAGCCUGGGAGGUACAACCAGCGCUUACCCAUGUUGAUAGCAGUGGCCAGGCAAAGAUGGUUGAUGUCUCACCAAAACAAGACAGUGAGAGAGUCGCUAUAGCCAGCUGCAGGGUCUUGCUAGGACAAAAGGCGUUUAACUUGGUGGCAUCAAACCAGAUUGCCAAAGGCGACGUACUAACUGUUGCAAAGAUAGCUGCAAUAACUGGUGCGAAGCAAACUAGCAACCUCAUACCCCUGUGCCACAACAUCAAUCUCUCCCAUGUUCGUGUUGAUCUCACUCUCAAUGAAGAGGACUCUAGUGUCAUCAUAGAAGGGGAAGUGGCAACUAGCGGGAAAACAGGGGUUGAGAUGGAAGCAAUGACUGCCGUGGCCAUUGCCGGACUGACGGUUUAUGACAUGUGCAAAGCCGCUUCAAAGGACAUUUGUGUAACGGAUAUCUGCCUCCAGCACAAAUCUGGGGGAAAGAGUGGAAACUGGUCAAGGAGUUAGAGGCUUCAGUUAUUAUUCUUGGGAUAUAUGAAGUGAAAGUUUGAUAUGGCAUAGUGAAAUUUUACAAUUCUGACACCAGAAGGUUUUUAUUUUCUUUAUAUGCGUGCUUGCUAGAUAUUUGAACUCUGAGCCAGUAGCUAAAGUUAUUUUGAACUCUCUGCCUGUUGUAAAGGCAUUUCUCAAUGUUUUCAGAAUGACUAGUUAUAUUACACUAUGUUGGCAACUAAAGAUUCUCCUUCAGUACUGCUGCAUCUUAUGUAGACUGUUGUGCACAAGUCAACAUAAGAUGGAGUAGAUGUAAUAUGUUGAUAUUUUUGUGGCUGGAUUGGAAGAGUGCAUAAACAGACAGUCUAGUUGUACAAUGGAGAGACCUCUAAUGCUCACGAGAUCAAAAUACUCCAGAAUUGCACUUCAAACUUUAUCAUCUGGGUCCUUUAUCUGAUUAGAUUCUGACUUGUGUAAUCUGUAGUUGGUGUGGUGAUAUCAACAAUAUUGAUCUUACUGUGUAUGUGUUUAUUCAUGUGUUUUGAACAAUCUAUUCAUGUUUGAUUACAAGGUGGAACAAUGCAUCCUCGCAUAACCAUGGGGAUUAGAAGUGAACCAUAGAAUAGGAGUCAUUGGCUGCAUUUCGUCUUGUACCCAGAUUGACUUAGUAUGCGCAUAAAUACUUUAGGUGCCCGAUGAUACAGAAGAAGACACAUCAGUUUCAAUUAUCGUAAGCCAUUUAUUUAUAAAUUAUUGCAUCUUCAUUAAUAGUCAGUGUUAUAUAAUGUCAUUAUCUUUUGGCAGACAUCUUAAUUAUAUCUUGAUGGAGCAGGUAUAUGUUUGCCUUCAUUCUACUUUCUGAUGCUGAUGAAUGAAAACAUCCAAAUUCCUUGUCCUGGGUUCCUAUCGGCAUGGCAAAGUUAUUCGCAGGUAAUGACAAAAUCGUAACCCCAACAUUGCCCAACUGCUGUUGCUUGGUUCAUAACCAACUACAGAUACAAGUUUCUUUCUAUAUGUGCUAGUAUCAUCUUUUCUUUCUGUUAUCCUGAUGAUGUGGUUACUUUCUGAUGAUGCAGGGUAAACACACAUUCAUCUCUAUGUUCUGAAACAUGACAAUUUUUUACUUAAUUCAUCUCGAUGAUGCUGGAAGUGGGACAGUGACACGGAAAAGGAACAGCAAAAGUAUCGCACAUCCAAAUCAUUUUAGGUGGUGUUUGGUCCCCCAUUUAGUUAGUUUGUGCUGACAUAAUGCGUGUAACAUUUGUUCUGCAUGUUAUGGAGAAUAGGUCCGAAUGUCUUAGUGUGGAAACUGGAAUAGUUUAGGCUAUAGGCCAAACAUGCAGGAGGUGAGACAGUGACUGUAGAACACGACAAUGCAAAUACUCCACAAAAAUAAUCUUUUCGGUGCCUUCUUACUUCAUUGAUCAUGUUUGCUUUGGUUUAAGUUGCUUGCUGCUGAUAUGACCUAUACUUCAGUUCUCGCACAGGCACCACAAAACAGCAGUAAUUUUCAGGAGACACGGUCCUUGACAUGACAUUAUCACAUUACUGAUGAUCCCUGCAAAUCUGAAGUAGUUGGGAUUCUUCUAUGUCCAUGUGGUUUUUAAUUCAGACAAAUGAACACCUGUACUGAAUAUUCGAACAUAUGCGAAGCCACAAUUUAAUACUCUGAGCUGACAUAUUGGCAUGCAGGUUUUUGCAGUGCUUUGCUGUAAUCUGGACACAUCCAUCGGCAACCUGAAACCGACGGAUGCACAAUUGUCUGGCAUUCUAGUUUGUUCUUGCCUUCCCUAAAAAAAAGGUUAGUUCUUGCCUUUGAAUACUGAUUGGCUAUUGAAAUGUAUUUAUUCUCUCUGAUGAUGGCAUCUGAAGAAGUCAAUUUGUGCAAGGCCCAGUCCCAACCACUCAGAAUUAGUUGUCCCGGUCAGUUGAAAGGGGAGAAUAUGCAGCUACCCCUAUGUUACAGCAAAUGCAGAUUUGGGUCAAUGAUCCCCGGUGUCUCUAUCCCCAACAGAUCUUGCAGAUUGCUGUUUGACCGACAUUUGAUUAGGAAACUGUAAGUACAUUUUGCUCUCUUAUAUCUAUAUGUAUUGCCUUACGGUAAACAUGUAUGGGCCACAUGUACUGAAUUCUUCUUAAGCAUCCCCUGUGCUGUUUGUUGGAUAAACCUUGAUUAGUAUCCCCCCAAGCCCCAAACAAUGACCUCUGAAAUCGAGCAAAGAUCACACGUGGUUGUCUGGAGAGAUCCAAGCAGGCAAAGUUUUUUUUUUCUGGUUUAUGUUACUAGUAUCCCCCCAAGCCAACAACCUAACACUGGCAUCUCUGUCAUUUCUCUUAAUUGAUACCCUGGUUCCUUCAGCCUGAAUCUUCUUUGAUGCGUUUUCCUGUAUAAAAAUAUUGUCCUCCAAGAAACUGGCUUAAUAUGAUCUUUUUGAAACAAAGGUUGCAGUAGUGGUGUGAAAAGAAGCUGCCACGUGAAACAGGAUAUGAUAAUAAACUCUGAACAUUUGGUCAGAAUUUUCGACUAGAAGGGUUGGUCCUUUUGGAUUAGCCGAACCAACGAAUGCAUUUCCGUGUUCGUGGCAGGACGAGAAACGUGAGGAUUUGAAAGACGAAACUGGGUAGUACUACAAAUUACCGGCUGUGAGCGCAUAAAAAGAUGCUUCAGUUCUCGAUAACAAGAUCCGUACCUUUUGAGAUUGGCCUGUGAUAUGCUUAUAUGACAGUCGUCUUGUGUUGGCCAUUGCUAACAAAAUCCGUACCCUUGACAUUAGCCUGGGAUGUACUUAUGGCAGUUUUGUUGCUGUGGUGGCAUACCUAACCAGCCUUCUUAUCCGAUGCGUUGGCCUGCAAAUCCGGCCGGACCUGAGUGGAUCCGGGCCGCGUGUGACGGAUCAAAGCGGUCUACGGUUGAUGCCACUUUGUUCGUCUCUCCACGAACGGAAAGCUUGAAACUACUGCAGAGUCCACCUUAGGCCCUCGAUCCUCUCUGACGUUAAUAAACCUAACAUCUCGAGAAAUACAAGCAACGAAAGCAUUAGCGUAACUCGACCCACCGGACAGAAAGAAAAAGGCAACGAAACAGGCAGGGAUAAGAUAACAUUAUCCCUUUCUCCUAUUCUUUAACGAUACGAUCUCUCUCAAAACAAGCACGCAGUAUAGAAUAAUGUUUCAACGAGGCGAAAUGGAAUGAAACCUGGCCUCCCCAUCCCUAAAGUCGCGUCGACGCUUUACAAUCAUAAUAUCAUCGGCUCUCGAUCGGUUGCCGUUAUCCGGACAUUUCCUGCCGAUCCGGCAACUUUGAACCGUUCCACCAGCGGUACAUUCCCGAAAGAGAAACCCGGCCGUGCCGACUCGCGCGGGGGAAGAGACCGACGUCGACACGGACGUGCGCGCGCGCUCUCUGCUCACGCCGCGGCCGGCGCGACACGCGUCUGGGCCGUCGCCGUCGCGAUCCCCACCGCCCGGCCCGGCAGCAGCCUGCCUCCCGCUUUGACUUGCCUGUGUUUCUGUGUGCCCGUAAACUAUCAUCAGUCAUUCAAGACCUACUAUGUACGGGCUAGAGGAUCCAGGAUUUAGCUAGACUAGAGUCGUACAGUGUAAAUUGGUUGGGAACUGACUGGCGGUGAAAGGAUUGAUUCAUCAACGGAAUAUAUAUGCGUUGCUUAAGAUGCAAGAUUAUAUACACUGACACGCGCAGAGGCACCUUUCUAUCGAAGAAUAAUCACGUACUACUAAAUCAUGCUAGGGGGUGUGUCUAAAUUUCACGGGCCGAGUGAUCGCAUCGGCGGCCAUGCAAUGAUUACGGUUAACAAAGCAUUGUCCACUGUUGCAGAGGCACACAUCGUGCACAUGAGCGUGAAAGGAGCCUGUAUUUUGUCAUCGACUGAUCGAUCUCGUCAUACUAAAAAAAAGAACACCAAGGCCGUCUGGCCAUGCCAGCAUGGGAGGGGGCAAAGCUAGCUAAGCUAGCUCUGGAUAUUAGCUAGGGAGGGGAUCAAACGUCCCAGUUAAUCAAUCAUGUCUUGUAGCGUCUACAAAAAGAAAAAGAAACCAUGUCGUGUAUAGUUGGAUUCCACUUGGCACGUAUAGUACAAAUAGCGCCCUAUACGUACUCUCGAUCAUGGUCACAAAGUUCUUUCUGCAGGCUGCAGUAGAUGCCAUACGCAUGGUUCCAAGUCGCCCUUCCCAUUACUAGAUAGAUUCGGCUCUAACUUUCUACAUAUCUUCUGUGGUAAUAUCCGGCCUUUUCUACGUUUCCGCAAAGUGUUUGUUAGGCGAAACGCAGCUGAUGUCGAGUUAAAUCUGUCUCUCCUUGAAAUUUCUGAUAGCAACAGGGCGCAAUUGCUUGUAGCUCCUAGCUCAAUUAAUCAGGCCAGCAUCAUAUCAGUGACUUUGUAAAAUCAAUACAGGGUAACCAUAGAUUGACGUGCGAUUAGAUGCGGCAGAUCGACCCCCCUGCCAAGAAUAUGUUCUGUGUGUACCUGAGUCUAACCCAGCACCAUAAUUACACAUCACUAUGCAUGAAUCAUUGCCGAAUCUACAUUAUUUUGUUUUUCAAAAAACCCGGAGGAAAUAAUUAAUCUGGAUAACCUACACUUGAUUUCUUCAGUCGCUAUAUGUGUACCCCGUACAAAUAAUACAUUCCCAGCAUACCUGUCGUCUGUCGACCAGUUCUGCAGUGGGCGGGCACCCACACGGAAUAAUGUACAGUAUACAUCCCUGCUCGCUCAUACAACAUUAACACAUAUAUGUUCCGUUUUAAGCCCCACAGCCUCAAGUGGAUCCUCUGCGCAUGCACUGGCACCCAGCCGCAGAGAUCGAUCGGCCGGCGACAGGUCUUUGAGAAAUGGACGAUAUGAAUAUAAUUGAUCACCUCUCGUUGGAUCCAUGUAGAUCCGUCGUGAUCGCCUACUAUUCGGUUUAUCAUCUUGUGACCAAUGUGCUGUCUCUGAGCUAAUGGUUCAUAUAUCAUGUGCGAUCGAUUUGGCCCUUGCCCUCUUGGGGAGAUCAGGUUGGACUGCAUCUUUCUUUGGGCGUGUGUGUGUGUUGGUAGGCCACCAUGAUCAUCAAUUGUACUCAUCGAUCAUAGGAUGAUCAUGUCAUUAUUAGCAUCGAGAUAAUAAAUUCACAUGCCGUUUUGCAGUACUCGAACGGGAUGCUAGCUUGGGUAUGUUGCUCUGUGGAGGUGCAGAAAGAAUUUUAUUUAAUUUGGUCGCUCUCCUUGGUGUUGCUGGCUUGAUUUAUUGAAGUACUUAGGGUGGGCACGUCAUUUUCUUUGGGAGUCGAUCAUCAAGUAGUAGUACUCAAAGCGCUCAAAAUAACAUUCACUUGGGUCACUUAUCUGGUUCAAGUGACGUACUUAAUGGUAUAAAUCAUGCUUAAUUUGCGGCCAAAUCCUGGCCACUUGCGUCGUGCAACUCUCGCAAAGCACACGCAAAAUGCGGACCUGGCUAACUAAGUCCACGUAACCCGAAUCCAGCUAGCAAAGCAUGAAUGUUUUUUUUCCAGUUAAUUAAGUACCCAUAGGUACGGUUUGAAAGCAGAGUGAUAAUUUUGAAUGUGCCGCUGGAGUUCAGGAGAUCGAGUAGGAGACAUCUAAUAGAUUUUGGAACACCUUGAUCUGGUUUAUUAUGUCGGUUUUCUUUUUUCUAAUUCUCAGAUGCUUUGAAUAUUUAAAUCUCCGUUGGGCAUCUGAAAUUGUACUCUGAAGGUGUGCAGCUUCAGUUCAGUUUUAAGUUUGUAGGUUAUUAUACUCCAUAUGGAUUGGUUUAAAGGUGAUGAUAACUGUCUGUUGAUCCAAAGACUUAACUAGAUCGAAAUGUGAUUGAAAGUUUGAAACUAGAGAAAAUUUCAAACAACCGGGGAAGAAAUAACACUGUGUUUAAUUUGGUCAGCUCAACCACGCCCGAUAUAUGUAGAACCAUCUCCGUUGAGUUCCUUCACCCACCACGUCUCUUUCUACUAAAAGGAUCCCUCCUCUGGCGUCAAGACUAGAAAUUCUAGUAUUUAAGGCGGCAUCACCUCCAUCUCGCUUUAUAUUUUCUCUCAGCAACUCCCCUUGGAUCUGUUUCCAAUUGACUCCAAUAUCAGUUCCAAAAGGUAAUUUAAUUGCCUUAUUAUCACAUUUCCUAUCUCUCUCUCUUUCCAUCUUCCCUCGGUGCUCUGUCUAAUGGAUUCUAGCUUCGUGCAUGCCUUCCUUGUACUUCUCUUUCAUGAUUGUUAUUCAAGCUUAUCUGAUUUGUUUCUCGCUAAUAGAUCAAGUGUGUUACGCAUACUGGCGUUGCUGAUUAAUUUGUUUCCAUGCCUAAAUCCCCAAUAUUGAUCUCUAUGUACUACCAAUGUUCGUUUCAGGGGAAUUCAUAAGGAGUUGAUUUGCAGAACCAAUCCAUAUGGAGCACGAGGAGCAGCAGGCCAUGGACCUCCCGCCGGGCUUCCGCUUCCACCCGACGGACGAGGAGCUCAUCACGCACUACCUGGCCAAGAAGGUCGCCGACGCCCGCUUCACGGCGUUCGCCGUCUCCGAGGCCGACCUCAACAAGUGCGAGCCAUGGGACCUGCCAUGUAAGCUAGCACCUGUAUCGAUCUCCUUUUAGCUUCUGCACAUGCACGCACAAACCAUAACUAUAUGUAUGAGCUGAAGAAGGUUCGUGUGCCAUGCAUAUAUAUGCAGCGCUGGCUAGGAUGGGGGAGAAGGAAUGGUACUUCUUCUGCCUCAAGGACCGCAAGUACCCGACGGGCCUGAGGACGAACCGGGCGACGGAGUCCGGGUACUGGAAGGCCACGGGCAAGGACAAGGACAUCUUCAGGGGCAAGGGAACCCUCGUCGGCAUGAAGAAGACGCUCGUCUUCUACACGGGGCGUGCGCCCAAGGGCGAGAAGUCCGGCUGGGUCAUGCACGAGUACCGCCUCCACGGCAAGUCCACCGCAUCGUCCAAGGUAAAGAUCGCAUCAUAAUACAUAUGGAUGUCUAGUUUCCUGAUCCUUACUUACUUUCGUGCAUGAUUCAUCGGUAUUAACCGCCUUAAUUAUGCCUACGUUUUCUUUGUAGAACGAGUGGGUGUUGUGCAGGGUGUUCAAGAAGAGCCUGGUGGGCGUAGUAGCGUCGUCGGCGUCGGCGUCGGCGGCAGUGAAGAAAGGCGCCAUGGGGAUGGAAGACACGAUAGGGACGUCCUCCAUGGCCGCCGUCGGUACUACACAGCUCCCUCCGCUCUUGGACAUGUCCGGCUCCGGCUUCGUCGACCCGGCCGCUGCACACGUGACCUGCUUCUCCAACAACGCGCUGGAGGCGGCGGGCGGCCACGGCCACGGCCACGGCCACUUCUUCAACAGCGCAACAGCCGACGAUCACCAUCACGGCGGCCUAGGCGCCGCGUCCUCCUCUUCCACGCCGUUCUUGGCGAACUACGCGCAGUACGGGCUGGUGCAGCUCCUCGAGAGCAGCAGCGGGUACCGCGGCCUCGACAUGGCAGCGCCGUGCAAGCAGCAGCAGCAGCCGGCCGCUGCCGCGUGCAAGGAGAUGCUGAUGAGCGCGUCGCAGGACACCGGGCUCACCUCCGACGUGCACCCCGAGAUCUCUUCUUCCUCCGGCGGCGCCCAAAAGUUCGACCAUGAGCCCGCGCUCUGGGGCUACUAGUUAAUUAAGGGAAUAUUGAUUGAUUGAAUUAUAUCGUUAGUGCAUUUGCCGGUGCCUUAUUACUUACUGUAAAUAAACCCUGCGAGAUAUAUGAUGGAGAGGCAUAUGCAUGCACCGGAUCGGAGCUAUGAAUGAUAUAGCUUCACUGUCUGUACAUAUAGUUUGUAGAUUCCUUCGUGUGGUGAUUUGGGAGUGUAAUUAGCAUUAUUGUAUUGAUCCAUCCAUAUAGUCCAUCAUCAUUUUACCAGGUUAAUCCAAUUCCAUCUUGGCGAGAUCAGGUUCCUUGAAUUAAGCGGUACUCCUAGCUAAUUAAGUUCUUUAUAGCAAGUCCUAUCGUUAGCAAAGUCAGUUAGACUUAAUUGGUUCUCUGUAAGUAGCUUUGUUUGCCACAAUAGUGUUUGCGAUGAUCUCAUCCCUUGAACCUAACAGUUUGACUCGGUGUGACAGCGGGGGCUAGUUCUAGUAGCUAAUCUAGCAAUUAGGCCUUAAUGAUUCGGUGGUGCUGGAGCUAUGCAGCAUUACUAUCUUGCUGCCUUUGGCCCAUGACUAGCAUAUCUCAACCAUCACACGCAAAUCUAAUCCCAAUUAGUGUACGUCCUUGAGGCGAUCACAUUCAACAUCAACGUACGUCGCCACCCUUCGUACAGUGCGCAUGACAUGAUGGGUGGGAGGGGAGCUGCUGAGGUUGGCAAGCCACAAGAGAACACACCUCACUUGUGUCACAUAUUUGGUUCCCCAUGCCCUUGUCUCAAUGCCCUUGUGGAGCCCCCGAAUGAUAUGAUCAGGUCCUUGGCAUCUGACGGGGUAUAGCCUUCGUUGGUUUUCAAUCAAAAUCCUUGUGGAUCCGGCUCAUGAGAAUUAUAUUACAGGAAGCAGCGGGGGGGGGGGGGGGCGCGGUUAGGUCAGCUAACUAGUAAUCAGGGGUUCCCUGACAUAGCAAAUUGAGCUAGCAAAUGGGGCAACGACGAGUGUGCAGUUUCUAGAUCCUAUUGUGCCGUCUGGGUAGGGCACCUCUCCCAUAAAUUUAUGAUAUCUCCUCUCUGUCUAGAGUGUCUCGUAUCUCUGGACAUCAUCUCCAUCUGGAAUUAUACUCCCCUCCUGUCUGAUUAAAUAUUUCGGAAGGGGUACAAGUGUCGAUUUGACGGGGCUUCGUACUUUCCUAGUGUGUUAUCCGCAGCCUACUCCUAACUCUGCAGAUAUUAAGUUUGCUUGCAUCCGCUUUUUUCUUUCCUGCUACUCCGUAGUUCAAUUAUUCUAGAAAAAAAAUCAUUCUAGGCCGGAAAUGGGAUGCUUUUAGUCCACAAAUUUAGAAAAUGCACACUUUGAUCCGUAAAAUCAUUCAGCUCGACUAUUUUGGUCCAAAAUCACACAAGACAGACAAGAGCUGCUGUGGUGGCAUGUUGACGUGGCGUUUUUGGAUGGCAACAUGUAGAAGGGAGUCUUGUUGGGUUCUAUUUUUUCUUUACAGAUUUUUGCACUACCCGAAUGAUCCAAGCGGUGUGAGGGCAUGCCACUAAAACGUGUUGGAGUCGUCAGUUGGACACUGUAAGAAGGAGUACAUGCCGGCAAAGUGCCAGAGGCCGUUGAACACUGAUAUGCAUCCUAUGUGUGGCAAGUCCUACCGAGAGGUACAUGCUCCACGUCGGAUGCAUCAUCAGGAGGCAAAGCAGCCACCAUUGGCGGGUCGUCCUAGGGAGUUCAAGAAAUUGCCAAAAGUCCUCUCAUGCUUCUUGGCGGUCAAAAACCGCCACAUUAACAUGAUGGCAGACCUCGUCCACAUUAGGGGAUUCUGAACCAAAUUGUUCUUUUAAAUGAACUUAUGGACUAAGAGUGUGUUCGGCAACGGCCUGGCGUCCCGAAAAUCCUCAGAUCCUGCUUCCUGUUCCCACUUCUGCUUCCGAUCUGGAGCACAAAAUGUUCGGCACAACUCAUUCCUUUGUACCGGGCUGGAAGCCCAUUAACGGCCAGCCACCGCCAAGCCCUCUUCAUCCCGUUUGCUGGAAUUAGCAGCAGAGCAUCACAGGCCAGCCAGGAGAGAAAAUCGAGUCCUGGAGCAUCGAUGAGGAGGCCGGGUCGAGGCAGCUCGCGACGAGCGGACGAGAGUAGGCCACCGGAGAACUUAGGAGGAGGAGGAGGAGGAGGCCGCGAGCAGCCGGCUCAUGCUUCGAUAUGGAUGCGGCGGCGGAGGUGGCCGGACAGGGUGGAGGCAGGGGGUGGAUGUGGCCGGGUCAACGCAGCUUGCGGCGGAGCGGACGAGGUCGUGGUCAGGGAGGGGCGUGCCAGGGGAGGAGGAGGAGGUCGCCGCCGGACCGCCAGCUCGCGAUGAAGUCGAGGUGGCCUCGUCGGUGUGUGGGUCGGUCGUCCCGGAUGCUGCUUCAGUGCGAAGGAGAACGGGGAGGAGGAGGAGAAGGGGAGGCGUUGGGGUGGCUACCAGAUGCGGGGACAGACGCGAGGAAGGCCCAUCCGGCGGCGGCUAGGGCUCCCGCAUCGGGACUAGGUGAGCUUUUGUUUUGGCACUGGGCGAGUUGGGGGUUGGGAAGGAGAAGGGUAUCGGGAAAGAGACGAUGGGGAGAGAAAUAGAUGCGCGUCAAACCGGUUUUCAUUUGGCGGUGGCACAUCUUCCGUAAUUUCGGUCUGCUCCGUGUUUUUUAGUUCUGGGAAUCUCCAAAAGAUGUGCUCCGUGUUUUGUGAAAGGAAUUGGGCUAGCUUCUUCGAUCUAGCUUCUUGGAGUUUUUGUGUUCGGUGCUGCUCCGAGUUGAAUUUACAAGAAGCCAGAAGUUGGAGGGUUACCGAACAUGCCCUUAAAGAUUUGUAUUCCGUGAGUUCAUGGAUUGCCCUCUUUUUUGUUUUCCAGACAAGUAAGGCAAGCAUGUUAGAAUGAGGACCAGAUGUUAAAUCUAGUUGAAACUCGAAUUUUGGUGUUUAAAUUUGAUCCGGUCUAUCACAAAUAUUUAAGAAAUAGUUCAACAUAUCUAAAAUCACUAUUUCGUGAGGUACCGUGUGGUGCGGUCGAUACUAAAUGCGUCCACACGGCCCUACCACCCUUCUCUCUUUCUUCCAUUCUCUCACUUCCUUAUAUCGUCCUCUCUCCCUCUCCCGCUCUAAACGCUGCCGCUGCUUGCCCUCGAGGGUUUUUCUAUCACCACAUGACGUCAGGCAUGCGUUGCUGCCGCCAGGAGAGCCUCUACCGCAGGAAGGCGUCACAAAUCUCAGCAUGGGUCUCAUCAUUGUUCCACAAACUUUUGAAAUUGUAUGAAUUUUGAAAACCGAAAAAUCAGAAACCAAAAGUUGAAAAGGUAAAUAGUUGAGGACCAAAACUCACGAAAAUCAAAAGUUGAGAAGAGUGAAAGUGGAGAGGACGGGAAAAAUAGAGAAAAAAGCAAAAACUAAUUAGAAAAAUCUAACAUCCCUGCGCAACAACUGCAACAACUGCACAUGGUGAAUCGUCGUUUUACCGUGCCCUUGUCAAGUUCUGAUAAAAGUCUGACACGUCUUCCAGUCUUUUCACCGUCCUGCCCCCGUGUGUCGCCCUGGGAAAAAUUUACAGCCCUGCUCUGCUCGUCAAGUUUGCCAUGCCUUUCACCGUCCUGCCCCUUCCGUCCGUCCGUCCGUGUGUCUCCGUGCUUUCGGAAGUCGUGAUGUGUGCACAACAGAACGGAAAAGGACAAUUCCGUCUCUUCCUCUCCACCGCAGAGACGAGAGGGAGACCACUUCUGAAAACGGAAAGCCGUGGACGCGGGGUUUCUCUAUCCGUCCCUAUCUCUUGCUAGCAGCGUGAUAGCCUGUCAUCGACCCUUCACUAAUUAAUCACGACCGCUAGCUAGUCUCGUUGAGAAAUUAAUUACGUUGUGAGGUCAGGUCUCACCCGCUACACAAAUGCUCUUGAUCUGUUCCAUCUAGUCUAGAGAAUAAUGCUUUCGAUAAGUUUUAAUUGCGAUGUUUAGUUGUCGCGUGAUUUGAUUUGGCGAACUCAACGGUCAAUUAAGUUCCUUUCGGGAUCCUUUAAAAAAAAAAAGUUCCUUUCGGGGAGGAAGGAAAAAAAAAGAACCUAGAUCAUGCUAUGGAACCCCACACGCACCAAAAUUAUAAUUAAUUAAAGAGAGCAAAUCCAUGCAAAAGAAUUGAACAAGGAAACAGACCCCAAGUGGGCAUUAGAUUCCAACCCUGAUGUGUCAUGGGAACUGUCACCACGGGAAAUUAUUCCCAUGUCCUCUCUCUCAGCGUUUUGUAACCUUCUUUCCGGUUUGCUGUGCAGGACGUGUCAUGGCUCAUGGGAACUUCGUCCCGUACGUUAAAUAGCCGUGCACACAAGCAACGUGACUUUAGUUACUAGCCGGCCGACGGCCGUAGUUACUCGGCCUCCAUCUGGGUUUGCUGUGCAGGACGUCGGCACUUUGGCUUGUACCGACGCGAUUGAUCGAUCUGACAUGCAUGCGUCCAGUGAAUCAAUCGAGCGUCAAGAGAUGCGUGUCGACGUUGACGGGAUCGAAACGUGUAUAAAUUUCUCCGUCGAUUGGAUGCAUAUAUAUUGUUGCCUCGGAUCAGAAAAUUCAGUAUAACUCGAGGGCGUUUAUGCCAAGACAUUUCUGCAUGCUGAACUCCGAUUAUGCACUGGAUUUGUAGUACUAACAAGGAUAUACGGCAAUAACAACGUCCCUCUCAGUGAUUGAAAGGCCCAAAGGCAAUUUAACUAGUACGCACUUCACAACACAUUUUGGCCUCAAGGAACGAAAGGCCCACUACUACCUGGGAACUAAAAGCCUAAUGCGGCCCAAAAUUACAGAAAUGGCGAUUACAAAAGGGAAUCCGGAUUAAGUUCGGGGUAUUGAACCCGACGUGAAUCGAACACGCAACCUUCUGAUCUGGAGUCAGACGCGCUACCAUUGCGCCACGGAUCCGGUGAUAUUGUUGGAACAUAUAAAACGUAUUUUACAAAACUGAACUGAGGAGAUUCCAAACCUUUCUAACUGCUUGUGCGUACACGAUAGAAUUUUUUUGACGGGAUAAAUCUUGUAGUUGUAUCAAGAAUACAAUUGUAUUUUAGAUCAUAAAUUCUAAAAUAUAAUGCAUAAGUUUUUUUUAUGCUCAAUUUUUCUAAACUUUGACCAACUUUACAACAACAUUUACGGUGCGAAAUGAAUAUCUUUAGAUCCAUUGUGAAAUAUAUUUACAUGGUAUCUUGGUAUGUUGAUGCAUUUUGCUAUAAUUUUUUUAAUCAAAGUUCAUGGCUAACGAAAGUUAUACCCGGUACAUUUUGCAGCCAAGGGAGUACUAAAUUAAAAGAAGUGUUCUAAAUAUGUUAUCCUGAUCAAUGCAAAGCCAAUAUAUAGACUCCUAAAACUGAAGCAUAAUUUCAAACAACUGCGGUGUACAUAGUUGCAUGGACAAUCCACAUGAGCCCGCCCAGCGCUUUUGCUUUUCUUACUUUCUGAGGCUGAUUGACAACUGGACUAAAAUAGAAAGAGACGAAACCAGGCGCACACCCACUUCCACACAUCCCUUUGAUCCUUUUUCUACUACAGUACGUUCUGUUCUAACCUUGUACCCACACAUGGCCACAGGCAAACUCUGACCGCUGCAUGAACUCUGUGAAUCAGGGGCCGUCCGUAUGCAGCUGGACCACAAGUCCAGAACCACGACUUGCCGCUCGAUCCGACCCCGAAGCAUCCUAUGCAGCUGCCGGAAUCACCCCACCAGGGCGCCACCGCAGACCAAUAGCGGCGGUGAGGAGCCGAGGAGGCCUGGUUGGCCAUUAACUUGGUGUGGCCGAAAUAGCCGGUCCUUCCUCCCGCGAGCCUCGCAGUAACCACCGAUCACGUGGUGCUGUCUUUCCGAUCGGUCCACCCGAUCCCGUCCCGUCCCGUCUGAUUCAUUCUUUCGGAGACGGGAUCGAGAUCGACCGUCGACUGGUUGGCGUGGUCUCCUUUUUUUAAUUCCGUGCACGUACGCAACGGGUACGUGUCCAGCGCGCGGUAGCUAGCCGGGGUACACGUUUUACGUACGCCUACUGUAGCCCCAUUCACCGAUCUGAAGAGUCCGGACGCACGGCCUGGCGUGGCCGAGUUCGUACCACUGCAGUUCCGGCGUGCAGUACCGGAGAGAGCGAAAAGAAACAAAAUAUGGAUUUGACUGAAGGUACUGAUGCCGUACGUGGUCUCUAAACGGGAUCCAAGAAAGUUGCAUUCGUUUCAUCCCUCCAUUUCUCUCUAAGUAUAACCUUCCUACGAGACACGAAUGUACAGUACAAUGGAUUGGAAUUUAUACUACUCCCUCCGAUACUAAAUUAUUGUCUCAAAUUUAUCCAAAUAUGAAUAUAUUUAUUCUUAAGAAACGUUUAUAUACAUGUAAUUUAGAAUCAGACUAUUCAUCAUCUAACUUUCUUUGCACCGUUAUCAGCGUAUUGCUUAGCUGCACCUACGUGAUCUGCAAACACGUAUGGCGAUAACUGAUCCCGUACGCCUACAAAGAAACAUCAGAAUACAGCAGUACGGUAAUACAGUACCCUGCCAUAAAGCUGGAAGACCAGACCUGUCGCUGGCUACCAUAUUGGCCAAAGCAUCUCUAGGCACUACGUACUCGUACGUACGUACAGUAGUAGUAGACCAGUAGCCCAGUUGGUACGCCGUCGUCGUACUCAACUGACGGAUCCAUUGGAGGUUGGAACCAGUACGGUGGCCGGUACGACUACUUUUAAUUCCUCUGAUCCGCGAAAAACAAACAAAAAGUAGGCAGGCAGGUAAUAUUACUGCUCUGCCUCAAGGUAAUCACGCAUGCGACACCGUAACUUGCAUUUGGCGGACGUUAGUACACACUAGUGAACGUAAAUACCACCGGUAAUUACUCUUUUCCUUUCUUUUUCCUGAAAAUUAAUUGUAUAUCAUGCAACCUUAAUUGCAGUCGCACUGUCGCAGUGCGAUCGACCUACUAUACCAUGGCAGUACUGUAUGGGACGAAUUUGUUUCUGUAUAAAAUAUCGGAAAUAAAGUUAAGAUGGACGCUCACUCAAGUCCUGUGAAAUUGCGAAAACCUUUGCCAAGGCUUACGGCCACUGUAGAUUUCUUGUAUCAGCAUUAGUACCAUGAUACAGACUCGAGUAACUACUAAAACAACCAUUUAAAAGGGGCAUAAAUGUGAUGUCGGCCUUGUGAUCACCUCUUAUCUAGGUGCUUACAUAUUUCACGUCUGUUCCGUAGAUGCAUGACAUAUGUUCUGAAGAUGCACGACCUCUGUUCUGAAAGCUUAGAUAUCUCGCCUGCGCCUACCUUCAAAAAAUAUGCUAGCGCAAUAGUUGCACUUUACAACAGGCUAAGUGUUGAAGUAAAUUGUUUACCCUCUUUUUAUCAGUUCGGACUUUUGGUUCAGAUGGCUAGCACAUGCAAUUCAAUAUGGUAUAAGAGCGGAGGUUUUUGGUUCAGAUGGCUAGCACAUGCAAUUCAAUACUAAGAAAGUACAUGUUAUUUUUUUCUGCUAUUAUUUGAUUAUUUGUUAUCUUAUAUGACAUAAUUCAUAUUCAUUCUCAUUUCAAUGUGCUAGAUCAACAAGUCAAAAAAACGAAUAAGUGAUGUGAUUCGAAGGCGACGACUGCUGCCACCAAUUGAGGGCCUGUUUGGUUGGUGCCCUAACCAACCUGCCUAAGAAAAAGUAACGCUUGGAGGUAGCCUGAGAUUUUAAUACACUUGGCUGGCCAGGCAAGUGUAGGGAUUUGUUGUUUGGUUGGAAGCAUGUGUUCUACAAAAGCCUGAGGCUUAAAAAACAUGUUUUCUUGCUCUAUGUGUUAGCCAGAGUCAGGCCUCCUCUUUCCCAGGCCUGAGCGUGGGAGGAAACAAUGCCUGUGUCAUGGAGCUUCUUAGGACUUUAACCAAACAGGUAACAUGGCAGCUCUCAGCCACAGCUUCCGGCCAGGCAUAUGUUCUCAGGCCUUCAUCCAAACAGCCCCCGAGUCUUUUAUAGGAGUAAAGAUGUACAUUGAGGCAUCAAAUUUAAGAGAGUAGCCAGUAGCAAGACAAAAGCAACCUCCACCGAUGAAGGUGAAUAAUUUCUCGUUUAACCUUUGUGUAUGCUAUAAUGACAACAACCGCUCAAUUCAAGAAAAACUUAGUCAAAUUAACAUAUUUAAGAACAUUAGUGCUUCGUUGAUUCAAAGGAAUUUCAAAUUUUUUUUGGAAGAUUUGAGAUUUGUAAAAAUAUAUCUAAUUUAUAAUACAAAUUUUUGACUUUAAAAAAGGUUCCUGAAUUUGAAUUUGAAUUUAGUUAUGGUAACAUAAAAAGGUAAUUAUAAAUUUAAUUCCAAUUUUCUUACCCCUUAAUUUCAACUCAAAUGAAUAAUUGAAUAUACUCUACAUUUUGCUGCACAGAUUUGAAUUGCUUGUGACGCUCUUUGGAUUAAUUGGACAAAAGAUCGUGAGUGCGUUUUAUUUUAUCAUAGUGAUGAUAAACAAUUUUCUAUCUUGCAUUUAGUAUACGCUCCAGUGAAUGAUUGUAAAACCCUAGCACAUCUUGGUUGCCCGUUUGAAGCAAACCAAAUGCUCCACACUCUGUAUAGCUGACCUGAGAGCAGAAAAUUGAAUGCUGAGUACAAUAUGAGAUCAUUUUCUUGGAAAAGUGGACAAAUGAAAAGGAGAAGAUCAGAGAAAGGAGAGUGGUACACACUUUAAAUACUUGCCUGCUCGGCCCAGGGUGCUGCUGCCAAAAGCCAGGGAAACCCAUGUAGCCGGAAAAUAUACAGAAAUAUAUCCAAAUAAAGGUUUAUGAGGACCACGUUUUUGCACAAUAAUAAAGCGAACGCAGGCGCAUUUAAGUGGUGCGCCCUUGCAUGUUCCUCGACGUAUGGGUCCAUGUACACUAUUACACACACUCAUGCAUGAAAGCAUGAGAUCGCAAGUUCGCAACAAUCCGAAGUUUUCAUUUCUCACAAACACAUUCAGAAUUUUUCAUGUAUUUUCAAAGGAACUUCCCUCUCUGCAUUGCAAAUCCGCGGAGAGCUAUAAAUACGAGAUUCCUCUCGUGAUAUCGAUCCGCUUGCUGGUCCAUCCAACAUGAACAUUGACCAUGUCAGACUGUCAGUACGUACAUCCCCCCCAGUUGAAUUAACUUGCACUUCACUUUGUACUGUCGGUUUACUGUUCGGUCUCUGGCUAAAACCCCUCCCACGUUUUCGCGGUCCAUCAGUGAAAAACCUCCGGGUGUUGAUCUCCCCGCAAAGAAGAAGAAAAAUGGAGCGUACAUACAAUUAAAGCGUACCCAAACAAUCACUAGAUGACACAGGACGAUAGGCUGUAUCCCAGGCCCAUUCGAGGCAAAUAUUCGUAUGCUUUUUAGUGGCAAAUAAUUCUGGCUUAAUCGUCAUCUUUCAUUAAUACCGUGCACAUCUCUCGUCACACACAUUGCUUUCAGUUCCUAGGACGGAGCAAUUCCGGAACCUGGCUUCGCAAAUCCGUGAACAUAUAUCCGAGAAGACGUCGCCUUCUGAUGAUCUGGUGGCAUGGCCACAUCAGGAUUUCCGGAAUGGUACGAGGGCAGUGGAUCACGCCAUGGACGCAUCGGGCUCUCCUUUCCGUUACAGGCUAGACACCGGGUUAGCGCAUGCGUACGUACGUACUAAUGGCGGCGAUCUACUUCAGUAGGCAAUUCAAGUUUAUUUUGCCUUGCUGCAAAGCGCUAAUUAAACACCGGCUGGAACAACGCAGUGAAAUUCUCUUCUGCAGUCUUUAGCGUUUUGACUACAGAACCAAGUUUUCGUUGAUACUCGUUGAUCGGACAAGUCGUCGGUCUAAGAUAUGUUUGUCAGUACGUUCGAUCUCCUUGUCUGCUUGAUAACAGAAAUGGUUAUGUGGUCACCGAAGCAAAGUGAUUGUAGCACAUCCGAAGAAAAGGGCAAGAGGUGUUCCUGGAAGCAAAAUUGGAUCUGUGCCGUGAUGUGAAAUUUGAGUGAACGCGAGCGGAUAACGUAGAGAGAGACAGAGAGUCUGCUGAUGCUGGUAAGUGCGCUAAUUGCAUCGAUCUGGCAGUUAUUUCGCUCUUGGACGAAACAUCGGUCGGACACAAAAUUUUGACUUUUAGCCGCUACCAUGGUCCUCUCGGGUCGUACCGGGUACAGAACCCAGAAUGCUGGAUUGCUGGAUAGUAACAAGCACAAACAACGGUAUCUGACUCUCUGUGUUUACAGGCUUGGGAAAAAAAAAGCGAGAUCAAACGUGGUUAGUUCUUUGAUAAGACGCACAUGCACUUGUGCUGUGUGGACGCCGAAUGAUUCCAUCCCUGCUUGCAGCUGCGCAUGCACCGUACGUGGUCCUGUGGCGAUUGGCCAUUGGAACAACGGAAUAAAUAGCAAAAGCCAUUCUGCGUGUCGCCGAGCCCAGGCCGGCCUUGCAAUUGCAGGGUGGCAGGAUUUUACAGAGUGUUCCGCUAGCCCCCCCUAGACCCGUACACCACCGUUCACCACUAGUCACUGCUACAGUAUAUACUUUGGGUUCCUCCGUAGUCUCCGCUGCAUGCAUGUUUGGACCAGACAGUUGGCCUCACGAGUUUGAUGGUAUGACCAUAGUGCUACACGAGAUUAUUAAGGAUGGCAAGAAGGAAAAAAAGAAGAAGGGGAUGGAGUCUUUCUUCUCUCCUUGUUUUGGAAUAAUUAAUCGACCGAAUUCUCAUAGGACAAGCUUACUGAAAAUGCGAAGGGAGUGAAUGGAGCACUUACCCGAAACGAAGAACCUUCUAGUUUCAGAAACCACUCAAGCUAGGACGCAUAGGGCCCAACAGAGCAAAUUUAAUCCUCGGUCACCUGCACAAUCGGGGACGCGAGAGACGCGCAAAUGCGCCGUGAGAUCGAUCCCCCUAUCGAGCCAUGGCCUAGGCCCUGGAAACGGCAAAGGGAAAGAACCCCAUGUAAACCAGGAGCAGAGGAGACGCGGGCGCAUCUCGCUCAUCAAAACUUUAACCCCCAGCCCGGGGAAAGGGAACUGAAACUGACACGCACCACUUAUGGGCGCGGCAUCGAAUUGAAUGAGUAGAACAAAAUGGUUUCCGGAAAUCGCCCGCCGCGGUUGCCAUCAAGUCAAUCGUCCAAACGGACGGGGAAAGUCCCGAUCACCCGUUCCGGAACCGGGCCAUGUUGCACAUAUCAAAUUAUCGAUCGAUAAUAAGUAACGCAUCUCUCAGCAGCAACGCACAGGACCGGCCAGCGGUGCAAUUCAGCAGCCCGCCCAGCCGGCGCCGGCACACGUUGCAGCCCUGUUCUUGUGGUUCCUCCGGACAAAAUCACCGCGAGAUCCGAUCGAUCGAGUGUAAAAAUUUGUAUGGCAACGGAACCGUUCGCUUGAUUGAUAGUACCCAGUGUCGAUGUCAAAGUUUACAAAGGAGAAAUUAAAUUCUGUUGGCAUCCAUCCAUGCGUGCAUGUGCAGGAGCUAGUAAUAAGCUAGCAACAGUGACUCGCGGCGAGCUAGGCGGAGAGGGUCCGUGCCAUGAAGAGGCGUGCGGGGGCCUGGGGGUCGGGUCGGCGAUGGGCACGGAGAAGACGACACGCCGUACGCCGUCCAACUCACAGCGCGCGAUAGAGAGGCCGCAAGCAAAGCAAAGCAAGCAAAGAGGAAGGCGCAGGACCAUCUGAUCAGAGAGACCCCAGAUUAAAUGCACGCCCUCUGAUCGGGUGGAUCGCGAUUUCUGGGGGGGUGCGGAAAUGCCCGUUCUGCCCUCCCGCACGGUCACGCUGGCUGCUGGGCCCGCCCUGGGUCGCAGCGCCCGAAGAAGAUAUCGCGUCUCGCGCCGCCCGGACCCCAGUCCACUGCAGGGGCAAAGCAAAAGCUUCCUCUAUAUUUAUGCCUCUACACCGACUCACAAGUCACAACACACAAGCUAAGCCAGCCAGCCACACUGCAGUAUACACCGAGGCCUUUCCUCCCUCUGUCACUCUGCUCACUGGCAUACAUUGCUACUGCACGCGUAGUCACAUUCGCAGUUCACUGCCAAGAAGAUCUCUCGUAGUCAAUUGCCCUGAUCAGGCUAUAGUUAUACCCUUGUGGGAGCGCAAGGAAUUGGGAAGGGGAGAAACUUGCAAGGAAGGGAAAACAAAGGGCAAGAGAGAGAGAGAGACAGAGACAGGGAGUCUCUGCCGUGAUCGCGCGAUGGGGCGAUCGCCGUGCUGCGAGAAGGAGGGGCUGAAGAAGGGGCCGUGGACGCCGGAGGAGGACCAGAAGCUGCUGGCCUACAUUGAGCAGCAGGGCCACGGCUGCUGGCGCUCGCUGCCCGCCAAGGCCGGUGAGUGAGCACCUUCUUCUUGCAUGGCCUUCGAAUUCCCCUCGUUGAUUCCCGGCUGGUUCUGCAUUCUGCGGGGCUGAAUAAUUGAAUUGUUUCUGAUAUGGAAAUGGUGCGUGUGAUCUUUGAUUUGCAGGGCUGCAGCGGUGCGGCAAGAGCUGCCGGCUCCGGUGGACGAACUACCUCCGGCCGGACAUCAAGAGGGGCAAGUUCAGCUUGCAGGAGGAGCAGACCAUCAUCCAGCUCCACGCUCUUCUCGGGAACAGGUGACACACCGAUCAUCGUCCAGUCCUAUACCACUUUGGCACUUUGCACUGCACUCAAGAAAAUAAAUUAAUUGCGUAAUCAUGACGCGAAUUUGAUCGCUCUGGGUUGGGGGUUCGCGAGAAUUUUGACCGCCGGUACUACUCCAACUUGUUGCUGGCUGACCGGGAAAGUCAAGAACACGCUAGUAAUUAAUCGUGCUGCGCCGUAGUCUUCACACAUUUAUGCGGGGUUAUGCAGUAGCGGAGUUGUACUUAGACUGGGAGAGCAGCGAGAUGGUAAAAUGGUUGCAUGUAGUACUCUGUCUUCUCAGAAUUGCAGCAACGGAGCCGUACACAUGUUUUCGCAACAUUGUGCGGAAUUAACCUCGGCAUGAAUUAAGACAUUUUAGCUGGAAUUGCGAUCUCAGUACAAGGGCAAACCAUCGCAUUCUGUGUUCUACACUGUUUAUCUUGCCGUGCUGCAGAGAGUGACUAGUAUUGUUCUUCAUCCUUUGGCCUGUGUAGAACAGCUAUGCAUGAGUAGCAAGAACUGGUUAAUGAAUGCACGCAUCAAAUUGUGGGAAAAAGUGUGAAAAAGUUGGGCCAUGUGUGGCUCUCCCCCGAAUUUUCCUUUCUUUUUUCGCAUGAUUCGGCAUUCAAGCUUGUCAUUUAUGGAGAGCUAGUGAGUGUGAUGAGCCCCCCCCCCAUCGUCGUGGACCAAGGCCGGGCUUCGGUCCACUGUAGCCACCUGCUCUCUUGCCAUUUGACUCGCACGCUUGCUUCCCCCUAUCGUCUCUGCCGUCUGUCUGUAGUCUCUGUGCUACGCCAUGCACCUCUUAAAUCUCGCCCAUUUGCGGCCACGCACCUCUCCGGUUACUCUCGUUUCGACAUGAUCAUUUCUUGAUGCUGAUGUACUACUAGUAGUAGUAGAAUUCUUUUGUGAAUCCUGAGUUAACUUGGGCGCGCGUCGAUCGGGAUCGGCGUGUGUAUGUAUAUAUGCAGGUGGUCGGCGAUCGCGACGCACCUGCCGAAGCGCACGGACAACGAGAUCAAGAACUACUGGAACACGCACCUGAAGAAGCGGCUGGCCAAGAUGGGCAUCGACCCGGUGACGCACAAGCCGCGCUCCGACGCGUCCGGCGCCGGCGGGGCGGGCACUGGAGAUGGCGCUGGCGCGCAGCACGCCAAGGCCGCGGCGCACCUCAGCCACACGGCGCAGUGGGAGAGCGCGCGGCUCGAGGCCGAGGCGCGCCUGGCGCGCGAGGCCAAGCUGCGCGCGCUCGCCGCGUCGGCAUCAUCCGCCUCGGCGCACCAGCAGCAGCAGCACUACCUGAACGCGGCGCCCGCGCCCGGCCUCGACUCGCCCACGUCCACGCUCAGCUUCUCCUCUGACAGCGCGGCGGCGGUGGCGCUCGCGUCCGCCGUCCUCGAGGCCGCCGCCGCGCGCGCCGCCAUGCAACCCAUGCAGCAGGCGUACGAGGACGCGUGCAAGGAGCAGCAGCAGCACUGGGGUGAUCAUCACGUCGACGCCGCGGGCUUCCCGGGGUCCGGGUUCACCGGGAUGCUUCUGGACGGUUCUCUGAACCAGAACCCGAGGGCGGGGGACGACGACGCUCGUGAUCAGGCGGAUGUCGUUGUCGAGGUGCACGAUACGGAGGAGGAGAAGAACUACUGGAACAGCAUACUGAGCCUGGUGAACUCGUCGGCGUCGUCCGUGGUCGUGCCCGCCGGCCACGAGGCGUAUUCGCCGGCGCCGGAGUUCUGAGUUGUGGGGACUCUAGACAUGGAUGCUUGCUUGCCUCCCUGCCUGCCUGCAUGCAGCCAGCGGGCGCACAUGAUGACACAGUAAAUAGUUAGUGGUGAACACUGGUGAUCGUGGAAUAAGAUGGGGACUAAUUAAUUAAUGCUGGUAGCUGUUAAUCAUGUUCUUGGGUUUUUAUCUGACAGGUGCUCUGAUUAAACUGUGAGCUAGAAGGACGGUCGUUGCAUUGAUGUUGGAAACUUGGAAUUUGUUGCGCUAUUUCGUUCCGCCAAGUUUCUUACAUGUUGUGCAAAACUAUACGACUAUAAUCUCUAGUCUUCUACUAUUUGGAAUUGUUGUAGUUUUACAGCCAGUUUCAUCGGCCUAUAUAGUGGGUGCUAAUCAAACUUGUUACGGAAUCGAUCGUCCUACCCUGCAUUUAUAAAUCCUGUGACUUUUUUUACAACAUUUCUUAUGACAUCUUAUUCUUAGCGUUUCAUGUGUUUUUACUUUUUUCUCAGCGAAACACGCUUCCUCUAUUAAUUAAUUGAAAGAGUUUCAUCGGAAUCUCUCCAAGGCUAGAGAAGCCAAGUGUAUCGGCCGUGCAACAGAUCGCUUUUAACUAGAUUAUGAGCAUCUCUAUUAGAUGAUCUAUUCUCAUAAACAAAAACGACAUUAAGAAAAUCUUUACUAUUAGAUGCAAUCUCUCGAAGAAUAGCACCCUAAAUGCAUCGGUUACCUUUUGGUAAACCAUUGAUCACUUUUCAAUUUUCAAUGGUUGGGUUCCAAUGGGUCGAGAGUAUAGGUGGCCAACGACCCGGCCCAGCUCGAGUUAAAUGGACCUGGCCCGGGCGCGGC
rnacentral:lncRNA from 1 species